GAUUGUCUUAAUACAAGAGUUCAUAUAAAUUCAGAGUUUUGGAGCACUAACUAGACAUAAAGGGAAAAGGUACAAUUUACAACCAAAAGAGCAGGUUCUGAAGGUCUAACAAAAGUGACCUGCUAUCAAGCUAUAAGCCUGAAAAUGAUAAAUAAUGAGAUGGUGAGUUCAACAACUCAGUGAGUAGAUAACGUUCAAUAUACACACACGAGAUAAUAUAACAAUGAGAAAUAUAUAUACAAGUAUGGCUUUAGGUUCUAUUAGAAAUGUUUCUCAAAUUGGCCAUAACAAGAAUAUCAGAAGGUAAAGCUCGUCAGAAAAUCAAAAUGCAAUGAGCAUGAGGCUCCGUACUGUGGGAUGAUCAGUCCACACAGGUUGGUGACUCCCCCAACCAACUAGGGUUCAGAUACGAUGUGUACAAAGACUAACACUACCCUGUUAGCAUGGAUAUUCUGACUGGCAUACCAUAGGUUCAUAAUCAUAAUCAAACAAACAUAUUCAUAUCUCAAGGCUCAACUCAUAACAUCAAUCAAAUGAGGAGCUAUCAAUUCAGAAUUCAAUUCAAAAUAUAUACUGGUUCAUAUCAAGAAUUCAGAUUCAACAAUUGAUCAUGCUUUAUCAAAACAAAGAUAAUAAUCAACAUAUAUAUUAUCAAGAAGCAUGAUCCAAUUCAUAUUAACAAAUCAAAUAUUUAUAAUAUUUCUCAUGCAUAUGAAAAAUUAUCCACUCACCUUACUAGAAAGCAAACAGAAGUCAAAAGCAGACACCGAAGAAAAUCCUACUGACGUCCCGCCGGUAGAAUAUCAGGAUUAUCUGAAUACAAAGGAGGCAUAUUCAAGAACGAAUCGAAAGAAUAUUUAACUUAUUUAAUACACUUAACUAAGGGUAUAUUCCGUAAUCCUAUAUAUUUUUGAACUAACUAGUCAAUUUUCUCAAAAACCCAAAAAUCUAACGGUUUUCCCGAAAUCUAAUCCAUAAUAAAACAAAUAAUAAAAUUGGUAAUAAUUCACUAAAUAACCCUCAAUUAUUCAUCAAACCAAUCUGCAAAAGUUAAUAUUACAGCUGGGGACUAAUCUGUAAUUUACCAUAUUUUAAGGGUCAAAUUGCAACUUUUGUCAAAUUGAAGGACCAAACUGAAAUUGUCAUAAAUCCAUUACUAUACUGAAAUUCUGACCAUAAUUAAUCCUCAUUUCUGUCCAGAAUAUCUCAUUAUACUUCAGGGACCAUUCUGGAAUUUUACCAAAUUUUUAGGGUCAAAUUGUAAUUUUUGUCAAAUUGGAGGACCAAAUUGAAAGUGUUAAAUUUUCAUAUCUAUACAGUAAUUCUGCCCAUAAUUCAUAUGUUAUUCUGUUCAGAAUCUCGGAAUAUGCUCCAGGGACCAAUCUGUAAUUUUCCAAAGUUUGGGGACGAAACUGUAAUUUUCCAAAAUUGAGGGACCAAACCGAAAUUUUGUCAUCUUCAACCUCAAACCCAGAAUUCUCACAGAUUACCUACUGUUCUUGCCAAAUUUCUAACUCAACAUUCACCAUUUACACAAUUCAUAACUCAAAAUCAUCACAAUCUUCCAUAAUCAACUCAUUAAUCAAUUACCCAUAACAAUCAACCUUAUAACAUUCAAUUUAAUUCAUCAAUUAAACCCAAAACACAAAUUUUCAAAACCCUAACAUUCAUCAAAACCUAAAUUAAAGUUCAAUUAACAUACAUUUAUACAUUUAACAACCUAAAUCUUACCUUUAAACUUAUUUCUUCAAUUCCUUUCUAUUUCCCUUCUAAUUUCCCUUUUUCUCUUCUUCUUCUUCUUUCUCCCUUUCACUCCUGCCGACUCUCUCUCUCUCAAAAUUUUGCAGGUUUCUUCUUCUUCUUUUUUUCUAUUUAUAUUUAUCAACUAUUAUUCAAUUACUAUUAUACCGUUAUUUAUUUGUACUCUCUCCUUAAGCCACCAAGGGCUUUAUAGCCUUUUCCUAACUCAUUUAAUUCAAAAUAUUACAAUAAGGCAAGUCCAAUCAAUUACAUGUAUUACAAAGGGAAUGUCAAUUAAUCAUUCUAACUGAAGAAUGUCGUUGCUUGUGAUUAGGAGACUUCCAAGCUGAUGUAGUGGAAUAGCAGAUUGCAUGGAACUGAUAGAUUUGAUAAGAUCUGCUGAGAUAAUGUGCUCUGCUGGUGUAAUAUUCUCUUUAGUUCCAACUACCCUUUUCGUACUUUCUUCAUUUUGGUCACCUCCAAAUGUUCUUGCCAAACCAAAGUCUUAUAUUUUGGGAUUCAUUUCAUCAUCUAGGAGAAUGUUGCUGGCUUUAAGGUCCCUGUGAAUGAUUCUUAAACUCGAAGCUCGAUGCAGAUAAAGAAGCCCUCGAGCAAUCCCUACUAUAAUAUUGAAUCGUUUCUGCCAAUCAAGUGAAGUACCUCUUGUUUGAUCUGGUUCAAUUAGUACCAUGUUAGAAAAAUGUAAGACAUUUUUGGGAUAAUUCAAAGCUUUAAUGUUUAAGAGUCACUAAACUGUAAAGAUACAAGUCCAAGCCUCUCUUGGACAUGUAUUCGUAUACCAACAUCCUCUCUUCUCUGUGAACACAACAUCCUAAGAGCCGAACAAGAUUCCUUUGCUGAAGUUUUGAGAUAAAGAUGACUUCAUUCUUGAACUCAUUGAGCCCUUGUCUUGAAUCUUUAGAGAGCCUUUUCACUGCAAUUGCUUGUCCUGUUGGAAGCGCACCCUGUAGCACAUCAGGAUUGAUAUCAACUAAUAGAUAAAUGAGGUAAGAAGUCUACAAGGAUAGGAAGGAAACACAUAAAGAGCAGUACUUUUUUUUUUACGGUUCUGCAGAUGUACAGGAAAACCACCUUGUAAACAACACCAAAACCGCCUUCUCCAAUCUUGUUUUGGAAAGAGAAGCUAUCAGUAGCAUACAAUAGUAUCCAAGUCAUAUAAAGGCAGCUGAUCUAUGUCUUCCUCAUCAGCUUUAGGAUUCUCAUCUUGAAAACGUUUUUGUGAUUCAUCUGCCAAAUCAGAGAAGACUAUCAAAUCCACAAGGAUCUACAUGAGAGAAAGGCAACAAAAAAAAUCAUGUUUGAAUACAUGCUAAACAAUAUUGUUGCGUUAGAAUUAACCUUAGCUAUAUGGCAGAGGUUAUUGAUUUAAACUAUUUGUAGGCCGAAAAAGGUAUUCUCUUCUAAGGUAACAUUUGAUUAUUGUCUUAAAAUAAUAGAUACAAAGCGGACAUAUUCUUUUAUACCUAUUGUUUUGUUUUGAAAGUACAAAAAUUAACUUCAAAACUAUUCAGAAACAUAAUUAUUUUAUGUUUCAAGACAGUAGAUACAAAACACAGACAUAUUUCUAACCAAACAUAUUUUAGUCCCUUUUGUAUGUAUUCUUUUUGUCCUGAGUUACUAACCAAAUGCAACCUAGUAAUUCAAUUACAGGAAAGUUCGAAGGACAUUAUCAAAAUUUUUAUUAUUAAAAAUCUGAAAUGGAACCCAGUAACACAUUUGAACACUGUUUAUGGAAAUAAUAAUGAUGUAAUUUCUUGGUGGUAUAUGAUAAAAUGGAGAAUAACAAGCAUAAAAGAAAUAUAAAAUGCCAUGACUUGUCAAGAAAGCUCAUUUUGUAAUAAAAUAUGCUAUGCCAUUUUCAGUAGGAAGCCAUGGCAAGGUAAGCUUGAAAGGAGAACAUGAAAAUGACAUGAACCAUUUUCAUUUAUUUCCUUCAGAAGAAUAAUAAAGCCAUUAGGACCACAUUGUUCAUAUCCAUCACAUUGAUCAGUUGGAAAUGUAAAUAUAACAACCCACUCACCACGCCUUUGAUUCCAUGUUAAAUGUUCAGUCAAGCCAGAUUGAUUUAACACAAACCGUGAAAUUGUAGCAUUCUCAUUGUUUUCAAAAGCAUAGUAAAUGAAGCUAGAAUUAUAGACAAAAAUAGGUUUGAAAACUGGAUUCUCUUGCAAUGGAGGACCUCCACCAAACCUGAUACCAUCCCAUGGGCCGCUUCGAUAUACUAUAUCUGAUCCUCUACGAAGAAAUAGCUGUGCAAGUCCUUGGACGUCUACACUAUAAGUGAAAUCUCCACUGGAAGGAUCUUGAAGACUCUUCCAUGAAGUCAUGUACCAGUUCUGAUUAGUUUGUAGGUUCAAUCCCAGCUUCAUGCCUGGUAUUAUGGUAUCAGAUGGAUGGUCAAAGCUCUGCCACAGAUACGUACCACUUCUGCUAUCUUUUACCACAAGGUUUCCACUGUCUAGGAGCUGCAAGACUGGAUUAUAUGAGGUCAUGGAUGAAUUUGAUGACCAGAUGGGGACAGCUGAUCGGUUGUUGAAUAUGAGUACGUUUCCUGUGGCAGUGAUUCUGAAGACACCAGAAGAAUCUGAAAGUGGGCUGUCUUUGUUGGCAACCCAAACAACUGUUUGUGGAGAAACAUCCUUGAACCAUAUUCCGAUAAAGCGGUGAGUGGAAGUCCAGGGGCUAAAGAAGCCUAACUCAAAGCUUUCGCCGAUGGAAACAAGAGUUUGACCAUUGUCUCUAAGAAUCUGGUUUGGUGAUAAAGUGUCUAUGGCGAUCGAGGAUCUCCAGAGGGAUAAAAAUGCGUAACAGAGGAAAAUGGAAACGAAGGCCAUCAUGGAUAAUCUCAGUUACAAUAGUUCAACCAUGAUGUUUAUUGAAACUAGUAAUCUAGAAACCUAAAUGAAGAAAACUGGCUAAGAGCUAACAAACAACCAAACACUUCCAAGAAAAUGUUAGAAAGGGACACUUUGUUUUUCCUGAUGAAAGAAAUGUGUGAAAGGGACCUUCUCAUGACAAAAACUAGAACAUGUUAUCCUUGUAGACCUCAAAAUCAGCAGUUUGUUCAUAGGGAGUGUUAAUCUCUAGAUUUUUCAUCUACUUACGUAUUAAACUACAAUGGUUGAAACGCUCGACUGUUGUUUUUUAAUGUUUUAUUUAACCUCUUCGCAGACUCUCUACUAUAAUCCUAAACUCUUAACAUAUUCCUUGAGGCAGCUCUUUGCUGUCAAUACUUAUUCAACAUUGUUGCAAGGAAGGCACCUGAAAAGUUACAAGCAUAGAAACAUGGGUUUCAGGAAAAUCUGUGAAAAACAAUAACACCUUAAUUUUUCUACAGGCUAUUGAUUCAUGUAAUAUUGAGAUAAUAUUCUUGCUUUUGGCAACAAGACCGCUUUCCUAUUCUUUUUGUUAGUCUUUUUUAGGUUGAACUUCGAAUGGUCUUUCUUCAAGUAGCAAAGUGUAUUAUGCGGGAGUGAAGUGUUCUUGACAUCAUUUCUGGCAAAUAAACGUGUCUUUCUUAUUCUAUAUCACAAUUUGCCUUUGUUGUGCAAGCAGAGAGUCCCCUCUAAAGACCCUAAAGAUGGUAAAAUGAUCUUUGAAAAUCAAAGAGUUCAUUGCACAAGCAUAGGACCAAGUCCUCAGGAUCUUUCCAGCUUUCUUACAAAUCUAGAUGAUGUGCCAAGACAUCAUAGGCAACAGAAGAAAUAAAAAUGGAAACCACAUAAAGGCAAUAUUUGACAUACAAAAUAAAUUGUCCAUCCAAGAGAGAAUAUGUAGUUAGAGAAGGGUAAAAAAGAAAGAAUACAGUUAAAACAAAGGGAUAAAAUCUUCAUAACAUCAACUAAGAAGCACAGUUUAAAUAUAUAUCCAACAAAUCAAGAACUAAUGUCAAAAUAUAUAGCAGACAUGAUAUAAUAUUACACAUUUGGAUAAGGAAAUUGCCGAAAUGGGAUUUAUAAUCUUCCGAGUCAUCAGGGAUGCCCUGAACUUUGAUGUCGAGAUGAGCCAUCUCUUCAACAGGUAUAGAGGCUUGUUGCAGUAACUCUAUUACCCUCCGGGAACACUCUCACGUUCAGAAUCUUCAGAUUCAGGUGUAAAGAAAAAGUCACUCAGACUCAACAGAUUCUUUAGAAUGGCAACAUCCAGAGAAAGAAAGACUUCUCUAUCGACCCAUUAAUGUUGUUAUACUCAAGUCAUUUCCAGAAAAAUAGCUUUCCAUAUUCGAUAGAAGACACCUAUCUGUAUAAUAUCCAGGUUUUCUAGGCUGAGGUAGCAAAGGAUUCUCACAAUCCAACAUCAGAACAACAGACGACAUUGUUGGCCUAUCUUCAGGGCACUGUUGCACACACAAGAGGCCAACUUGAAUACAUUUCAAUACUUCAGAUGUGUUAAUCGGAUUCCCCAUAAAAGGAUCCAUUAGCAGCUCAAUAGCCCGUUCAUCAUUCCAUAAUAUCCAUGCCUACACCAAAUUUUCAAGUUCCUUUGAGAAUUAACUUACACUUGCAUGCAAAGGAACAUGUGUACAUACAAACACUCGCAUAAAUAUGCAAGCCACAUCAAUGGGUUUCGUAAGGAAAUACUCACAUGUCCUAGAAGGUUGAAGUCAUGAUCAGGAUGAUAGAAUUCUCUGUUCCUCUUUCCACUCACUAUUUCUAGGAGCAAUACACCAAAGCUGAAGACAUCAGAUUUGACUGAAAAUUGUCCAUCUAUUGCAUACUCGGGGGACAUAUAGCCACUGCAUUUAAUCAACAAAGAAAUAUUUUAACAGCGAAGUGCCAAGUACAGGUAGAUAGAUAUACAUAAAUACAUAGAGUGAGAGACAUACUAAGUUCCCAUAACCCGGCACGUUUUUGCUUCAGUUUGAUCACCUCCAAACAUUCUUGCCAAGCCAAAAUCUGAUAUUUUUGGAUUCAAAUCACUGUCUAACAGAAUGUUGCUAGCUUUUAGAUCCCUAUGAAUGAUUCUCAACCUUGAAUCUCUGUGAAGAUAAAGAAGUCCUCUAGCAAUGCCUACUACUAUGUUAAAGCGUUUCUGCCAAUCAAGGGAUGCACCUUCCUGUGAGUCUGCUGGUAAAGCAUUUAGUUAAAAAGCCUGAUUUGGGACAACGUUAAAUAAUUAAAAAUGAUGGAAGAGACUUGCCAAAAAUAUAUAAGUCCAAACUUCUUUUGGACAUGUACUCGUAGACCAACAUCUGUUCUUCUGCGUGAAUAUAACAUCCCAAGAGCCUAACAAGAUUUCGGUGCUGAAGCUUAGCAAUCAAGAUAACUUCAUUCUUGAAUUCUUUAAGGCCUUGUCCUGAAUCUUUGGAGAGUACCUUUACUGCUAUUUCUUGACCAGUAGAGAGCUUGCCCUAUAUAUAUAUAUAUAUAUAUAUAUAAAAAUAAAAAAUAAAAACAAUGCUAGCUAUCAGCAGAUUGUUUAGAAUACGCAAUUAGGCAUGAUCGAGGUCCAUCAGGUUUUAGCUCAAAUGGAGAAGAGGCGAGCAGGGAUCAAGCAGGUUUUUUGGUUCAAGUCUCACCAAAAGGAUCCAUUCCACUCGGUGUUGAUCAUACCAAAGCAGGGUUAAGUAGUGCAGAAAAUAACCUUGUAAACAGGGCCAAAACCACCUUCUCCAACCUUAUUAGCAAAUGCAAAGUCAUUUGUUGCAGCUGCAAUAGUACUCCGAUCAAAUAAUGGUAGCUCUAGGUCUUCAAGGCCAGGUUUAUCAUCAUGGCAUGCCUCUUCUACAGAUUGGCCUGUCAUGAAGCAAGCAAAGGGAUUAUUGGAAAAAGAUGGAGAAAUUAGCUUUUCUUGCUAUGAGAGAGCUUUCAACUAGUUUCAUCAAAAUUCUACUACAGAACUUUAAACAAUCAUAGGAGUUCACCUUCAAAAUCAAAUUGAUCUCUAAGAAGGUUGAUUUAUCCAUGACUUCUUUUUCUUUGUACGGUUAAAAAAAUAAAAGUUAUUCCACACAUAACAGUGCAAAUCAAACAUCUAUUAUGGAUAGGAAAAAAAAAAACUAGAUUACCAAAGGCAGGUGGAACAUCGAAGCAACACAAUUAAAGUCCUGUUAAUCAUCACAAAUCAUUUUCUUACUAUGUCUAGUUUCUGUUAAACUAGUCAUUCAUCUGAUAACAAAAAUGUAACUAAGAUGAGAAAAAAAAAAUGUUUAUCUAACACAGAAGUAGUUGAAUAUUUACCUAUCUUUCUGCCAGACUUCCUCUUCCAUAAAACGCACAAGGUAACUAAAACCAACAGAAGAACCGCUAAAAUUGUUGAGGCCCAGAAUAUGAUCAGUGUCACUUUGUCCAUUGCACUGCUUUCUAGAUGCAUCCACAAGUAAGAAAUAAGAAUCAUCAAUUUGUUUUUGAAAUAAAUUUGUGCUUCUAACUGACUAAACCACUUAGUCAUUGCAGAGACUAUCUUGUACAAUCUUAGUUUAAGGUCUUGUUCCUAUAAACAGAGGACCAGCAUCUAGUGUACCUGUAGUUCUCAUUCUUUCGCAUUCAAAGAGGACCUAGUUUGUGGAGCCCAGAAAAAGCUUUCAUAUCAUGGUUCACAUGAGAGGUUGUCUUCCCGAACUGGGAAGGCACGUUAAAAAUACACUGACUACAACUAAUUUGUACUGUCUCAGAGCAAAGUGACCUAUAAAUACUAAAAUUUCAGGAUGGUAAGUUUAAUGCCUGUGUUCAGAAAAGAAAAGGGAAUAUAUCAUCAAAGUAGAUCUAUGUGAACCCAAAAACAACUUUUAAUAAAUUUUCUUUGCCCAUUUUAAAUUAUGGAGCAUACACCCACUAGAACCAGCAAGGAAACAAAAUAAAAGUAACCAAAGCAUGCAUAAAGAAAGAAUGCUAUAUCUUUCAUUGUAAUUUUAGUACCAAAGCAUGCAUAAAGAAAGAAUGCUAUAUCUUACAUUGUGAUUUUAGUACCAAAGCAUGCAUAAAGAAAGAAUGUUGUAUCUUACGUUGUGAUUUUAGUAUCUAAAGCUUGCAUGAGUGAAUACAAAGUUUAUGCAAAGUCUGCUUUGUGUUAAGAACAAGAACAUACCAAGUUCAGAAGCAGCCAUCCGAACAUACAGUUCAUCCCCUCUGUCAUUGAAUUCACUAACAUCCAACAAGUCCCCAAACCACAUCACGCAAUCAAUAAGUUCAGUUGUGGCAUAAGCAACGCAUGAGCAGUUCCUCAGACAAGCAUCUGCACAGUUCUCCUGAUUAGCUGUAAUAGACUGCAUAGCAUAUGAAUUAUCUGGCAACUUCAAGUUUGGAAACCUCAUAAAUCCCUCAUUUGUGCUACAAUUCAGUGGUUUUCUUGGCACACAUCCGCUGGACCAAUCCAAUGAAUACCAUUCCUCUGUCACCUUUGGCACAAACCCAGUUGGGCAAUGGCAAAUGGGCACCUGGUUUUCAUUACAAAUACCAUUUGGACCACAUCUUGAAUAUGCAUCACAAAGAUCUUUCUGCAAAGAGAACAUUAGAAACCACUCAUUGGAUUUUUGGUUCCAUGUGAAGUAAUUAAGCACGCCAGAACUGUCAACAAGGAACCGUGAUAUCAUAUUAUUAUCGCUGUUGUCAAAGCUAAAGUAUAUGUAAUUUGAGUUAUAGAUGAAUAUAGACUUGAAUAUCUGGAAACCUUUCAUUUGAAGACCCCCUCCCAACCUGAGACCAUCCCACAUGACACCAUCCCAUGGCCCGCUUCGAUAUACUAUAUCUGAUCCUCUGCGAAGAUGUACCUGUGGAAGCCCCUUGAUAUCCAAUUUAUAGGUAUAAAGUCCUGCAGAUGGAUCUUGAAGACUUUUCCACGAAGUCAAGAACCAAUUCUGGCCAGUUGUUAGGUCCCAUCCUAGCUUCAUGCCUGGUAUCAAAGUAUCACAUGGAUAAUCAAAGCUCUGCCAGAUAUAGUUGUUUGAAAUAUCAUCACUGCCAAUAUCUUUGACAACAAGAUUUCCUGUGCUCAGGAGCUGUAAGAUUGGAUUGUUUGAGGUUGUGGAUGGAUUGGAAGACAAGACAAUGUUCUUCAUUGAGUUCUGAGAAAUGACAAUGCUUCCGUUUGCUACUAUGGUGACUGCCCCAGAUAAAUCAGUGAGAGGGGAGUCCCUGUUGGCCACCCAAACAACUGUUUGAUCAGGAACAUUGUUGAACCAUAUUCCCAGAUAACGGUUCGUAGAAUUCCAGGGACUAAAGAAGCCAAAAGCAAAUGUGCCAUUUGUCGAAACAAGAGCUUCACUGCUAUUGUCUCUGAGAAUCUGGUUGACAGUUAAGAAGUCAGUGGCAGUUGAGGUCUUGAAGUUAAAAGUAGUGAAAGCUAAGCAAAAGAAUAGCAAAAGAAAGACCUCCAUGGAUGAUCCUAGUGGCAACAACUGAAAGUUCAUCAUUUGCAUUUGUAUUUCUUAGGUCGUCGGUGCAAGCCCAGUGUAGUGGAUAACUCAAUAAAAUACUUGCCCCCUCAAUCAAUUUUCAUUCAAGACAGAAUAAUGAACUCUAGAUGUUAUUUAAGAGGACUGCUAAACCUGGCUACUUUCAAAACCUGAUUACUAAAUACAAAGUUCAACUCAACACCGACAAUUAUGGGUUCUCUAACCCCUUCCCAUGAAUGAGGAAGGAAGCAAAAUUAUUGGACAAUUGGGAAUCUCGAACCAAUUUUAUCAUGGAAUAUUCAGACACCAAGGAGAACGUUUAACUACUAUUACUACUAUAUACUUUCUUUUGUCUUGUCUGGUUUCAUCAACUUCUAAUUCUGAUCAUGACCCAAGAGUGAGAUGCAGGUUGGAUCCAGGCAUCAUAUGACUCACAAAGUCCAAGAUAAAUGGCAAUUAAUAUAUGAUGAUGAGGGACAGACACAGAGAAAUACAAAUGAGGAAGACAAAAGGAAGAAUAAUGCUAGAAACAAUCAAAAUAAAAGCCAAAACCAGCAAGAACCUUUUCUGGGCUUCAUUCAUUUUCAGGGUAUUUUUCCUUCACCACCACUACAUGCAUGAUCAAGUCAAAAAAAUCAUAAUGGCAAGAUAGGAACAUCUGUAGCAUCCAAGAACCAUGUUCAUUAGCAAUGAAAAAAUAAAACGAAAGUUCUUUCAGAACUUCUAGAGGAAGUUGAAAAGGCAGCAACAAACAACAUAGAAUCUUGCAAAGAUAUAGGCAAGAGUACAGGAAAAUACUCACAAGUUUGAAACAGCUUCUUGUUGAUGGAAGGUUUAGCUUCAACCCUGUGGCAAGACAUUCUUGAAAUGACAGAGAAUGUCAAAAAGACGGGGGAACAGAAACUCCUACCAAACCCAGCAGCUUGGACUGCUAGCUUAAAGGCUUUACUUACAUGGGUGAUAAAGGACUCUAGGCCCGUGAUAUGAUUUUGAUCCCAAACAAAAAAUUAUAACACAUCAAAGUAUUCCCACUUUUUCCAUAGCAAUUAGCAUGUUAUUGAAUCCAGUUUUGCAAUAUAAGCUUUAUUUCUUUUGGUUUCUUCUUAGAAAUUUGAUUAUUAAAAAAAAAAACUUAUUUAAAAAAAAUAUAGCGAUAAAGCUAUUAUCACUCAUACUUACAAAAUAAAAAUAUAUAUAUAUAUAUGAGAAGAAAAAAUGAAAUUAAAAAUAUAAUUUUAAAGAGAAGAGAGAUAUUUUUUUUAUUUUUAGGGGACAACAUGCAUGUGUUUUUUCUUUCAUUCUUAUAUCUAUCUCUCUAGUAUAAUUGUAACUAUUAACAAAAUCUAGAUGGGUUAUCUAUCGUUUUUUGGUUUAUAAUUUUUUUUUUAUUUUUUUGUAAUUUUAAUAUUUUUUUUUUAAUUUUAUCCUUUAAUAUUUGAUUAGUUAAAAAUUAGGUUUCAAAAUUUUUUUAAAUUUAUUAGUUUUUAUCAAAUAAAUCAAGUCACAAGUUUAAUAGGAUAGCAUGAGUUGGCAUCAUUCUUUUUACUUUUCUUUUUUUACGCUAGUUUUUUUCAUUUAAUAUUGAUUUUUUUAUCAUGAUUGUGUUGAUUGAAUUUUUUUUCUCAAUUUUUUUUUAUCUAACUUAUGACGGAUCAAGGGUCACAUAUUUAGUUGUAAUAAUAACUUGAAAAUCAUAUAAUUUUUCUUUUAUUUGUGAUAUUUGUUUUUUGAGAAAUUUUGAAGUGCCUAAGAAAGCCCAUUAACAAAAGAGAAGGAAUCACUUUUCACUUAACUUUUCCGUUGCAUAUCAUGUAAGACCAUGAAAGCCCAUUAAUUCUCAAACCUCCCUCGUACGCCCACCCAACCUAACUGAAUUACUUACUGUUAUCAAAUUGGCGCCAAAACACCCAUUGAGUCCUUCCUUUCUGAUGUGAUAUUUCCAGAGAUAAUUUUGUGGUUCUUUAAGAUGAUUAUAACUGUUGGGUUUUGGAAUUUAUGGUGAAUAACAGUGGCUGAAGAAGAGGAUAGCAUGAAGGAGAUAAAUCAAUGGUGGGAUGAAAGCAUGCCGGAUAAUGAUGAAGUACGGGCAAAGCCCUGUAAUUUUGAAGAAGAAGCUGAGAAAUUAAGCACUGAAGAUAACACCACUGAUGUAAAUGAAAAGGUAUAAUUGUUUCCCUUAAUUUCUUAUUUUUUCCUGCCAAGAUUAGGAGCUUUUGAUUCUUUCUUGAUCAUUCAGCCAAUCUAAUAUUUUGUAAUAAGUUGUUGAUUCUUUUUUAUUAUUCGAUAGUUUGUGUUAAAUUGGAGAGUGUUUUAAUGUAAUUUAGCAUCUUGGACCUAUGGUUAAUAAUCAAAAAACUGUGAAUCACAGCACUUAUGAAGCAUAUUGUAUUUUGAUUUACAUGUCAUGACAAGAAAAUUAUAGCAUUUCAUAACUUCAUGUCUGUGUUUCAAUUUAUAUAUACACUUGUGACAAAACAAUCUUUCAAAGGUAGCUUAUAGCUUGUAUGAACUAUAAAUUAAAAAUGGAUAUCCCAAACUAGUUAUCAAAAGAAGAUGCAUUGAUACACAAAAACUGUAAAUCACAACAGCUAGUGAGGUAUACCAAAAUCUAUGAUUAUACAAAUAUGCUAGAAGAGGUCUGCAGUUUCUUUUACCUAGCAUCUAGCACUGUAACUGUAACAUGGUUUACAGAGAAUGAUUCAUCUUGUUUGCUUGAAGAUGAAUCGGUUUCGAAAGGACUCCUUCCAAGGCAAUAUCCAGGGGUUCUCGGCUGGGGCAUUGUUGCGGUUUCACUGCUCAACAUUAACACUGCAGAAGACAUUGUUGGUCUAUCUUCUGCUUUCUCUUGGACACAUAAGAGGCCUACUUGUAUGCAUCUCAAAACUUCACAAGGGCUAUAUGAAUUGCCAACUGAUUUAUCUAACACUUCCAAUCCCUUCCCAUCUUUCCACUGCCUCCACACCUGCAAUGUUGCCAGUUCAAUUUUUCGUUGAUAAAUAAUUUCUCAUUUUCAAAGAAAACUGAAUACCAUAUAAAUUCCAUCCUUAUGAUACUUACAUGUCCAAGAAGGUUAAGUUCACUGAAUGAAUGAUAAAACCCCCUGUUCUUUUCCCCACAUACUAUCUCCAAAACCAAAACACCGAAACUGAAAACGUCAGAUUUUGCUGAGAAUAGUCCAUCCAUUGCAUAUUCAGGAGACAUAUAACCACUACAUUAACCAAUACAGCAGUCAGCUAAAAAGAGGUAAGCGAGGUUUGCAGCCUUGAAAUGAGUUAAAGAAAUGUAUUUGGGGACUUACUAUGUUCCCACUACUCUCACGGUGUUUGCUUGUAUUUGAUCUCCACCAAACAUUCUAGCCAUGCCAAAGUCUGAUAUUUUUGGAGUCCAUUCAUGAUCAAGUAGAAUGUUGCUUGCUUUGAGAUCCCUGUGGAUAAUUCUAAAUCUGGAAUCUUGAUGCAGGUACAAAAGUCCUCUAGCAAUCCCACAAAUUAUGUUGAAGCGCCUUUGCCAAUUGAGUAAAGAGCUCUUUGCCUUGUCUGUAACAAUAUGGUUACCAAAUUAAGUUGCUUGAAUUCAAAUCCUAUCUAUGAGAUGCACAGAAACACCAAAGGCUAGAAGGGACUAACUGAAAAGAACAAAAUCGAGGCUUCUGUUUUCCAUGAACUCAUAAAUAAGUAUCUUCUCAUCCUUCUCAACGCAGCAACCAAGCAGUCGAACAAGAUUUCUGUGUUGAACCCUUGCAAUUAACCUUACCUCAUUCUUGAAUUCUUCUGUUCCCUGAACAGAAUUCUUCGAUAGCCUCUUCACCGCUACUUCUUGGCCUUCUACUAGCCUACCCUGGCAUUGUCACACAUACUUUCUGUCAGGAUCACAUGAUUGGUCUGCAUUAAAGCUAAUGAAAUUUGUUUCUUUCUUUUUUAUCCUGCGUUAUGGUAUCAUUACGAAGAAUUUACCUUGUGAACACGACCAAAACCACCUUCUCCUAGUUUAUUUUCGUCAGCGAAAUUGUUGGUAGCAGUUGCUAUUGUGCUAAAAUCUAACAGUGGCAGUUCUAAUUCAUCUGUGCUUCUUUCACCUGUGUAGUCUUUCUUACUUAUAACCACCCCAUUUAGCAAGAAAUCUUGGCUUCUAUCUUGUGGACCUGGGUUUGGACAUAGAAAGACAAAUGCAAGAGGGAUAAAUUUAUUACAGCUAUGUAGAUAUGCAAAACUUUUCCUUACUGAUUCUUGAAAUUAAUUUCAUGUCACCUUUCUGUGGUGUAUUUCCAUUACAUACACUCAGCAAUCUCUUCCUCUUCCAUAUGGAAAAGCCACUCAGUGCUAAUAUCAAAAUGCCAAUGCCAACAGCAAUGCCAAUAAUGAUAGUGCCAGCACUGCUUCCAUCACCUGAAAACAACAAAUUAGUAAGUUCAAGUUUAUGUUUUAACCUAGACAAGUUCCACAAUUUAAUGUCAAGGGUGCUCGUGGCCUUGACUUGAAGAUCCUCUGAGGCGUAUGAUACUCACUUUAACAUUCUCUAAAUCCAUCACACCCUUAAAUUCUCGCCAACGUAGUUAAGACCAUGUUAGAAAUGUGAACACUUGACCUAACACUGACUAACAAGUAGUAAUGUUUUACAAUUCUGGGGCAUGAGAGAGUGGAAACAAGACUCCUUCGUGGGUCACCUACUUGCUUUUCUGCUGUUGCUUUCUUCCACAGUGGGAAAAAGCUUCAUUGUAGCCGUGAUUUCUGCUAGCCAUAUACAGUUCACUUUAAGGUCAUUUAAGGCCAUAUAUCAAAGAAGUUCCUCACAACACAGCAAUGCAAGGGCCAAAUUUACAUGGGGUUACUCUGAGAUCCUAAACAAUUCACUGUUUUGACUAUGAGCAUGCAAUUUCCUAGCAAAUGAGCAAGAUGGGAUCACAAUUGAACAGAAUAUACGUUUGGACAACAACAUUUUCCAAAUUAUACUAGCCAGGUAAGCCUGAAAUGUGGCUGGACAUCAACCUAACUCAACUAAAUCCAGGAACACAAAUUGCCUAAACAACUGAGAUAUUAUAUUCUUCCCUACAAUUCAUAUGUAGCUGUCAGCUCUAAGCAUCUACAAAGGUUACAAGGCUGACGUUAUGGAAAGGAAAAACAGCUUGUGGGGUCGAAAUCAAUAAUUAUCCCCACCUAAAGUAUUUAACAUCAAUCUCAAGUUUGAAAAGCAAGGGAAUGCAAAGGACUAUCAAGCCUGGCUCAGUAUCAACCUACCAAGAGCCUGUUUGAUAGUGUAGUAAUAGUUGCUUUUUAAAUAGCUUUUUAUGCUGAAAUACAUGCCAAUAAUAUUUUUUCAUUUUUUAAAAAAUAUUUUUUCAUUUUUUAAAAAUUAUUUUUGACAUCAGUAUAAACCGCACUCAAUUUUAGCCAAAAAAAAAAUAAAAUUUAGUCAAAUGCAGGUUCAAUCGCAGAGCCAAACAGGCUCCAAGUCAAUAAUGCCAGGCCUUGAGCGUUGGGAUUUAUUAAGCCGAUCAAAUGGGGCCCCCUUGACCAUAAUAUGUCCUCAGAAUAGCUCAGCUUGUCACAUCAACUCGAUAAUACCAAACUCCAAACUCAAGGUUUGAAUGAGCAAGAGAUAUCUUGUUCUGGCUAAGUGAUUGAAACGUGUUUUUUAAUGUGUAUAAAUUAUUUUAGUACGAUGUAAAAAUAAUUUUUAAAAAAUAAAAAAAUAUUAUUUUAAUAUAUUUUCAAGUAAAAAACAUUUUAAAAACAAUCGUUAUUAGACUCUUAGUAGAAAACAUUAUUUUUUUACUAAAAUAACAUCAUUUAAAAUAUUAUUGUUUUUUUUUUAAAUCAAAACUUAACAUAUCAAUUCACGAGUAGGUUGCAUCUUAUAAAUAUGCUUUAAAAAAUUAUUUCGUUUUCAUAUCACAGACUUGCCUUUUUUAGGUGGGGAUAACACACUUAUUUAAGCAACUAUUAUUACAUAAGCUUUCAUAAAAGGGACAGCUAUGUAUUCUCACCAUUACAAUUAUACAAAAACUUAACCCUCACAGCCAACUCCAUCGUCGUCCAAUUUAAGCUACACCCAUAUCCUAACCAUGGUCUAAUAACAGAUGGUGGCUAGCCACUAUUGACACCUUGUUAGCAAACUUUCUGGUUUCGGUUUCAACAUUGUCAAGCCAGCUUCCAUAGACUAAUAAGUAUGUUUCGCAGUGUGGUAGUGGUUGCUUUUUAAAUAACUUUUCGUGCCGAAAUAUAUGGAAAUGAUGUUUUUUUAUUUUUUAAAAAUCAUUUUUGAUAUCAACACAUCAAAACAAUCCAAAACACACAAAUUAUAUUAAAUUUUAACAAAAAAAACAAAAAAAAAAUUGAAUUUUUUGGAAACACGGUUUACACCGCAUUCCCAGACGGUUUCUAAAACUUAAGUAUUUUUUAUAUUUUUUAUAAUUUAAAUGUAUUAAUAUAAAAAAAUAAACAUACUUAAUUCUUUUUCGAGGAAUCUAAAGUUUUUUUUUUCCUUUUGCCAGGGUCCAUCAAAACUGGCAAGUAAUGAUAUCGACCUGUUCAAACAAGUGGAUCCCACUUAACGGUAGUAUCCAAAAUACCAAAUAAUGGACGGCUAGUAAAAAAAACGACUCGUUCAUACCCAUGUCAAUGUGAUUAUUAAUUGCAAUUAAAACAAAAAAAAUGUGUUCCAUGCAAAUCUUGGCACAAUACAAUUUGGUUUUUUCUUGUCAAUGUUCACUUGGGAGUUGAACAAGAUGUCUUUGGCCUUUUUGGUCUUCAAAAACAGGCAACAAUACCAGUCUUGGAUUACAAGGUGAGUGCAAACUCAUAGACCCACUAAUGCAAUGGUAGUUUCCUUGCAUCCCCACCAUUUAUUACCUAACAUGAGAGAUUUAAUGUUGCUGACCUAACACCAUUUCUUUCGUACACCAGCUUUGAUAAUCUAAAUUCAUAUAUUUUCUCUAGUUUAUUAAACUAGUGGAAAUUUAAAAAAAAAUCCCAUGAAUCUAAUUCAUGUUAAUGUCACAUAUGUGGUUUAACUUGAUUAUGUGAAACAAUUCCUUGUCAAAUAAUAUACAUUUGACAUCCUAGCUCAACAAUUUAUGAGAAAUUAGAGGAUUUUAAGAAGAAUAAUAAUAGUAAAACAAAAGGAAGUAGUAGAAACUAAAGAGAGAGUUAUGAACAUACCUAUGUCGGAAGCUGCCAAUCUUACAUAGAGAUCUUGUCCACCUUUUGGAUAUUGUCUCAUGUCAAAGAGUUCACCAGUCCAAAACACACAGCCAGAGCCUCCAUUGCUGAUAUUUGAGUUAGCAUAAGCAGUACAAGAACAAUUUCUUGAGCACAUCAAUUCACAAUCCUUGAGACUCGUAUUCCUGUCUACAUAUGUGGUUUCGCUCUCUGGCAAUUUCAUGUUCCUCAUGUGCAAAAAUUUAUCUUUCAAGCAAUUCAAAUCUGUCCUCCUGACACACCCACUUGACCCAUCUCUCAAAUUCCACGCUUGAAUAUUCUUGGGCUGAAAACCCUUCAUACACUUGCAAACUGGUGAAGCAUUUGAGUCACAUAUACCAUAUGGACCACACUCUCUGUAAUCGUCACAUUGAUCUUUUGGUGCGUACCAAAACUGACUCCAUUGUUGUGUCUCUGGAACCCAGGCAAAUCUUUGAAGAAGCCCAGAUGAAGUGACACUCAAUCUUGAAUAUAAACUCUUGUUCGAUAUGUGGAAGGAAUAGUAUACCUCAUCUUGAUUGGUAAUAAAAUUGAAGCUCAUGUAAUCAACAGGCUCCAUUUCUGGCACACCACUAAAUCUUUGUCCAUUCCAUGGUCCACUUCUAUACUUUAUUUCUUGAUCUUUCAAUAAAAAAGCUUCAGGGAAUCCAUGAUACUCUAGCUUGAAAGAAAAAUCACCUGUACCAGGAUCAUCACUGCUUUUCCAGGAACGCAAGAACCUGUUUACACCUGUGUUUAGAUCCCAACCGAACUUCAUAUCAGGUAAUAAAGUAUCAGUUGGAUAGUCAAAGCUUUGCCAUAAAAACUGACCACUGUCACUUUCUUGAUCUCUUAGUACUAGAUUUCCUGAAUCUAACAACUGCAUAACUGGGUUUCUUGCAUUGGUUUGAUUGGAUGACCAUAUGAGAUUCUCUGCCCGAUCAAAAAGAACAAUGCUUUGAUUUAAGAUUUUGAAGGUCCCAGAGGAGUUUGUGAGGGGGUUAUCUCUGUUAGCUACCCAGACAUAAGUUCUUGGUAUGUUCUUGUACCAUAUCCCCACAUACCAGUUUCUUGAAUUGCCUGGAGUGAAGAAUCCAAGCUCAAAAUCCUGGCUUGUGGAGAUGAGGGUUUGGCCAUUAACAAGAGAUUCUGUUGCUGUUAAGGUGUCUAAAGAUGAGGCAAAUUUUGAGGUGAAGAAAGAAAGGAUUGUGAAGAACAACAAAGUGGUGAUGGAACAAUGGUGUCUUGUUGUUAUAGAUUUCAUGCUUCACUUUGGUGUUGUUUGCUCUCUCUUGUGUGUUCUUACAGACAUUUGGAUUUGGGCUGUUCUGGUUUCUUUAUCUUGAAGACAUUUGGUAAUGGUUGAUAGGAAGAGAAAAAAGCAGACUGUUUUGGACUUGGAUGCAUGUGUACUUGAUUGUUUACACUUUUGCUUUUUUUAAUGUCUUGGUAUUUUUUAUAUCUUCUUUGAAAAUGUUAUAUCAAGAGUUGAAUGCAUUUUUUUUAUUUCUUAUUUUAUUUUACAGUAAGAUAGACAAAAGAGUUGCCUUGAAAUUGUGUUACAGAUAUGUUUUAUGAGAACUUGAUUUUUUAUAUAUUUUUUUAGGUUGUUUUAAUAUGUUGAAUUUAAAAAUAAAAAAAAUUAUUUUAAUAUAUUUCUGAAUAAAAAAUAUUUUAAAAAGUAAUCAUUACUACACUUUCAAACUCCUUCAAAGUAUAAUCGAGUAAUAAUAUUUAUAAAAAAUAUAUAAAGCAUGGACGUUUCAUUGUAACACUAGAUAUAAUUUACUGUGGAUUACUAUAGUGAAAUUAUCUUUUUAUCCUUUUAUCUUUGGGUGGAAAAAAAAAGUCAUAAACGUGGGGUGCUUUAGUCUUUUUCAUUGGCUCAUUGGUCAAUAAAAUAUUAUUGGGUUGUAUGUUAUUUUUUUUCAAUUUUUUAUAGUAAAAAUACGUUUUUACUCUCAAGAUCAACAAAAUUUAAAGUUGUUGACCGAAAGUUUUUUUACUUUUUAUAGGCUUUUAAACAGUAAGCAUAUUUUUUUACUCCUAAGAUCAAAAAACUAUUAAGUUGUUCGUCAAGAGUGUUUUUGGUUUUUCCCCUAGUCUUAUACAAUUAAAAUACAUUAUUGACAAUAGAAAAGACAAAAAAAAAAAGUUUGUAUUAUAUGGUACUCAUGUACUUUUACACAAGUUUUUUUUUUUAAUUAAUAAGGUCAUGGAAAUUAUUUUAGUAUUUUCAUGUUUACUUUUAAUUUUUAUUCAAUAAAGCUAUUGGCACGUGCUUAUUAUCUGCCGGCAAGUGGGUGGGGUCCAUGUCAUUUGAGCGUUGCGUGCGACACCAUCUGGUGCUCAAACAUGACCUUUCAUCAUAUCUUUGAAAGCGCCACCAUGUUCUUUUCCUUAUUGUGUUGAGUGUGACGGCAUAUAAUAAUCGAAUUGUAAUCAGUGGUAUUUUUUUCUCUCUCUCUCCUGCCAAAAAAAAGCACAAUUGUCCUCUCUUUUUUUUCAAUUUUUGUCCUCAUUCUUUUGAUUUCUAUUUUAUUUUUAUUACUUUUAUAACAAUUUUGUUUGUUUUCAAUUUAAUCCUUCAGUUACAAUUUCUCAUACAUUUUUUUUUCAUUUCAGUCCUUAUUCUUUUUAUUUUUAAUUUAUUUCCUUUGCCCUUUUGUUAAAAUUUUAUUGGAUUUCAAUUUCAUCUUUCAAUCAAAGUUCUUUGUUUUUCCUUUUUCAAUUUCAAUCCUCAUUUUUUUUUAUUUGUUCUUAUUCUUUUUUAUAAAAGUUUUGUUUUUUUUCAAUUAAGUCCUUCAAUUAAAAUUUCCCAUAUGUUUUUUUUAUUUUGGUCCUUAUUCUUUUUAUUUUUAAUUUAUUUCCUUGGCCCUUUUAUUAAUGUUUUAUUUGCUUUCAAUUUCAUUCUUUAAUUAAAGUUUAUGUUGUUUUAUUUUUUCUAAUUCAACCCCCAUUCUUUUAAUUUGUUUUUCUUUUUGUUAAAGCUAUUUUUCAAUUCAAUUUAACCCUCCAAUUAAAAUUUUUUGUUUGUCCUCUAAUUUAUUUAUUUUUUUAAUUUUAUUUUCACCUCCAUUCUUUUAAUUAAAGUUUUUUUAGAUCUUUUUGAGUGAUUGAUUUUUUUCCUGAUUUUAUCUUUCGAUGUUUGAUUUGUUAGGGAUUUGGCUUCGUAUUUUUUUCAUCUGUGGUGCUUCUAGUCUAAUUACCUGAGUUACGAGUUUGAAAAGUUAAUGUUGUUCAGCAUGUUUUUUUUCUCAUUUUCUUUUACGAUCUUAUUGUUCUGCAUUAGUUUCUUUUUUAAAUAUUGAUUUUGUAAUUAUCUUUGUUUUAUAUGAGUUUAUAUCAGUCUCAUGAUCUAUGUCAUGAGUUUUACAUACCUUUUUUGAUUUGUGUUUCUAUUUUUAUUUUUAUUAUCUUUUAUUGAUUUAAAUAAACAAGUAUAAUAAACACAAUCGGGUAAGUUUUUCAUUCUAUGUAAUUUAAUAUUUUAAUCUAAAUCCAUCUCUCAAUCUUUUGAAUUUCUCUUCUGGUUAUUAUUGACAAAUUUUUUUCAUAUUUAUUUACAUAUAUGAUUAUUGAUUUAUUUAAUUAGAUACUUUAUAGACUUUUCAAUUUACAAUUUGAAUUUUUUUAUGUAAAAAAACACAUUAAAAUAGCCUGCAUACCUGAUGUUUGUUUUGGAAAACAAAAAAGUUCACAACCUAGGAUGGAGCGCAAGUUAAAUAGGUAGUUAAUAUAAAAUCCAAUUUCAAUUCACGAGUUUCAUGCAAUCAGAUAUUAAGAUUAAAUCCAUCUUUUUGAUAUUUUUUUAAAUCAAAAUUAUACAUAUUGAAACCAAAUAAUUUAUUAAAAAAAUAUUUUCUUAUAAUCUAUUUCAUGGUUUGAAGAAUUAAUUUGUAUUCUUAAUUAUUGAGCUAAUACUCACAAUGAUAUCAUUAUACGAAAUAAAAUAAAAAGAAAAACAAAGCAUAAAACAGUUGGAUUGAGUUUAUUUGUGCCUAGUCGGGUUUCUUCAAGGAUUUAAUAAGUGAAAUUAUUCAUUUUCUUAAUCAUCAAGCUAAUUCUUGCAAUAAUAUCAUUAUUUGAAAUAUAUAUAAAAAAUGGAAAUCCUAUGUUUGGGAAAAUUGGGAUUCUUGAGGGGUUUGGUGAGGGUGAUAAUCGGGAGAAGGUGACCUAACUUUCAACUUUUGCUUUUUGUAGAAUAUUGUUGGUGGAAAGAGUAAGAUAAUUAAUAUUCAUGAAUGGCUUUGGAUUUGUGACUGUGAAAGGGUCACGGUUAUAUUUACAAACUUGUUUCCCCACCACCUAGCAGUGCUUAAAAUUAAAAAUUGGUUAAUCUAUAAUAUUUAUAUUAUCUAAUUAAAUUUUAUUUGUCAAAAUCAGAUAAUAAAAAUAUUAAAAAUAAUAAUAGAUUAAAAAAUCUAGUAAAUUAAUAAAUCAAAUGUAUUAGAUAACAUGUCAAAAUAUUUAAAACCUGAUUAAAAUAACCCAAUUUAUAUAUUUUAUAAUCCUUUUGUUUUUAUAUUUGAUAGUUUGUGAAUUAAAUAUUUAAUUUAAUUUAAAAAUAUUUUAAUUCUAAAAAUUUUAUUAGUGAGCUUUGUAUUAUAUUUUUUUUAAUAUAACAAAAAAAGGAUUUAUCUCUUCAUGAGAGGGGAGGGAGUAACUAGGAUUUAAUGGUGGUGCAAAAUAUGCAAAAUAUGAAAAUUAAAUAAAUUUAAAGCUAUAUGUAAUACAUUAAGGGUUUAUGCGAGGUUUCGCUGAAACUUUCCUAAAAGAAAGUGGAAAAUAUUCGUUAAAUAUGUAUGAACACAUGAGUUCAUUAUUAAAUUGAGCAAGAAAUGAUUGAAGCCAAAAAUUAAUUAAAAGUGAUAAAGCAUCCCCUCAAGUCCUGAGAAGCAGCGUGUGCUGCCCUCUCAAAAUGGCUGGAAGAAAGGUAUCACCCCAUGGCUAAAAAGUGUUCUUCUUCAUGAAAGAGAACGAGAAUGACAAGUUAAAUAUGAAUUCUUUUUUAUACAAAUAGACUUUUCAAUUCGUUUGUUAUACAAAAGCUUUGUGAUGUUAGAGAUUUUCUCUCUCCGAUGCUUACCAACAACAUGAAUUCUUUUAUAUUUUAAUUAUAGCAUUGAAUUUGAUUAUUUUUGCUCAUCAUUUGUCAACAAAACUGAGUUGAUCUCACCUUCCUAUCCAAUUAUGAAGAACAUUAGACUUGUUUAAUAUUCGACAAUGACUAGUUGGCAUAGUCUUCUCAUUGAAUUAACCUAAAAUAUAAGCAUUUUCAUGCUAUUUUUUGUUAGUAAAUCUUUUGGCUGUUUUAGUGCAAUUAAUAAUUGAUUUUGAUAUUUGAAAUAAUCUAAUAAUACAUAAUUACAAACUAAUAGUCAAAAUGUUUUUUUUUUCUUAUUUUUGACAUGCUUGCCAUCAAAAUUCAACAAAUACCAACCAUAUAGAAUUUUCUGCCUUAAAUUCUUGUUCAUUUCAUUUGGACUAUUCAUUUGUCAAUGUACAGAUCCUAAGAUUCCAUGUUUGAAAUCAGAAAGACGAGCUCUCCCCUAAGUAUUUUAUAUUUAUAUCUAAUAAUUUGUUAAAUAAUUAGUAUAUUAUAAAUACACGAAGGGAUAUAUUCGUACAUAGUCCAAUGUCUAGAAAAAUAUUAUAGCAACUUUAUACAUUCACAUUUGGAAAGUCUUUGUUUAUGAUGACAAAAAAGUCUUUGGAAAUUGUUAAGGUUUUUGGUCAACUUGGAUUUGUGUAGCCUUUACGACCAUAUGAUGGAAGUUUCAAGACAUAGCUUUCUUGCAAUAACGAAAUAAAAUUUUUAGUAUUCCUCUCAUACAACAUGCAUACACAUCCAAGGCAAAAUGAAGAGUUGAACCUCUGAAUAGGUUUUUGAACUUGGUAUAAAUUUGAAGAACAAAAAAAAAUAGAUUUUUAAGGGGUGUUUGAGAGUGUGAUAACAGUUAUUUUUUAAAGUAUUUUUUGUUAUCAAAAUAAUAUAUCUUUUUUCAUUUUUUAAAAAUUAUUUUUCACAUCAACAUAUCAAAACAAUUCAAAAUAUAAAAAAUAUUAAUUUUAAACAAAAAUUUUUCUUCAUGAAACAUCAUUUGAAACACAAUUCCAAAUGACGCCUUUUAGUUCUCUAAAUGGAAACUAUUGUAUUUGAACAGGAAAUCAAGCUGUCCUUUUUAGUUGAGUAAGACAUGAAUAUGACUUGGACUCACAACAAUAUCUGAGCAAUAUAGGUUGUAAUGAUAUUCCUUGUCAUUUCAAAUUAGAUGAACUAUACAACUCAUGUUCUUUAUCCAUCAUACUUAAGCUCAAAGUUAAGUCCAAACCCAACCCGAAAUAACAUAGGUAUUUAAAGAGAAGGUUACCAAAGAAAUUGCUUAUUCUCUUCUCCUGUUUUUUUUCACCCUAGCAUAACUUUCUCCCAAAAUACUGAGGAUUUUGGUUUUAAGCUUUAGUUUUGUUAUUACCCAUUUUUGCCCCACAAAAAAUCAAGAAAAGAAAAAAAAAUAAGAAAUAGAAAAAUAAAAUCAAAAUACAAGAGGAUAUACAUAAAUAAAGCCUAUAAGACUGUCUAAGUUGGUGGUAAAGGAUUAAAAUGUUAAGUAGAAAAGUUGGAGGACUAAAAUGUAUAAGAUUAACAACCAAAUUAUGAUUGACAAAGGCCUUAUUGGUGAAAAUAUUUUUAUUUGGGGUGAAUAAAUACAAAUUUGGAUAGGUAAGGACUCAAUGAGAAUCUUGGAAGGCUUAAUUAAUCUUAUUGAGGACUUGAUUGCAGGGAAAAUCAAUUUUUUGAGUCAAUUUGGGUGUUAAUUGAAAUAUAUUAAAUUAUGGGGACUUAAUUGGUUUUUUAGGAGGUUUCAUUGGACGAAUCAAAGGCUUAAUUGUAAGAAUAUUGAAGUUCGAUGGGCGAUUAAAGAUUUGAUUGAAGAAAUCCAAAACCAAUGACAAAACUAAAAAAGACGCAUGAUUGUAGGGCUAAAAUUGACCAAAUCAGGGGCCAAAUUGAAGAAAAUUAAAAAUUUAAUGGUCAAUUAAAGGUUCAAGUGCACAUAUCAGAAACCAAGGACCAAGAUAAAAAUGGAGCUGAACUUUAAAGCUGAUGAUUGAGUUUGGCAGGGAAGAAAUUGAAUGAAAUUAAGAGUUUGAGAGUUAAUUAAGGAUGCAAUUAAAAGCAAUUGGAAGAACAUCGACUAAAAUGAAAAUUUUCAAAUCCCAAAUUAAAACCCUAAUUUCUAGGGUUUAACCUACACAAUGCGUCGUUCAGCCACUGUUUAGCUUUUUCUUUGGCAGUUUUGGCUGAUCAAGUAGGCAUUUUCAGACGAAUGAAUGUUGCAUCCUGUGACUAUAACCACUACCAUUCAACUAAGAAAUACCCCAUUUACAAAGAUCAGCUACUCCUAUCAAAUAUUUACAUCCCAUUUUCUUUAACUAACUCAACAAUAUCGUGUCCUUGAUAAGCCAUUAUUGCAUUUUUAGUUUCUAAGCUGAUCAAAGUGGCAUCUCCAAACGGAUGAAUGUGAAGCUACAUCACUUUUAAUUGAGAAAUAAUGGAUCCAAUCAAAAUGUAUGCUUCUCCUUUACCAAGCUCAGGUGGUCUCUUAUGACGUUUACAUCGGAGGUGCUCUAGAGAAACUUCAAAUUUGGCCAACUAAGUCAGCCUUCACAAAGAUACCUACUUGUGUAAAACCACUCAACUUUUUGGUGUGUUCACACUUAAAAAUUCUCAGAGGGUUCUUAUCAAAUGUCAUAAAUCUUUCAUCCAAAAUUAGAACAUGAGGAAUGCAUGCCAUUGUCUUCAAGCAAAAAAAAAAAAAAAACAACCUAGGAAAAUUUGUUACAAAACCAACAUCCCAAAACCAUUGAAGGACAAAGGUGUCAGAUGUUAACAUUUGUCCAGAACUCUCUUAUUUUGAUCAAAGGGCUAAGUUUUGAUCAAUUUAUGUUUGAAUUCAUCAAGAACCCUAUAAAUACCCCCUAAAAAUGAAGAAAUGAGAGAGAGAGGAAAAUAUGGAGAAACACACUAUAAAAAGAUCCUAGUGUAAAGGUUCAAGAGCUUAACAUAGAAGGUCUAACAAUCUUUAGAAGAAAAAGAUAAUGAAAGGAAAAUAAGAAAAGAAAACAGAAGGAAAACAACAGUACAUAGCUAUCAAGCUUGAAGAAGAUAUAACCACGUACAAGUUCAAGGGUGGAGUCCAUAUGACCUGCCUAUUCAUGCGUUUUUAAUGUUUAAACCUUUUUUGAUGUUGCUUGAGUUUAUCUUAUAUUUUUCGGUUUGAUUUUGAUGUUGGAAUAAUUUGAUGUUUUUCGACAAAGUUUGUUUCAUUUUUGUUCUUUUUUAAGCAUGUUUUAAAUUGCUCAAGCUUUCUUUGUGAUAGUUUGUUUUAGUUUUAGUCAGUAAUAUGUUAGAGAAGCUUGCAUUAAAGUCAUGAUUCUUGGUUUUGAUGCUAGCCCAAUAACAUGAUGAUGGUGUAUUUGAGGUAUUUUGAUUGGUCUUUGAAUUUAUUUUUUAAUAAAAUAGUAAGUUACUUUUGUUUGUGGGUUAAAGAUUUUGAAAGCAUGUUGAUCAAUUUGAUGUCUUUUAGUGCAAGUUCAUGGUUCAUUAUAAUAUGUUUUGACAUAUAGAUGUUAAAAAUAUCAAGUUUUGAAUCCAAACUGUAUGAAUAUGUUUUCUAUUUAGCUUUGGUAGUUUUGAACUUUGAAACUCCAUGCAUGUUAUUGAUGAUUUGAUGUUAUUUGUUUGUUCUUUGGAUUCAACUAUACUUAGUAUUGGUAAUAUGGUUUGUGAGGACCAAAAGCAACAUGUUUCAAAAGACUAAGAAGCUAGUUCUAGGUUUAACAAUAGGCUAAGAAUUUCUAGGUUGUUGGGUUCGGUUUCUUCAUGUUCUUGGAAAAAAAUAUUACCCUAAUUUAUUCGCACUAAACCAUUCAGGUAACUUGACUAGUAGGUAAUUUGGGGUUUAUUUAAUUUGGGGUUUAUUUGCAUCAAUAACAUGUUUUUGGAGGUUUUAAUUCUAGAGUUUUGAUUUUGAAGUGAAACCCAUUUUGAAAAAAUCAUGUUAAUUCUUUGAUAAUCGAAGUGAAUAGAUGCUAGAUUAUGAAUCCUUGCAUGAAUUCGAAUAAAACCCUGCCCUUGAUUGCAUGAAAACUUGUCCAGAUAGAGAUUUUUGUUUGUUGGGUUCUUGAUGAAUGUUCAUUGUGUUCUUCACAAUUUGAGUACUUGAUCUAUUUUUCUAUGAAAAUUUUUAUGUUUUGUUAUAAUUUUCAACUUUGAUUUUUUUUUUUCAGUUUAAACCUUUGUUAUGGUUUAGUUUUUAGGUCAAACCUUGGUUUUUGGUUCGAUUUAUAGUUGAAUCAGCUUCUUUGGGUCGACCUGUUUGGUUUUGUUUUGAGUUAAGUGCUUAAGGUUUUGUUUGUUUGGACCACUUUUUAUUAAGGAUUUUUUUUUCCUAAAAGGGUGUUUGGAAAGCACACCCUUAAGUUUAUUUUGGUAAUUUUAUAGGGAAAGAAAAGAUGGUUUUGCCAAACAUGGUCUUACAUAAAUAAAUAAUAACAAUAAAAUCAAAAAUCAAAAAUGUUUUUUUGCUUGUUGCAUAGAACCAACUCCUUACAAAAAGAAAAAUACAUUUUAUUCCUUGCUAGUUUUUUUUUUGGCAUUUUUUUUAAAUUUAUAGUAAGUUUAUAAAAAAUUUUAAGGAGUUGGCCAAUAUUUCAAUAACCCUAAACAUUUUAAUUCAUGAAAAUUAAUGGUCAAUAUUCUUGUAUAAAUAUUGGACCUACUAGUAGGUUGAUAUUUAAGUACCAGGAGUUGACUAGAAAAUUCUCAAAAUUAUUUUAGAUAUUUACCAAGUUCAAUUGGGAGUAUUUUUCAUCACAAUAUUCGAGUUGUGGAAAAUACUUUCGUCUUCCAGGAUAUGUGAACUUUGUCAAGGCACCUACAUGGAUUCUUCUUAAAAGAAUUUACCUGUACAUAUGAGUCCAUAAUAAAUUCAAAAUGUCAGAUUUAUUCACGAGCGUAAAUCUUUGUUCUAAGCUAUAAACAGACUACCGAUUAGGAACCUAUCAACACUUUUAAACCACAUUUAUACCACACAAUGCAGUUUACCUCAGGUAAGGUACGCUAGGAGUGCUAAUACAUUUCCUAGCCACAAUCAGCCUAUUACCUUGGAAUUUCAUAUAAGACCAGUCCACUCGGGUCUCUUAGUGACUCUAAACCAAACAACUAGAUGAUGACUCCUUAAUCCUGACACCGCAACACCGCACGCUCACGUGCGCCAAGUUUGGUUCAAGAAAGUUUUAAGAAACAAAUAAGUCUCUCCCUCUUUUGUUAUUUUUUUAUUAGGAAAUUAUUUGUGGAAGGAUUAAGGAAGAGUCAAGAUUUUAUUAAGACUUGAUGAUUGAAUGAUUUAAAGGAUUUAAAUUGAUGUUUAGGGUGUUAGCCCUACUUAAAAUCGGUUUGAUAUGUUGUCUAGCUUAUGGGUUUUUGAAGAACAAAAUGUGUUUUUUUUUUUUGGAUCUGCAGAUUUGAAGACUAGCAAAUUGGGAUUCUGGGAAUCCCAGUCAACUAGUUGGUUAAACCGCCCGACUAGUUGGUUGGUUAUUGCUAGUCCACCGGUUGGUCUAAACCAACUGACUUGUUGUCCCGUGUUAGUGGUCGACUAGUUGGUCAUUUCGGUCAAUAGGUUGACCCAACAAUAGAGUUUUAUCGGGUCUGUUAGGUUUGAUCAAUUUGAGUUAUGUUCAGAAUCGAUCAGGUUAAGCAUUUCAACUUUAUAUUUAUGUUUUGAUCUCUAAGCUUAAUGUUUUAAUCUUUUAUGUUAUUUGCUUUGAGUUAUUCUUUAAGUGUUUUCCAUAUCCGUUAUAGGUUGUGCUGACAUUUCUCAUAACGAUCUUCAAUAGUCUCUAAUUCUGCAUCUAUUUGUCUUUUGCUUUUGUUUUUGGGUGAGUGAGAUAAUCUUUAAUACACAUGUAAUAUAAACAAAUAUAUAUGUUGAUUAUAUGACAAGUACAACAAAUUAAUUUCUUGAAUAUUUAUGUUUGUUGCUUUAUUUUCUAAGUACUCAUCCAUUAUAGAAUUUCCACUGGCAUUAUAUUGAACUAAAUUCUAUUCGAUACUAUAUACAUUGCUUUGAUAAUUAUGUGAGUAUCUAUUAUAUCUUGAUAUUGGUAUACUUGUUAGUAACUUCAUGCUAAUGAAGAGUAGUUAUUCUAUGAGUACAUAAUAUUUUGUAUACUUAGUUGGUGAGAGAGACAUCAGUCUGUGGCGACUGAUCCUCCCAUAGUGGUCACCUUCAUGUGUCAUAUAAUAUGUGACAUGUAUUCCACAAAUUUAUAUUAAUAUGCUUAGCAUGUAUAUUUAUAUCAAGAUAUAUCAACUUACAAACUAUUAAUAUAUACGAAGUGUGUUAAAUGUUAUUCUCUCACUGAGUUGGUUGAAUUCACCUCUCUAUUUGUUUAAAAUAUUUUUCAGGUUUGUAGUAUGUUACUUUGUUGAGUGUUUAUGCUUUUUCAGUUUUGGACUAUAUAUGCCUUGCUUAUUCCGCGAGGCUUUCCUAUUAGUUUUUUAUUCGAUAUCUUAGAUGUUCUAUUAUUACAUUGUUUUAAUUAAGUUUGGAUUUUGACAAUGUAAUAAGUAUUAUGAACUAUUUGUUUUGCUUUAUUUAAUGAUGAUAAUUUUUGAAGUGUUAUUUGAAUUUAUUAGUUUUGAGGAAUAUAAUAUUUUGAAGGAUAUUGAAACGCUAUGAAAUCUUUAUAUAAUUUGUUUUAUGAUAUGUACGUUUUGAGGUUUAAUAUUAGUGAGUUGUUCUUAUAACAUCACUCCUAGGUUACCGGUUAUAGAUCCGAAAUUCAGAUCAUGGCAUGGAAUGUCCAUACCAUAAAGCAAUCUUUGUCUAUGCAUAACAAAAAUUAAUCCCAAGAAGAAGCGUACAAUGUUAUGUAUUCACAAAAUUUGUCAAGUCGGAAUGUAGGAUUCAUCACCAUCAGAACACAAGGCUAAUAAACCUCUUAACGUAAGAAGCAUAGACAAGUCGAAAAUCUGGCUCUCCGAUGCAGGCUAAUAUCCUUCCUCGAAUUUUGACAUUGUUAUCGCAUCUGUGGAAAAUGUAUAGACUUCUUUAGGCUGAACAGUUGUUUUCAGUCAGAUUUGUUAGGUAGAUGUGGGGUUCUUCUAGAAGUGGAAGCUCUACUUCACUGCCUAUUCCUCCAUGGAACCUAUAGCUUCCAUCAUCGGCCCAUAUGCAACCUGUCCUUGUACACAUUGAAGCCCGAUUUGAAGAGGAUCUCAAUAGGUAAACAAUCUUAAACUAUAGAAAAUUCUGAUUAAAAAAAUCCAAAAAUAACUAGAAAUUGUUUUUUUUAUAUAAAAAAAGGUCUUGUAUGCUUGAUUUAAGCAAGAUAAUGCUUAUUUCUAUAAUUAUUUCUAACAUUUCAAAUCUCACUUGCUAUAUAUAUAUAUAUCCAUCCUUGAAAGGAGGAGGAAGCCAGUUUGCGAAAUUAAAUAAUAAUUGAUAGUAGAUUUUAGAGAAGGGACUAAAAUAUAAUUUGAAAAAAAAGGGACUAAAAUAUAAUUUGAAAAAAAAGGGACUAACUUACAACAUCAUCAAAACGACAGGGACUUGGUUAUAAGUUACUUAAAAAGGAAAGUCCCAUAGGCCUGCGGAAUUAACGUAUUCCUUCACCAAUGCAAAGUAAAACUCCUGAAGUUGUCCUGGUUAUUUCCUGAUUACUCUUUUUAAUUAGAUUUUAAAAUUUUAUUUGGAUUUGGAUUUGGAUUUCCUAAGUUAGAUUGAUUUAGCUACUAUAUAAAUAAUUCUUAUUAAGAAUCAGUGAACUUUAAAUUUAUAAGUUAGAGUUUUCUUACGCUAGGAUCACCAUGAAGAGCCACAGAGGAAGAAGAUCUAGAGCCAAGAAUGGUGGCAACCAAGUUCAAGAUGCAGAAUGGUCAAUGUCUGCGCUUCCGGACGAUAUAACCGCAGACAUUCUCUUGCAACUCCCCUUGAAAAGCAAAAUUCAAUGUAGGUGUGUAUGCAGGACCUGGCGCAAUUUACUCUCGGACUCGUACUUCUCUGAAGUUCAACGUGAAAGAGCUCAAUCCAUGCUUGUCCUUCGCUCGCCACCGUCAUGUGUUUCCAGGAAAGCUGCAGCCCUUGCUCCGAACGAUUUUUACGUGGUUGAUCUCGAAUCAGGUUCAGUUCGCAAUAAUGUCAUGAAGUUAAACACCAAAAACAAUCUCCCCACCUGUCAUGUCGAACUGGUGGGCUCAUGCAACGGCUUGCUUUGUUUGUUUGAUAAGAAUUCGAAGAAAGUUUUUUACCUUUGCAAUCCAGUGCCGGGUGAACAUGUCAGGACUCCUGCGAACUGCAAGAAGGAAAAACAGAGAGGGAAAACGAUAUUGGAUGCGGUUCUUGGGUUUGGGUUUAGUCCUAAAAGCAAUCAUUACAUGGUUUUAAGAAUAACCCGUAAGAAACUUACUUAUCCUAUUUCUAUUCUGCGUUCAGAAGGUGAAAUUUGCAUAUUUGGAGACAAUGAGUGGAAAAGUAUUGGGGAGAUUCCAUUCCCAGAUUGUAAGAAAUUCUUUGGUGUUUCUCUGAAUGGAGCUCUUCAUUGGAUUCUCAACCUUGAUGACUAUGAAGAUGCUGAUUUGAUAUGUGCUUUAGAUAUCGACAGCAAAAAGAUUAGGCCAAUGUCGCCACCGAAUGGCUUCAGGAGGGAUACUACAGAGAUGACCUUGGGAGUACUAAGAGAUUGUCUCUUUAUAUGUGACAGUAUGACUUUGUAUAAUCUUGACAUAUGGGUGAUGAAAGAAUAUGGAGUCAAGGAUUCUUGGACUAAAGAGAUUGUAAUUGCGAAGACCUCGCUUCCUUCGAAUCUGCAAAAUUCCUUUCUCCAGCCAAUUAUGGUUUCUAAGGAUGGAGAGGUUUUGAUUUCAAGUGAUUCCAACGUUUUUGUUUGGUAUGAUCCAGGAAGUAAAAGUUUCACAAAAGUAACUCUACCCAGCAGGGUUGGGUCCGAAUUCGAAGCAGUUUGUUCUGUUGCAAGCUUUGAUUCGCUAUCUGCCAUCAUGAAGAAAGAAUGCAGGAGGGAUCAAUGCUACACAGCAAGAUAAGCGAUCAGAAGAUUUUGAAACUUUGCAUUCAUCAAACAAAAUCUAAACCAUGCUAGUGAAUAUCAGUAUUUUUUGCUGUAUCAACUGUUUUCGUUUAAUUCUUGCUUUGAGUUAGAUUUUAGUGUUGGUGACUUUAUAUCUGGGAUCUUUACAUGAAUGACUUGUUGUCCAAUGAAACAACUUGCAUUAAUGAUUUUUAGAUGAAUUCUUGAACUUCUAGUUGCAAUGAAUAUUCAAUCUAGUAGAAUAAAAUAUUUAUAAAUGUUUCCAGUCUAUGAUUUACACCUCAGAAUUUUCAACUUUCUCUAGGCCAAAAAUAUAGAAUUUCCUAUGAUGAAACAUUCUUACGUAGGUAGGAAGAUCUAUCAGCUUAAAAUAUCCUUUGUUUUAUAUACAGGUGAUGAAUAAUUUACAUUGAAAAAGUGGUAAGGAUUGCUGGCUGAUUUGAACACAAGAUUGAUUGGCCACAGUAUUUUUGGUGACAGUUUCUGCUUGUGAAAGUGCUCUUGGCUUAAGCCUGUAAUUAGCCUGCUCUCAAUCCACAACCUCGUUGCUUAUGGUUGAAAUUUCUCCCUAGGAACAUAGAAAAAGUUGGAUUAAAACAAACCCUAGUAUCAAUUUAUAGAGAAUAAAGAGUAGUUUUGUUUUUGUACGAAGUUGAUUAAUAAAUGACCUAUACAUGGACUCUGUUUUUCAGCUGAACUAACUUUAUAGACAUGUGAAGUAAGCAAUAAAAAACAACAGAAAGAGAAACAUUGUAAUCAUCUGCCUGCUACCAUUGAAACUGUCAAGUCAUUCGACGAAGUGAUUUCUUGUGCUUCCAUAAAAGUUUCUGUAUCUAUAGAGGCUCUGACAGAAGUAAAAGUGGGUUCCCUAGGCAAUGGAAUGCUUGUUGUGCUGCUCUCCAGCAUGAGUACAACUGAUGCCAUGUUUGGUCUAUGAAGUGCAGAAUCUUGCACACACAACAUGCCGAGUUGUAUGCAUCUCAACACUUCGUUUUCGUUACAUGAAUCUCGGAUGGAAGGAUCAACCAUCUCCAUUGCUUUACCUUCACUCCAAAGAUCCCAUGCCUGCAAUCCAUCAGAAAUUGGAUCAGAUAAGGGGAGAAUUAACAGUCAAAAACGUUCUGGUUCUGGUGUAUCUCAUAGUAUGCUUAAAUAGGCAGCAUUGUAAAUGUACUUACAUAAGCAAUAAGGAUAACGUGAUCUGUCAUACGGAAGCUAGUAUUCCUUCGGCCACUGACAAUCUCUAGCAGUAAUACUCCAAAGCUAUAAACAUCAGACUUCACUGAGAAUAGGCCUUCCAUGGCGUAUUCGGGUGCCAUGUAACCGCUGCAAGAUAAAAGAAACGGUCAGGAAAAUCAUAUUGCUGAUUAGAGUUGAAUAUAGGUUAUCUCAUGGAUUUAAAACUUACUAUGUGCCAACAACUCUGUUUGUGUUUAUUUCAUUUUGGUUAGCCCCAAAUAUUCUGGCCAUGCCGAAGUCUGAAAUCUUUGGGUUCAUUCCCUCGUCCAACAAAAUGUUACUAGCCUUCAGGUCCCGGUGAAUGAUUCGUAGUCUUGAAUCUCUAUGGAGAUAAAGAAGGCCUCUGGCGAUCCCUUCAAUUAUUUCGAAACGUUUAUUCCACUCUAAUAGCCCUUGCUUCUCAGGGUCUGCCAUUGUCAUCACAGGAAAUCAGAAACAAUUAACAAGCCUGGUAUAGAUCAUUAUUCAGUGCUUUAACUAGCCUUUUCAUUUAAGCACUUAAUGUCAAGAAAAACUCACCAAAAAGGAAGUAAUCCAGGCUUUUAUUUGGCAUAUAUUCAUAAAUCAGCAUCUUCUCAUCACCCUGAAUGCUGCAUCCCAAUAAUCGAACAAGAUUUCUAUGCUGCAAUUUGGCAAUCAGAAUAAUUUCAUUCUUGAACUCCUGCAAGCCUUGGCCUGAGAUUUUUGAAAGCCUCUUUACCGCUAUUUCCUCUCCUCCAGGAAGCUUGCCCUAGCAAUCAAUACGAAGAAUAGCAAGCUUUAGCACUAGAAUUCAUCUUCUCUUGUAUUCUGAUACAUGUAUAACAUAAAAUAUUCACCUUGUAAACAGGGCCAAAUCCCCCCUGCCCAAGCUUGUUUUCUUCAGAAAAAUUGUUUGUUGCAGCUGCAACACAGUUGAAAUUGAACAUCGGCAAAUCUGGACCAUUUACUUGGCUCCCUUCUAUAACAAGGUCACCAGGUCCAGAAAGAUCUGUUGGAUACUCUUUACUUCUGCUCAAAUCAUAAACUUGUAAUUCAUGAUUUGUCGACAUUGAAGCUGGGGUAGCUGUUGGCAAAACUGAAGAGUAAAAUUCAGAAGUAAGAAACUCAUAUCUUGAUCAAGAUGCGAAGAUAUCUUAAAUAAGCAUGAAAUUGAGAAUCUUACCUUUGAGUUUCUUUUUGAGCAUCCACAGUAGCCAUAUACAGAUGGCUAGGAAGGCCAGUCCAGCCAAAACUAUCAGUACUAUCACAUACGUAGACAUCCUGCUGUGAUCUAUAUUGACGAAACAAAUCAGAAGAUAAAUAUAUCAUGUAACUUAAAUAAAAUCUUUCAAGAUUGCAUAUGCUUUUUCUUCAUCUGAUUUAUUAUAUCCGUUGUGAUGACAAACAAGUUUUACUAUAUGCCUAACUAUAAGGAUGACUCUGCAUCUUAACCUUUUCAUGACCAUGUUCCUGCAUGUUGUGGGGUUUUUCUUUAGACAGAAUGAUGAUCAGAAGAAGUACAGAAACUUGGAUCAUGUGUUGCAAUUUAGUGCUGUCUUGGGGCCACCCACCAUUGUGUUGAUAAACCCAGAAAGGGCUAAUAGAUCAGUCAAUAGGCCUUGUUUAUUUGGAAUGAUAACAAUAUAAUUGAAACUAUAAUUCUAUCUUCUUCUCUGUGAAUUCUGAUUAUAAACUACAGAAAUAAUGAAAACAAAAGAAUGAGAGAGUUCACUCUACCUAAUUCAGAAUACGCGAGACGCACGUACAGGGUGUUCCCACUUUGCAUAUGAUUCUGGACAUCAGUCAAGUCCCCAUUCCAUAUCAUGCAUCCAAUCCCAGUGACGUGCGCAUACGCCUUACACGAACAGUUAUUUUGACACGUUGUUUUGCAAUCAUCCGAGGACAGUUGAUCCACAUCUGCAAAAUCAGGCAACUUCGUGCACCUUACUGCUUUGAACCCAUCUUCUCCACCAUUACUAGUGUUCCUCUGGCACUGUAAAGGAGACCUUCUCUCACAUCCUCCUGACAAAUUUCCUAGUCUCCACUGAUCUGGAUGCCUUGGCUGAAACCCUUCUAGACAUCUGCAGUUGGGAGAUCCCGAUGGAGUACAGACUCCAAAAUUUCCACAGUGAUUGUACUUCUCACACUCUUCAGAAGGCUGUGAUUGAAUUACUUGCCACGCCUUCGUACUUUCAUUCCACCUUUGCUGCUCUUCAAACCCAUUCCAAGUUAUUUGAAACUUCAUCAAUUCAGAAGGAUCUGAUGGAUUGUAUGUAAGAUAAAACUUUCCAUCGUUUCCAGGAGUCACCUUAAAUCCAUAUCGGUAAGUGGUUAAAGCCGCCAUAGAUGGCACACCUGAGAAUAUUUGCGAAUUCCAAUGCCCACUUCUCCACCUUCUUCUCGAUUGCUCCCAAACCACUAUUUGUGGUGCUCCGCGAGGAUCAACUCCCAUGGUGAAGUUUCCUGGUGAAGGAUCGCUUGUAGAUUUCCAUGAAGUGAAGGCAUGAAUCUCUGCAGAACCUAUAAGAACUUUCAUGUCUGGCAGAUAUGUAUCGGUAGGAUUAUUGAAGCUUUGCCAAUAGGCCUUAUCUGUGUCACCAAUACUAUCAUUGCUUGAGAGAAUAAGAUUGCCUGUAGUGUCAAGCAUUAAUGUUGUGUUACUAGACACAAAUGAAGCAUUGCUUGACCAAACUGAACUUCCAUUUCCAUCUACAACCAUCAAAUUCCCAUCUUCACCUAUCCUCAAGACUCCAUCAGUACCAGAUAUUGGUUUGUCUCUAUUAGCAACCCAGAUGACAGCCUGGUCCUGAAUCUUGGAAUACCUAACACCAACAUAUCUUGAAGUGGAAUUUCCAGGGCUAAAGAAUCCCAACUCAAAGUUUUCAUCAACAGAUAUCAAGGUUUCACCAUCUUUAAUCGAUUGGCCUUUGGUUAGCGUAUUAGUCGCAGCAUGGCAAGAGGGAGCUAGAAACAACAAGGAGAAGAAAAAAACAAUAACAGGGCUCCUGCUCAUGGUGAUCAUUCCUUGCAACCUUUGAGAACUACAAAGACCUCGAGAAAAUAAAGAACUAGAAACGUAGAAGAAGAAGAAACACACAGAUUUUUUGUCAAGGGCUUUUACAUUCACAGGAGGAGAAUCCCCAGAAGGCAAAACAUCUAGCUAGUGGUUUUGGUGGAAGCUGACUAUAGCAAUAGCUACCGAGGCUGACAAGUUAGACUUUAAAAACCUUUGACAUGUGGAACACCCUUGACGCUACAGAAACAAUGUACCUUCAUAGCAGAGAUUGUUCCAAUCUUUGACCUAGAAAGAGGAGAAUCUUGGGAGGUGUAAUAGUCAAGAAAGUUCAAUGCCACAUGCCAUUGACAUUAGUGGAGAAUGACGACUUCUUGCAAGGACACAAUAUUUCUUUUUUAUUUCUUUUUAACUACCUACACGCGGUAGAUGAUAGUUAAUUAUGAUUCGGAAUAAUUAAUGAUGCUUGUUUCCUAAGAAAUUGAAGGUGGAAGGUAACAUUAAUUUGUGUUAUAUAUAUAUAUAUAUAUAUAUAUAUAUAUAUAUAUGAUUUUCUUCUCCUUUUUUUGCAUCAAUAAUAUAAGAUUUUGAGGACAAGUUCACAUUAAUUUGAUAAAUUAAUUAGAAAUAGAAGACAAGUUCACAUUAAUUUGAUAAAUUAAUUAGAAAUAGAAUGAAACUUUGCACCAAACUAUACCUACCAUAAAUAAUAAUUCAACAUCCUCUUUAAGGAUCCUUGCAAUUUCCUACUUAUAAAAUACACAUAAUAGUAAUUUUUCAUAGCCAAAAAUUAAAAGAUCGGAAAAUAUAUCGUCAAAAAUUUUGUGUUUUGACCAUCAAGGCAUUGCUGCCAAUGCCAGAGCCUCAAAGUGGACGGUUUCUUCCUUUCUUGGGUUAAUCCUUCAGAAGUGAAGCUCAUGGUACCGUCAAGUUGAUGAUGAAGGAAAAAAGAAAAAGAAAAAGAAAAAGAAAAGGUUUCUUAAGCAAAUCCCCACGUGAAAUAUUUUUGUCACCGGCGACAUUAUGAACGAAGCAAGGUUUGGCGGCUGAAGAGUGUUUAUUAAUUAGUUAAAUAUCUUGGGUAUUAAGAGAAUAAAGUUGUGGAGUCCAUCGCCAUUAAUGGCCCUAGGUUUGGAAUGGAAUGCAUGGAAGGGAACCUACAUGAGGUAUAUGUGGGUCCAUAUUCAUCAUGAUCAUGAAGUUUCCACGAAAUACUUAACUUUCUUGAUUUAGAAAAAAUAAAAAAAAUAAAUCAAGAUUGCUUAAGCUAAAAAAACGGGAGAUCUUAUUUGCAAAUGUUAUUAAACAUAGAUGUUAAUUUAAAAUAAUUUUAUUUUAAUAUUUUAAAAAAUUUAAAUCAAAAUCAUUUUAUUUUAUUUUUAAAAAUCAAAACUAGAUCGACUAGAUAUUUUUGAAACUCAAUCUGGAUUGGGUUGAUAAAUAACCUGAUUUAUUUUCCAAGUCAGAUAAAAUUUAAUAAUAUUGAUUGGUAGUUUAUCUUGAAAUAAAAAAAAUAAAAAGUAAAGUGUAAUUUCCCUAUUUUUUUCAUGAAAUUUUUUAUGAAUUCCCAUACACAAUAUCAUUUUUUAUUAACGUGGGUGUCCGGGCCAGUUUGCGCGCACCUCGACUAAUCCCACUAGCCUUGAAGUUAACGACCAUAUAAGCCUUUAAUAGUCAUCAUAUUAACAAUUACAGGGCUCAAAACUAAAAUUAUAAAAGAAAUAAAUCCUUUAAUUAUAAGUUCUUAUCACUGAAAACAAUAACAUUGUAUAGAAUAUCGGUUUAAGUGGACGGAAAACAAUAACAAACCUACAUGCGACUCAAUCGUGGAUGCUUUUGGAUCCAAUUGAGAAAAUUGAUCUUUUUUGGAUCCAAUUGUUUUUUUUUUUUUUUUACUAUCGAAAAAAGUUGUUGGGGGGAGGCAUCCAUUCUUCAACUCGUGUCGCGGAUGCAACAAGGCAUAGUUGAAUUCGUAGGCUGACAACAUUGGAUUGAAAAAAAACACAUCUUGGGAAAGACAAUCAAAUAUGGGCAGCUUGUGUUCUCUAAGUUGUAGGAGAGAGGAAAAAAAAUGUUGACAAUCAGAGGCUUCCAAGUCGCUGCUGUAUUAUAUUCUCAGAAGUCAGAAUAGGAUAAACUAGUGGUUGAUGACGGCAUUUUCGUGAUGCUUAGAGUAGUGGUCAACGAGCUAAUAACAUGAUCGGUAUUACAGUUGAAUUGUGUUUUUAAAAAGUACAGUAUUUGUAAUGAUAAUUUUUAAACGCAGGUGGUCUUUCCGGUUCAAGAUCUAGAUUUGGAGUUUUGACUGUAUUAUUAGGUUACCUCAAUCAAAUUUUUUUUAAAUCAAAAUGAUAUUAUUUUAAUAAAAACAAAAGUUAAUCAGGUUUUUAAUUGGGUCUUACCGGAUCAUUUUGAGUUUUUCUUUUUAUUUUUUCUUAAACCCAGCCCGAUUCCAGCCUCGAAUUAAUCCGUCAGGCCGGGCUAGAUUUCAAAACUAUAGUUGUAAUCAUAGUUAAGAACACGUUUGUUAUUACAGUUUGAAUAUACUUUUGAAGAUUUUUAAUUUUUAAUUAAUUAUUUAAUAUUUUUUUUGAUUAAUUUAAUAUAUUAAUAUUAAAAAUAAAUUUUAAAAGUAAAAAAAUAUUUAAAUAUAUUUAAAAAAAUACUUUAAAAAAACAUUUAGUAUCCAAAACAGAUACUAACACCUUUAACAAUAUUGCCACCAAAUCCCAAAUCCUCCAAAAGUUUUGGCAGAUAAAAACCAUGUUAUUUUUAAGUUGUAUUUUUUAAUAUUAUAUUAAUAUUUUUAAUAUGUUUUUUUUAUAAUUUUGAAAUGAUGAUAUUAAAAAUAAAAAAUAAAAAAUAAAAAUAAUUAUUUAAUAUACUUUUAAAUAAAAAUUAUUUAUAAAAAAAAACUUUUUGCACUAUAAUGCGAAAAACGCAGACACGUACAGAAGAGCCGACUUUUCUACCUAUUUUGGAAUCAUCAAUUUAGUUGUGCUCGUGGUUUUUAAGCAUUUGGUAAUAUUUUAAAAACCAAUUCAACAUUCCAUUCCAUUCCAUGUGUUAUUUUCAAAGGAUAAGAUUACAGCCAAAACCCACAACUUUUCCAAAUGUUACGUGAAGAAGUAUCGUUAUAAGUUAUACUAUUUUUUAUUCUUCGUGCUUUUUUAAAUUAUUUUUUUAUUUUUAGAAAAUGCAGUUAUACUGUGUUUUUAAAAAAUUAAAAAUUAUUUUUUAUAUGUAUUUUGAUACGCUAAUUUUAAAAAAUAUAAAAUAUUGUUUUAAUGCAUUUCAACACAAAAAAUAUUUUAAAAAGCAACUGCAACCAUACUCCUAAACAGGUCUAUAUAUGAUUAAUCCCAUCAAUUUUAUAAGUAUCAUAUCAAAUCUAAUGCAUCAAAUCAAUUUUUCAAGAAUAUAGAUUUUUUCAAGCAAUCCAAAAUAAAUAUGGUGAUGAUAAAAAUUAAUUAUACCAUUUAAUCUUAAAUGAUAAUCUAGAAAACAAAAACCCAUUUAUAUCAUCUAAACUAACCAGUGCAUUCCAACCAAAUACGCAAUGGCAAUUGAGAUUUCUUUAGUUGAAAGUGGACAUAUUUCUGAUUAAAAAGCAUGCUAAAUCCAUAAUCAGUAGCCAGAAGACAAGAUAUUCCUCGAAGAUGGUGUUUUAAGGCACACAUAUUUUCCAGGGUCUCCAUGUCCACUGCUUCAAGUCCAGAAUUAGGCAGUGGCAUCAUUUAACCCAACUAACAGCUACUAUUUUUCCUGUACUUUUGAAGAUAAAUUUGGCGUUAUUCAUAAUGGGAACCCACCUCGUGCUCAAUUCCCAAUCUACGAUCUCCAAGUCAAAUCUCCGAGUCAAAUCAGUAGGAAAUUUGGAAACUAAGACACCCAAAAACGUUUAGAGCUUGUAAAAUGAUAAAAUCUCAGCACGUAGCUGCUAAUGUGAUACAUGUGAGGGAUGGCUCUGCUAUUACGACUAUCUACAUAUGUAGCUUGAAGGAAAAAUUACACCUAAAAGGUGGAAAAAUCACACCUAAAAGGUGGAAAAAUCGGAAUCGAGUACUCAGAAAGACUAGAAGAAAGUUCCUCGUUCUGAGAAAUCAGAAAGACUACAAGAAAGUUCCAAGUUCAGAGAAACUUUUGCUAGAGACAAACGUGAUAAAUGCUGGGGGAGGGCAGGAGUAUCAAUGGAGAACGGAGAAAACUAAUGUGCAAGCCAGUACUCUUCAAAACAGAGACAAUACAACAUAUAACAACAAAAUAAUAAUAAUAAUAAUAAUAAUAAUAAUAAUAUAAAACAAGCAAAGUAAAAUCAUUAUUCAUGUAACAAUGUAAUUAUCAUUUCACAUUUCCAAAAAAAAAAUCAAUGGCUUUGCUAUCAUAGAUAAUUUGGUUUUUCUCAUUAUUUAUUUCUCAUUAUUAGAUUGAUUAGUGACAUAUUUAUUUUUUUUAAUUUUUUUAAGUAGAAUAAAAUAACUAAAUUACUAUUAAAAACAAGAUUCUUAGUACUAAUAUCUUUGAACUUUUUAGACUUUUCACUUUUUAUAACAUGGUAAAAUGAUUAUAUUAUUUUUCAAAGCAAAAAUUUCUUUAACAAGCAUUCAAAGAUUUCUUUUUUGUAUUUUCAUCCGUUUUUUGUUAUUGUCAAGUGGAUUAAAAUAUAUUUUUUAAUAAAUAUAAAAUAUUAUUUUUCUAAAAUUAGUUGGCGCGUGCAUGUAAAAAUAAGUCACAUUGACUUAUUUUUAUAUUUAUUAACAUAUUUAAUGGUUGAUUAAUUUUAUGUGAUACACUAGUCAAGUUUUUUAUUUUCAUUUCAAAUAUUUUAAUCUUUCAAAGGCUUAUGGUUGGUUACUGAAUUAUAUAUUGUUUAUGAUUUUGUGAUUUUUGAGAUAUUGUGAUAUCUAAUUUUUCCUUAAUUGAUCUGAUCCAUCCAAAAUAAAGUAUAAGGCCCGAUGUGAUCAAAAUUAAAGUAAAAUAGUGGUGGGGACACCAGACCCACACCACAAACUACACGAGUAUAUGGACGGAGGCGACGUGGGAUGGCCCAGCCCAUCACGCUUUGGUUGGAGGCCUAAGUCUAUUUGGGCCUAUUUCAUUGUACUUUUAUUUAUUUAGCCCAUUUGGGCCUGCUCAUUGUCAUUUUAUUAUUUAUGUUAAACAGUUUAAUUUGAUGGGCCGAGCCCAAUAGUGGGAUGUCCUAAGGUUUACUAUUUAUAUGUUCUAUCAUUUUGAGACAUGACAUUAUUGAUGAUUAAUGAAAAUUGCAGAUUUUGCAUCUCCUUACUCUCCUCUCUUCUCUUCUUUGGCUUUCUUCUUCUUCUAGGCUUCUUUCUUUUCCCGGUUUUAUUUAUUUUGUUUGUUGUCCCGCGUCAAAUUUGGUAUCAGAGCAUGGCUUUUAAUUGUUCUUACAAUUAAACGAUCCAACAAAAAAAAAAAACAAAAAAAAACAAAAAAAAACAAAAAAAAUCCUACUGUUCUGAUUAGAAGAAGCUACUGUUCACUGUUCAAAAUCACUGUUCAUCGUCUCCAUCAUCAAACUGGACGCCGCUACCCACAACACCCAUCACAGCCAACAUCGGUUCGGGUUUACAGCAGCAAAGGCAGCGCCUCCGCCAGUGUCGUCCUCAACACCGAUCACAGCCAUCGAUCGCAAGCCCACGCCGAGUUACUGCCUUCAACAACCCGCAGCGCCGCAGCCACCGUAGCUCUCUGUCGUCGGUUCCAGCGUUGCUAACCAGCAGCGCCAUCAAUCGCACCUCAGCAACAGCACCAGCGGCGACCCACCAUCCACAGCGCCCUCACCUUCGGCAGCAACCCACGCCCAGCAGCGACACCGGAUCAACAGCCCCGCCCAGCAGCAACACCAGACACCACCACCUCCUCCCCUCGCGCCGCUGGCCCCAAGCAAGAACACGGAGCGAGCCAUCACCGACAGCGGCGGCAACGGGUCACAGAAGCUAGGGAAGCAAGGAAGAAAGAAAGAAAACCACAACUGAGAAUAUAAUUAACCUAGACACGUCAGCGCCACGUCAGCAUCAGUGUCACCUGACACGUCAGCAGAUCUUGCCACGUCGCUGCCACGUCAUUAUCUCUACCACGUCAGCUUCCCCUGCCACAUCAUCUGCCCCAUCAGUAUAUCCUGCCACGUCAGCUGCCACGUAAUCCUUCGCUGCCACAUCAUACGGUCAGAAUUUUUACCCAUUGAAAAUCAUCAUUCAUGGUAUGUUUUUUUUUAACACUUGUUAACCAAGAUUUAGCAUUAAUAUUAUUUUUUUGUGCUUGCCCAUAACUAAAUUAAAUUACCUUAAUUUUAAGCUGGUUUAGCAUUGAAGAUUUGAUCCUCUUGAUUAAUUGUGGAGCUUGAGUAAAUUAGUGGGAAAACUGAAACAUUGUGUUGGGAUUAUUUGUGUGCAUUUAGAGGACUUACACUGCUUGCUUGCGCAUUUUUCUGGUUUAAUCUGUCAUUACUUAGUCUCCAAGUUAAUUAAAAAAAAAAAUAUUAAAAAUUAAAAUUAUUUUCUUUAUUCUAAUUUUUAUUUUUAUUUUUAUUUUUAUUUUAUUUUUCUUUUUAUUUUUUUUUUUAUUUUCUAUGGUACAAGCUAUAAUUUUAUUUUGCGUUUUACUUGCAAGUGUUAGUUGGUGAUCUCAGUUUUAGGAUUAGUUUUGCAUGCAUUUACGUAGUGGUCGUCUAGUACACAAUCUAGAAGUCACAACUACCAUGGACCCGAACUCCAGUAAUGUUCUUAGAGAUAUUCAAGAACAAUUACAACUUAUGCGAACGGAAAUGAGCAACUUGUCCAAUCAAAUGAACAACCUUUCUGGGAGGGUGGAGUCCAUAGAAACUUUGCAAAUAAGACCGUCUAGUGAGAGUGAGCAUUCUAGUGACAACCAUAGAAAUCCUCAAAGACCAGUUCUUCGUAGGAACCGCCACCAUAACCAACACCAGGGCCACAAUGACUUUCAUGACCCUCAGGAUAGUGAGCGUUCCAAUGAUUAUCGUCAAAGACCAGCUCAUCCUAGGAACCGUCAAUACAACCGCAAUCAGGGCCAUCAAGACUAUGAUGACCCUGAUGAGCGCGUCAUGAGGCACAUCAAGGUGGAAGCCCCAACUUUUGAGGGUCAACUUGACCCGUGGAUUUUUGAUAGAUGGAUCCGUGACAUGGAUCAAUUCUUUAGCUGGUAUAAUCUGUCUGAGAAUAGAAGGGUAAGAUUUGCGAAGAUGAAACUUAGUGGGACCGCUCAGCUCUAUUGGGAAAGUGUAGAAGAGUCUUUGAAUAGGAGAGGUCAACCCCCUAUUACUGACUGGGUUGAAAUGAAGACUAAAUUAGAAGAAAAGUACUUGCCUCGUUCUUAUAGAGGAAAUCUUUUGGACCAGUGGAAUAACUUGAGGCAAGGAGGCAAGUCUGCUAAUGACUAUGUGGCACAAUUUGACGAGUAUAGGAUGAAGUGUGCAGUUAGGGAGGAUGAAGUGAUGACUCUAAGUAGAUUUCGAAAAGGUUUAAAUGAUGACCUUAGGAGAGAGCUCGUGCUUAGGGGUGUUUCCACCCUUGACGAGGCUUAUACCUUAGUACAAAAUUAUGACUUGGUCACAAAAAGUCAGUGGACAAGACGUCAGGACACUCGUAAUACCCCUUAUAGGUCUCAACCUGGUAGUAAUAACUCCAUAUUAGGUGCCCCACCUCGUAAGCCCAAUCCUUUGAUUUCCCAAAUACCUAAAGAAGACAAGGGUAAGGGUAUUUUUCAUGAAGCACCUAAAACUUCCAGAAUUCAGUGUUUUAAGUGUCAGGGUUUUGGCCAUAUCUCCUCUAGCUGCCCUAAUAAGACUUUGUUCAUCAAAGAGCAAGAGGCUAUAGGCGAAGAAGAUAAUUGUGAUGAUAAGAUAUAUGAGCCCAAUCCCGAUGAUUUUCAAGAUCUAAAUGACGAGGAUGAUGAGUCUAACUUACUAGGUUGUGUUAGGUCUAUAUCCACUCAAAUCAAGACAACUAGGUUAGGUGUGGUUAGAUGUGCUUUAACACAACCUAAAGGAACUGAGGAUUGGAGAAGGACUGCUAUUUUUUACACUUACAUUAAAUGUGGAGAUAAAGGGUGUAAGAUCAUCAUAGACAGUGGUAGUUGUAUCAAUGUAGUUUCCUUGAGUAGUGUAUCCCGCUUGGGCUUAAAGUCUGUUCCACACCCUAAACCCUAUAGUGUGUCUUGGGUUAAUGAUACAGCUAUAGCGGUCAAAGAGAGAUGUCUUUUUCCUAUUAAGAUUUUUGAUUAUCAUGAUGAAAUUUGGUGUGAUGUCAUCCCCAUGGACGUAGGGCACGUCAUUUUGGGUAGGCCUUGGUUGUAUGAUUUGGACGUUACAAUCUUUGGACGAUCAAAUUCUUGCUCAUUCACUUUUCAAGGUAAAAAAAUCCAACUUAUUGGGUUACCUCCAAGGUCUAAUGAUAAUAGUCAGAAGAAGAAUAAAGUGAGAGAAGGAGGGCUUAACAUAAUAAGUCCUAGGGAGUUUGAUAAGGAGAUUUGUGAGGAGGCUGUUGUGUUUGCUGUAGUGGCUAAAGAGAUUGUAGAAGACUUUUUAGAGGGGCCCCCUGAAGAGGUAAGAGAAGUGUUGAAAGAAUUUCUAGAUGUUUUCCCUUCUGAACUACCUGAUGUUUUACCCCCUAUGCGUGAUGUUCAACAUGCCAUAGAUUUUGUCCCUGGGGCCACACUACCAAACUUGCCUCACUAUAGGAUGAACCCGAGUAAACAUGCUGAAUUGCAAAGACAAAUAGGUGAGUUGUUACACAAGGGAUUUAUACGCGAGAGUUUGAGCCCUUGUGCGGUACCUGCACUGUUAACACCCAAGAAAGAUGGAUCGUGGAGAAUGUGUGUUGACAGUCGAGCCAUCAAUAGGAUUACAAUCAAGUAUCGUUUUCCAAUUCCUCGAUUGGAUGACAUGCUAGAUAUGAUGGCAGGAGCCCAGCUCUUCUCUAAGAUUGACUUGAAGAGUGGGUAUCAUCAGAUUAGGAUCCGUCCGGGCGAUGAAUGGAAAACGGCCUUUAAGACUAAAGAUGGUUUAUAUGAAUGGUUAGUCAUGCCUUUUGGCCUUUCCAAUGCACCUAGCACUUUUAUGAGAGUAAUGACACAAGUGCUUCGACCAUUUAUGGGAAAGUUCUUGGUGGUAUACUUUGAUGAUAUUCUUAUUUAUAGCAAAACCAAGGAAGAACAUUUCGAUCAUCUUAUCCAAGUUUGUACCACCCUAAGAAAGGCCAGUUUGUUUGCAAAUGUCAAAAAGUGUUCUUUCUUUACAGAUCAAGUGGUCUUUUUAGGGUUUAUAGUGUCAUGGAAAGGAGUCUCUGCUGACCCCCAGAAAGUCCAAGCGAUAGUAGAUUGGCCUGAGCCUAAGACUAUUCAUGAGGUUCGUAGUUUUCAUGGGCUUGCGACUUUCUAUCGUCGUUUUAUUAAGGGAUUUAGCACCAUCAUGUCACCUAUUACAGAUUGUUUGAAACAAGGUGAGUUUAAGUGGAGUAAAGGAGCUAAUAGGGCAUUUGAGGAGGUUAAGAAGAAAAUGACGGAGGCCCCAGUAAUGCGGCUACCUGAUUUUACUAAAGUGUUUGAAGUAGAAUGUGAUGCUUCGGGAGUCGGUAUAGGUGGAGUACUUAGUCAGGAACGUCACCCUGUAGCCUACUUUAGUGAGAAGCUUAAUGAGGCAAAACAAAAGUACUCAACUUAUGAUAAGGAGUUUUAUGCGGUGGUUCAGGCCUUGCGUUAUUGGCGCCAUUACUUGCUACCACAGGAGUUUGUUCUUUACUCCGACCAUGAGGCCCUCCGCUAUCUUAACUCCCAAAAGAAGCUUAAUCAUAGGCAUGGUCAUUGGGUUGAAUAUUUGCAGGCAUACUCAUUUGUUUUGAAACAUAAAUCUGGAAUAGAGAAUAAGGCUGCAGAUGCUUUGAGUCGUCGGGUAACGCUGUUAUCCGUAAUGAGUGUUGAAGUCACAGGAUUUGAAAGACUCAAAGAGGAGUAUGAAUCUUGCUCAGAAUUUGGAGAAAUAUACUUGACAUUGAAGGAUGAGAGUCACCGUGCUAUAAAUGGUUAUCACCUCCAAGAUGGGUACUUAUUUCGGGAUAAUAAGCUUUGUAUCCCGAAAACAUCUGUGCGUGACUUUUUGAUAUGGGAGAUUCAUGCUGGAGGUCUCUCAGGACAUUUUGGAAGGAAUAAAACCAUUGAAGAAGUGGAACGCCAAUUUUUUUGGUCUAGCUUGAAGAGAGAUGUCGCCAAAUUGAUAGGUCAAUGUCGAACUUGCCAACUCGCUAAGCAUAGGAAACAAAAUACUGGUCUUUACACCCCAUUGCCCGUUCCUACUUGCCCUUGGCAAGAUGUGAGCAUGGAUUUUGUGCUUGGGCUUCCACGUACUGUGAAGAAACAUGAUUCUAUUUUUGUGGUUGUCGACCGCUUCUCUAAGAUGGCCCAUUUUAUUCCUUGUACUAAGACCACAGAUGCCUCCAAAGUUGCAAAACUCUAUUUUGACGAGAUUGUCAAGAUGUAUGGUCUUCCUCAAACCAUAGUGUCGGAUAGGGAUGUUAGAUUCACAAGCUAUUUCUGGAAAACCCUUUGGCAUAUGGUGGGCACUAAAUUGAAGUUUUCUACUGCUUACCACCCCCAAACUGAUGGUCAAACUGAGGUGGUUAACAGGAGUUUGGGCAACCUUUUAAGGUGUCUAGUGAAUGAUCAUAAUCGGAAUUGGGAUCUGAUUCUUCCUACGGCCCAGUUUGCCUAUAAUAGCUCUAUCAAUAGGUCAAUAGGCAUGAGUCCCUUUGAAGUUGUACAUGGUUACAAGCCUAGGAAACCUUUAGACCUUCUUCCUAUGUCCCUUCAUGCUAGAGUGUCUGAGUCAGCCGAGUCUUUUGCACGUAGAAUUCAGGAUUUGCAUAUUGAGAUCACUAAACAGAUUCAAGCAAGUAAUGCGCAUUAUAAACUUCAAGCUGAUUUACAUAGACGACAUAAUGAGUUUAAUGUGGGAGACUAUGUUAUGAUACGGGUUAGACCCGAGCGGUUUCCUUCGGGAGCUAAUCGAAAAUUACAUGCGCGCAGUGCCGGGCCUUUCAAAGUGCUACAACGAAUUGGUCCAAAUGCUUAUGUUCUUGAUUUACCACAUGAUUUUGGCAUUAGCUCUACAUUUAAUAUUGAGGAUCUAGUUGCCUACCACAAACCACUUCCUAUCCUAGAUGAUCCAUUUGAGAUACCACUUAACUCCCCUCUUGAUGAUCCUAUUGAAACCUCUAUCCCUUUCACCUUGACAUCAGCACAAAAGGAUAAUAUUGAUGCUAUUCUGGAUGAACAAGUUGUUUUUAACAGGAAUGGUGAGGUUCAACGGUUUCUAGUUCGUUGGGUGGGUCGCCCUGACUCAGAUUGCACUUGGAUUACUAGAGAUACUUUACAGCAGCUUGAUCCAGAUCUUUGGGAGUACUAUCAGAGUCGGCCAGUAUUACACUCGACGGGGUCGAGUUUCUCUAACCCCGGGAGAGUUGGUGGGGACACCAGACCCACACCACAAACUACACGAGUAUAUGGACGGAGGCGACGUGGGAUGGCCCAGCCCAUCACGCUUUGGUUGGAGGCCUAAGUCCAUUUGGGCCUAUUUCAUUGUACUUUUAUUUAUUUAGCCCAUUUGGGCCUGCUCAUUGUCAUUUUAUUAUUUAUGUUAAACAGUUUAAUUUGAUGGGCCGAGCCCAAUAGUGGGAUGUCCUAAGGUUUACUAUUUAUAUGUUCUAUCAUUUUGAGACAUGACAUUAUUGAUGAUUAAUGAAAAUUGCAGAUUUUGCAUCUCCUUACUCUCCUCUCUUCUCUUCUUUGGCUUUCUUCUUCUUCUAGGCUUCUUUCUUUUCCCGGCUUUAUUUCUUUUGUUUGUUGUCCCGCGUCAUUAACUCAGGUAAAACGUUUAAUGAGUGAUAAUAUAUUUCCUUUUGCGUAACCAGUCUCGAACUAUAAAAUCUUUGUUGACCAGUUGGGGUUCCUAAUGACUAUAAUACUAGGUGGUGACUCCUUAAACAAGACCUUUUAUAUCUAAGAACAAGAUGUCAUAAAAUCUGUUCUUUUUCAUGAAAUGAAUUUUUAAAAAGUCGUUGCGAUGUCGAAUGCGGCAAAGAUGUGUAAGUGUAAUUAGUAUGAGAUCUUAUACUCUUGUGUUAAAAUAGAAAAAUUUAAUUUAGCACAACUUUAAGUAUGCUAAGAUUGAUGGUUUCUAGUUGGUUUUUCUUUUGGAAUAGAUUUUAUAUCAUGUAUAUUCAAAAUCUCUCUUAUUUUGCAUAAAAGUGUACACACACACACACACACACAAACAUCCAAAAGAAACUAGUUGUUUAUAGUUGUUGGAAGGCCUCUAAUAGUUAAAUUGGUCGAUUGGUUCAGCUUAAAAACUAGUUUUGCCAGUUUCAUACCUAGUGAAACUUGAAUCAAUUAAAUGUAUAUCAAUUCUAUUUAUGCAUGCAAUGUGAAGUGUGUGAGUUCAUUUUAGUUUGCUUAUUGAGUAAGAUAUAAAGAUUUAAUAAUAGGCUUUAAAAUGAAUCCUUAAUAACCAAGUCUUCACUUAUUUUGUUUCCUGGACUUGUUGAUGAAUUUUUUCAUUUAAUUUCAUAUGUUUGUUUAUAUAAUUUUUAUAUAAAACAUGUUGAAACUUAAUCUAAUUUAAACAUAUCAUUAAUGGCUAUAAUAAAUUUUGUUAACCUUUAAACCAUGCUCUUUAUAAUUANNNNNNNNNNNNNNNNNNNNNNNNNNNNNNNNNNNNNNNNNNNNNNNNNNNNNNNNNNNNNNNNNNNNNNNNNNNNNNNNNNNNNNNNNNNNNNNNNNNNUUAUUUCAUUUUGGUUAGCCCCAAAUAUUCUGGCCAUGCCGAAGUCUGAAAUCUUUGGGUUCAUUCCCUCGUCCAACAAAAUGUUACUAGCCUUCAGGUCCCGGUGAAUGAUUCGUAGUCUUGAAUCUCUAUGGAGAUAAAGAAGGCCUCUGGCGAUCCCUUCAAUUAUUUCGAAACGUUUAUUCCACUCUAAUAGCCCUUGCUUCUCAGGGUCUGCCAUUGUCAUCACAGGAAAUCAGAAACAAUUAACAAGCCUGGUAUAGAUCAUUAUUCAGUGCUUUAACUAGCCUUUUCAUUUAAGCACUUAAUGUCAAGAAAAACUCACCAAAAAGGAAGUAAUCCAGGCUUUUAUUUGGCAUAUAUUCAUAAAUCAGCAUCUUCUCAUCACCCUGAAUGCUGCAUCCCAAUAAUCGAACAAGAUUUCUAUGCUGCAAUUUGGCAAUCAGAAUAAUUUCAUUCUUGAACUCCUGCAAGCCUUGGCCAGAGAUUUUUGAAAGCCUCUUUACCGCUAUUUCCUCUCCUCCAGGAAGCUUGCCCUAGCAAUCAAUACGAAGAAUAGCAAGCUUUAGCACUAGAAUUCAUCUUCUCUUGUAUUCUGAUACAUGUAUAACAUAAAAUAUUCACCUUGUAAACAGGGCCAAAUCCCCCCUGCCCAAGCUUGUUUUCUUCAGAAAAAUUGUUUGUUGCAGCUGCAACACAGUUGAAAUUGAACAUCGGCAAAUCUGGACCAUUUACUUGGCUCCCUUCUAUAACAAGGUCACCAGGUCCAGAAAGAUCUGUUGGAUACUCUUUACUUCUGCUCAAAUCAUAAACUUGUAAUUCAUGAUUUGUCGACAUUGAAGCUGGGGUAGCUGUUGGCAAAACUGAAGAGUAAAAUUCAGAAGUAAGAAACUCAUAUCUUGAUCAAGAUGCGAAGAUAUCUUAAAUAAGCAUGAAAUUGAGAAUCUUACCUUUGAGUUUCUUUUUGAGCAUCCACAGUAGCCAUAUACAGAUGGCUAGGAAGGCCAGUCCAGCCAAAACUAUCAGUACUAUCACAUACGUAGACAUCCUGCUGUGAUCUAUAUUGACGAAACAAAUCAGAAGAUAAAUAUAUCAUGUAACUUAAAUAAAAUCUUUCAAGAUUGCAUAUGCUUUUUCUUCAUCUGAUUUAUUAUAUCCGUUGUGAUGACAAACAAGUUUUACUAUAUGCCUAACUAUAAGGAUGACUCUGCAUCUUAACCUUUUCAUGACCAUGUUCCUGCAUGUUGUGGGGUUUUUCUUUAGACAGAAUGAUGAUCAGAAGAAGUACAGAAACUUGGAUCAUGUGUUGCAAUUUAGUGCUGUCUUGGGGCCACCCACCAUUGUGUUGAUAAACCCAGAAAGGGCUAAUAGAUCAGUCAAUAGGCCUUGUUUAUUUGGAAUGAUAACAAUAUAAUUGAAACUAUAAUUCUAUCUUCUUCUCUGUGAAUUCUGAUUAUAAACUACAGAAAUAAUGAAAACAAAAGAAUGAGAGAGUUCACUCUACCUAAUUCAGAAUACGCGAGACGCACGUACAGGGUGUUCCCACUUUGCAUAUGAUUCUGGACAUCAGUCAAGUCCCCAUUCCAUAUCAUGCAUCCAAUCCCAGUGACGUGCGCAUACGCCUUACACGAACAGUUAUUUUGACACGUUGUUUUGCAAUCAUCGGAGGACAAUUGAUCCACAUCUGCAAAAUCAGGCAACUUCGUGCACCUUACUGCUUUGAACCCAUCUUCUCCACCAUUACUAGUGUUCCUCUGGCACUGUAAAGGAGACCUUCUCUCACAUCCUCCUGACAAAUUUCCUAGUCUCCACUGAUCUGGAUGCCUUGGCUGAAACCCUUCUAGACAUCUGCAGUUGGGAGAUCCCGAUGGAGUACAGACUCCAAAAUUUCCACAGUGAUUGUACUUCUCACACUCUUCAGAAGGCUGUGAUUGAAUUACUUGCCACGCCUUCGUACUUUCAUUCCACCUUUGCUGCUCUUCAAACCCAUUCCAAGUUAUUUGAAACUUCAUCAAUUCAGAAGGAUCUGAUGGAUUGUAUGUAAGAUAAAACUUUCCAUCGUUUCCAGGAGUCACCUUAAAUCCAUAUCGGUAAGUGGUUAAAGCCGCCAUAGAUGGCACACCUGAGAAUAUUUGCGAAUUCCAAUGCCCACUUCUCCACCUUCUUCUCGAUUGCUCCCAAACCACUAUUUGUGGUGCUCCGCGAGGAUCAACUCCCAUGGUGAAGUUUCCUGGUGAAGGAUCGCUUGUAGAUUUCCAUGAAGUGAAGGCAUGAAUCUCUGCAGAACCUAUAAGAACUUUCAUGUCUGGCAGAUAUGUAUCGGUAGGAUUAUUGAAGCUUUGCCAAUAGGCCUUAUCUGUGUCACCAAUACUAUCAUUGCUUGAGAGAAUAAGAUUGCCUGUAGUGUCAAGCAUUAAUGUUGUGUUACUAGACACAAAUGAAGCAUUGCUUGACCAAACUGAACUUCCAUUUCCAUCUACAACCAUCAAAUUCCCAUCUUCACCUAUCCUCAAGACUCCAUCAGUACCAGAUAUUGGUUUGUCUCUAUUAGCAACCCAGAUGACAGCCUGGUCCUGAAUCUUGGAAUACCUAACACCAACAUAUCUUGAAGUGGAAUUUCCAGGGCUAAAGAAUCCCAACUCAAAGUUUUCAUCAACAGAUAUCAAGGUUUCACCAUCUUUAAUCGAUUGGCCUUUGGUUAGCGUAUUAGUCGCAGCAUGGCAAGAGGGAGCUAGAAACAACAAGGAGAAGAAAAAAACAAUAACAGGGCUCCUGCUCAUGGUGAUCAUUCCUUGCAACCUUUGAGAACUACAAAGACCUCGAGAAAAUAAAGAACUAGAAACGUAGAAGAAGAAGAAACACACAGAUUUUUUGUCAAGGGCUUUUACAUUCACAGGAGGAGAAUCCCCAGAAGGCAAAACAUCUAGCUAGUGGUUUUGGUGGAAGCUGACUAUAGCAAUAGCUACCGAGGCUGACAAGUUAGACUUUAAAAACCUUUGACAUGUGGAACACCCUUGACGCUACAGAAACAAUGUACCUUCAUAGCAGAGAUUGUUCCAAUCUUUGACCUAGAAAGAGGAGAAUCUUGGGAGGUGUGAUAGUCAAGAAAGUUCAAUGCCACAUGCCAUUGACAUUAGUGGAGAAUGACGACUUCUUGCAAGGACACAAUAUUUCUUUUUUAUUUCUUUUUAACUACCUACACGCGGUAGAUGAUAGUUAAUUAUGAUUCGGAAUAAUUAAUGAUGCUUGUUUCCUAAGAAAUUGAAGGUGGAAGGUAACAUUAAUUUGUGUUAUAUGUAUAUAUAUAUAUAUAUCCUAAGUUCACAUUUGAUUUUCUUCUCCUUUUUUUGCAUCAAUAAUAUAAGAUUUUGAGGACAAGUUCACAUUAAUUUGAUAAAUUAAUUAGAAAUAGAAUGAAACUUUGCACCAAACUAUACCUACCAUAAAUAAUAAUUCAACAUCCUCUUUAAGGAUCCUUGCAAUUUCCUACUUAUAAAAUGCACAUAAUAGUAAUUUUUCAUAGCCAAAAAUUAAAAGAUCGGAAAAUAUAUCGUCAAAAAUUUUGUGUUUUGACCAGCAAGGCAUUGCUGCCAAUGCCAGAGCCUCAAAGUGGACGGUUUCUUCCUUUCUUGGGUUAAUCCUUCAGAAGUGAAGCUCAUGGUACCGUCAAGUUGAUGAUGAAGGAAAAAAGAAAAAGAAAAGAAAAAGAAAAGGUUUCUUAAGCAAAUCCCCACGUGAAAUAUUUUUGUCACCGGCGACAUUAUGAACGAAGCAAGCUUUGGCGGCUGAAGAGUGUUUAUUAAUUAGUUAAAUAUCUUGGGUAUUAAGAGAAUAAAGUUGUGGAGUCCAUCGCCAUUAAUGGCCCUAGGUUUGGAAUGGAAUGCAUGGAAGGGAACCUACAUGAGGAAUAUGGGGGUCCAUAUUCAUCAUGAUCAUGAAGUUUCCACGAAAUACUUAACUUUCUUGAUUUAGAAAAAAUAAAAAAAAAUAAAUCAAGAUUGCUUAAGUUAAAAAAACGGGAGAUCUUAUUUGCAAAUGUUAUUAAACAUAGAUGUUAAUUUAAAAUAAUUUUAUUUUAAUAUUUUAAAAAAUUUAAAUCAAAAUCAUUUUAUUUUAUUUUUAAAAAUCAAAACUAGAUCGACUAGAUAUUUUUGAAACUCAAUUUGGAUUGGGUUGAUAAAUAACCUGAUUUAUUUUCCAAGUCAGAUAAAAUUUAAUAAUAUUGAUUGGUAAUUUAUCUUGAAAUAAAAAAAAUAAAAAGUAAAGUGUAAUUUCCCUAUUUUUUUCAUGAAAUUUUUUAUGAAUUCCCAUACACAAUAUCAUUUUUUAUUAACGUGGGUGUCCGGGCCAGUUUGCGCGCACCUCGACUAAUCCCACUAGCCUUGAAGUUAACGACCAUAUAAGCCUUUAAUAGUCAUCAUAUUAACAAUUACAGGGCUCAAAACUAAAAUUAUAAAAGAAAUAAAUCCUUUAAUUACAGGUUAUUAUCACUGAAAACAAUAACAUUGUAUAGAAUAUCGGUUUAAGUGGACGGAAAACAAUAACAAACCUACAUGCGACUCAAUCGUGGAUGCUUUUGGAUCCAAUUGAGAAAAUUGAUCUUUUUUGGAUCCAAUUGUUUUUUUUUUUUUUACUAUCGAAAAAAGUUGUUGGGGGGAGGCAUCCAUUCUUCAACUCGUGUCGCGGAUGCAACAAGGCAUAGUUGAAUUCGUAGGCUGACAACAUUGGAUUGAAAAAAAACACAUCUUGGGAAAGACAAUCAAAUAUGGGCAGCUUGUGUUCUCUAAGUUGUAGGAGAGAGGAAAAAAAAUGUUGACAAUCAGAGGCUUCCAAGUCGCUGCUGUAUUAUAUUCUCAGAAGUCAGAAUAGGAUAAACUAGUGGUUGAUGACGGCAUUUUCGUGAUGCAACAAAUAAAAAAAUAGAGUAGUGGUCAACGAGCUAAUAACAUGUUCGGUAUUACAGUUGAAUUGUGUUUUUAAAAAGUACAGUAUUUGUAAUGAUAAUUUUUAAACCCAGGUGGUCUUUCCGGUUCAAGAUCUAGAUUUGGAGUUUUGACUGUAUUAUUAGGUUACCUCAAUCAAAUUUUUUUAAAUCAAAAUGAUAUUAUUUUAAUAAAAAUAAAAAUUAAUCAGGUUUUUAAUUGGAUCUUAUCGGAUUAUUUCAAGUUUUUUUUUUUAAUUUUUUUUAAACGCAACCCGAUUCCAGCCCCGAAUUAAUCCGUCAGGCCAGGUUAGAUUUCAAAAUUAUAGUUGUAAUCAUAGUUAAGCACACGUUUGUUAUUACAGUUUGAAUAUACUUUUGAAGAUUUUUAAUUUUUAAUUAAUUAUUUAAUAUUUUUUUGAUUAAUUUAAUAUAUUAAUAUUAAAAAUAAAUUUUAAAAGUAAAAAAUAUUUAAAUAUAUUUUUUAAAAAAAUACUUUAAAAAAACAUUUAGUAUCCAAAACAGAUACUAACACCUUUAACAAUAUUGCCACCAAAUCCCAAAUCCUCCAAAAGUUUUGGCAGAUAAAAACCAUGUUCUUUUUAAGUUGUAUUUUUUAAUAUUAUAUUAAUAUUUUUAAUAUGUUUUUUUUUAUAAUUUUGAAAUGGUGAUAUUAAAAAUAAAAAAUAAAAAUAAUUAUUUAAUAUACUUUUAAAUAAAAAUUAUUUAUAAAAAAAAACUUUUUGCACUAUAAUGCGAAAAACGCAGACACGUACAGAAGAGCCGACUUUUCUACCUAUUUUGGAAUCAUCAAUUUAGUUGUGCUCGUGGUUUUUAAGCAUUUGGUAAUAUUUUAAAAACCAAUUCAACAUUCCAUUCCAUUCCAUGUGUUAUUUUCAAAGGAUAAGAUUACUGCCAAAACCCACAACUUUUCCAAAUGUUACGUGAAGAAGUAUCGUUAUAAGUUAUACUAUUUUUUAUUCUUCGUUCUUUUUUAAAUUAUUUUUUUAUUUUUAGAAAAUGCGGUUAUACUGUGUUUUAAAAAAAUUAAAAAUUAUUUUUUAUAUGUAUUUUGAAUAAUUUUGAUACGCUAAUUUUAAAAAAUAUAAAAUAUUGUUUUAAUGCAUUUCAACACAAAAAAUAUUUUAAAAAGCAACUGCAACCAUACUUCUAAACAGGUCUAUAUAUGAUUAAUCCCAUCAAUUUUAUAAGUAUCAUAUCAAAUCUAAUGCAUCAAAUCAAUUUUUCAAGAAUAUAGAUUUUUUCAAGCAAUCCAAAAUAAAUAUGGUGAUGAUAAAAAUUAAUUAUACCAUUUAAUCUUAAAUGAUAAUCUAGAAAACAAAAACCCAUUUAUAUCAUCUAAACUAACCAGUGCAUUCCAACCAAAUACGCAAUGGCAAUUGAGAUUUCUUUAGUUGAAAGUGGACAUAUUUCUGAUUAAAAAGCAUGCUAAAUCCAUAAUCAGUAGCCAGAAGACAAGAUAUUCCUCGAAGAUGGUGUUUUAAGGCACACAUAUUUUCCAGGGUCUCCAUGUCCACUGCUUCAAGUCCAGAAUUAGGCAGUGGCAUCAUUUAACCCAACUAACAGCUACUAUUUUUCCUGUACUUUUGAAGAUAAAUUUGGCGUUAUUCAUAAUGGGAACCCACCUCGUGCUCAAUUCCCAAUCUACGAUCUCCAAGUCAAAUCUCCGAGUCAAAUCAGUAGGAAAUUUGGAAACUAAGACACCCAAAAACGUUUAGAGCUUGGAAAAUGAUAAAAUCUCAGCACGUAGCUGCUAAUGUGAUACAUGUGAGGGAUGGCUCUGCUAUUACGACUAUCUACAUAUGUAGCUUGAAGGAAAAAUUACACCUAAAAGGUGGAAAAAUCACACCUAAAAGGUGGAAAAAUCGGAAUCGAGUACUCAGAAAGACUAGAAGAAAGUUCCUCGUUCUGAGAAAUCAGAAAGACUACAAGAAAGUUCCAAGUUCAGAGAAACUUUUGCUAGAGACAAACGUGAUAAAUGCUGGGGGAGGGCAGGAGUAUCAAUGGAGAACGGAGAAAACUAAUGUGCAAGCCAGUACUCUUCAAAACAGAGACAAUACAACAUAUAACAACAAAAUAAUAAUAAUAAUAAUAAUAAUAUAAAACAAGCAAAGUAAAAUCAUUAUUCAUGUAACAAUGUAAUUAUCAUUUCACAUUUCCAAAAAAAAAAUCAAUGGCUUUGCUAUCAUAGAUAAUUUGGUUUUUCUCAUUAUUUAUUUCUCAUUAUUAGAUUGAUUAGUGACAUAUUUAUUUUUUUCAAUUUUUUUAAGUAGAAUAAAAUAACUAAAUUACUAUUAAAAACAAGAUUCUUAGUACUAAUAUCUUUGAACUUUUUAGACUUUUCACUUUUUAUAACAUGGUAAAAUGAUUAUAUUAUUUUUCAAAGCAAAAAUUUCUUUAACAAGCAUUCAAAGAUUUCUUUUUUGUAUUUUCAUCCGUUUUUUGUUAUUGUCAAGUGGAUUAAAAUAUAUUUUUUAAUAAAUAUAAAAUAUUAUUUUUCUAAAAUUAGUUGGCGCGUGCAUGUAAAAAUAAGUCACAUUGACUUAUUUUUAUAUUUAUUAACAUAUUUAAUGGUUGAUUAAUUUUAUGUGAUACACUAGUCAAGUUUUUUAUUUUCAUUUCAAAUAUUUUAAUCUUUCAAAGGCUUAUGGUUGGUUACUGAAUUAUAUAUUGUUUAUGAUUUUGUGAUUUUUGAGAUAUUGUGAUAUCUAAUUUUUCCUUAAUUGAUCUGAUCCAUCCAAAAUAAAGUAUAAGGCCCGAUGUGAUCAAAAUUAAAGUAAAAUAGCAAAUAGAAUCAAUUUAUAAAGCUUAUGGGAUCGUGAAUGCAUCUCACCCCUUGUCUGCAUUCAUGAAUAAUGAAAAUAUUUGUUCCUUUUCGUCUUUUAUUCUUUUAUUUUAUUUUAUUUUUGUUGACAGGAUUUAAUUUUCUGCCACCAGACACGAGAAACUGUGGCUGCCACAUUAUCAAUGGAAAUCUUUCUGUGUUUAGGUGAAGUAACUCUACAUUGCAUUGAAGUGGGACUUCCUUCCUAUCAGAAAAUGGCAGUUUCUGUGGAUUUCACUAUUCAAUAUUGAAAUGACAGUAGGAGCUCUGUAGGUUUCUCUUCUACAGAUUGAAGUUUUGGAGCCCACUGAAAUUAAGAGCCCUAGAUUUUGAUGGUGAUAAAUUUUAUAAAAUAAGUAUUAAAAAAAUAAAUCCAUUUAUAAAUUUUAUAAGCACGUUUGGAAAUUUGGAAAUGUGGUAACUUUUGCAUUUGGAUAAUUAUUUAAAGUGUGUUUUACUUAAAAAAAAUAUAUUUAAAUUGAUAUUUUUUAAUAUUUUUAAUAUUUUUAAUAAUUUUGAUAUUAUGAUGUUAAAAAUAAAAAAUAUAAAAAAAUUAUUUUAAUAUAUUUUUAAACAUAAAAUAUUUUAAAAAUUACCUUGCAAUAUAUACAAACGACUACCUUAAAAUUAUAUAAAAAUGUACUUUAUUUUUUGCGUUUUAAAAAUACUUUUAAAAAAAAUUGAAAUUUUUUUAUGUUUUUCUUUCCUUCAAAUUAAUAUUUUUUUGUGGUUUCAGAUAAAAAUGAAGUUAAACUUUGAGGCUGAUGAUUGAGUUUGGUAGGGGCAAAAUUAAAUAAAAUUAAGAGUUUGAGAGACAAUUAAUGGUGCAUUUAAAAGCAACUGGAAGAACAUAGACUAAAGUGAAAUUUGUCAAAUUCCAAAUUAAAACCUUAAUUUCUAAGGUUUAACCUAGACGACACAUCGUUCAACCACUGUUUAGGUUCUUCUUUGGCAAUUUUAGCUGAUCCAGUAGGGAUCUUCAGACGAAUGAAUGUAACAUCUUCGACCACCUCUAAGGUUGUAACCACUACCUUUCAACUAAGAAACACCCCCUCUACAAAAAUCAGGUAAUCCCAUCUAAUGUUUACACCUCAUUUUCUUCAACGAAUUUAACAACAUCGUCUCCUUGAUAAGUCAUUACUGUAUUUUUAAAUUCUCGGCUAGUUGGGUUAGUACCUUCAAACAAAUGAAUGUGGAGCUACAUAUCUCCAAAUUAAAUAAGAAUAUAUCCAAUCGAAAGGUAUGCUUCUUCUUUACCAAGUUCAGGUGGUCUCCAAUGACGUUUACAAUAUUAGAGUUGUUCUAGCGAAACCUUGGAAUUGAUCAACUCCGUCACCCUUGACUAAGAUAUCUAUUUGUGUAAAACCACUCAAUUUUUUUGUGUGUUCACACUUAAAAAUUCCUAGAGGGUUCUUAUCAAAGGUUACAAAUAUUUCAUCCAAAAUCAGAACAUGAGGGAUGCAUGCCGUUGUCUUCAAGCAAAAAAAAAAAAACCACCUAGUAAAAUUUGUUACAAAACCAUUGAAGGAUAGAGAUUCCAGUUGUUAACAUUUGACUAGAACCCUCUUAUUUUGAUCAAAGAACUAAGCUUUGAUCAAUCUAUGUUUGAAUUCAUCAAGAACUAUAGCAAUACCCCUUAUAAAAUGAAGAAAGAAGAGAGAGAAGGGGGUGAUAUGAGGAAACACACUGUGAAAAAAUCAUGGUAUAAAAGUUCAAGAACUCAACAUAAAAAGUCUAACAAGCUUUGGAAGAAAAAUAUAAUGAAAGGAAAAGAAGAAAAGAAAAGCGAAGGAAAACAAUAGUCCAUAGCUUGCAAGCUUUAAGAAGAUAUUACCGUGUAAAAGUUAAAAAGUAAAGUUCAUGUGACCUGCCUAUUCAUGCUUUCUUAAUAUUUAAACCUCUUUUGAUAUUGUUUGAGCUUAUUUUAUAUUUUUUGGUUUGAUUUUGAUGUUGGAAUAAUCUGAUAUUUUUCAGUAGAGUUUGUUUUGUUUUUGUUCUUUUUGGGUUAUGUUCGGAAUCGAUCGGGUGAAAAAGUUCGACUUUAUAUUUAUGUUUUGGUAUUUAAGCUUAACGUUUUAAAUUUUUAUGUUAUUUGCUUCAGGUUAUUUUUUAAGUUUUUUUCAUAUCCGUUAUAUGUUUUGCCAACAUUGCUCCUAACGAUCUUCAAUAAUCUCUGGUUCUGCAUUUAUUUAUCUUUUGCUUUAGUUUUUCGGGUGAGUGAGACAAUGUUUAAUAUGUAUGUUGAUUAUAUGAUAACAACUAGUUAAUUUCUUGUGUAUUUAUUUUUGUUGCUUUAUUUUCUGAGUACUCAUCCAUUCUUGAAUUUGUACUCGCAUUAUGUAAACUAAAUUCUAUUCAAUACUAUAUACAUUGCAUUGAUAAUUAUACAAGUAUUUAUUAUGUCUUGAUAUAGGUAUACUUGUUAGUAAUUUCAUGCUAAUGAAAAGUAGUUAUUCUAUAAGCACAUAAUAUUCUGUAUACCUAGCUGGUAAUAGAUGUACUAGCUUGUGGCGACUAAUUCUUCUAUGGUGGUUAUCUUUGGCUGUUAUCUGAUUUUUGACAUGUAUUCCACUAUUUUAUGUUAACAUGCUUAGUAUGUAUAUUUACAUCAAGAUAUAUCAACUUACAAACUAUUAAUAUCUAAGAAGUAUGUUACAUGCUAUUCCUUCUCCGAGUUGGUUAAACUUACCCUUCUAUUUUUUUAAUAUUAUUUCAGGUUACUAGUUUCUAUUAGCAUGUAAAUUUUGUUGAGUGUUCCUGUUUUUUCAGUUUUGAUUGGUAUGCCUUACCUGUUCUGUGAAGCUUUCUUUUUAAUUUUUUAUUUGAUAUUUUAAAUGCACUACUUUUACAUUUUUUUUAAUUAAGUUUGGAUUUUAACAAUAUAAUAAGUAUUGCGAAUUAUUUGUUUUGAUUUAUUUGAUGAUAAGAAGUUUUGAAGUUUUAUUUAAAUUUAUUGUUCUUGAGGAAUAUAAUAUUUUAAAAGAUAUUAAAAUAAUGUGAAAUUUUUAUAUAAUUAAGACUUAGCGUUGAUUGAGUGUUCGACUUAGCGUUGAUUGAGUGCUCUUGCAAUAUCACACUUUUAAAUUGCGGUGAUAGAUAUGAUGCUAUAAAGCAAUCUUUGUCUAUGCAUAACAAAAAUUAAAAUAUUUGUCAAUGUUAUGUAUUCACAGAAAUUUGUCAAGUCUGAAUGUAGGAUUCAUCACCAUCAGAACACAAGGCUAACAAACCUCUUAACGUUUAGAAGCAUAGACAAGUCGAAAAUCUGGCUCUCCGAUGCAGGCGAAAUUAUCCUUCCUCGAAUUUUGACAUUGUUAGAGAAGGGACUAAAAUAUAAUUUGAAGAAAAAAGGGACUAACUUACAACAUCAUCAAAACGACAGGGACUUGGUUAUAAUUUACUUAAAAAGGAAAGUCCCAUAGGCCUGCGGAAUUAACGUAUUCCUUCACCAAUGCAAAGUAAAACUCCUGAAGUUGUCCUGGUUAUUUCCUGAUUACUCUUUUUAAUUAGAUUUUAAAAUUUUAUUUGGAUUUGGAUUUGGAUUUGGAUUUCCUAAGUUAGAUUGAUUUAGCUACUAUAUACAUAAUUCUUAUUAAGAAUCAGUGAACUUUAAAUUUAUAAGUUAGAGUUUUCUUAAGAGCCACAGAGGAAGACGAUCUAGAGCCAAGAAUGGUGGCAACCAAGCUCAAGAUGCAGAAUGGUCAAUGUCUGCGCUUCCGGACGAUAUAACCGCAGACAUUCUCUUGCAACUCCCCUUGAAAAGCAAAAUUCAAUGUAGGUGUGUAUGCAGGACCUGGCGCAAUUUACUCUCGGACUCGUACUUCUCUGAAGUUCAACGUGAAAGAGCUCAAUCCAUGCUUGUCCUUCGCUCGCCACCGUCAUGUGUUUCCAGGAAAGCUGCAGCCCUUGCUCCGAACGAUUUUUACGUGGUUGAUCUCGAAUCAGGUUCAGUUCGCAAUAAUGUCAUGAAGUUAAUCACCAAAAACAAUCUCCCCACCUGUCAUGUCGAACUGGUGGGCUCAUGCAACGGCUUGCUUUGUUUGUUUGAUAAGAAUUCGAAGAAAGUUUUUUACCUUUGCAAUCCAGUGACGGGUGAACAUGUCAGGACUCCUGCGAACUGCAAGAAGGAAAAACAGAGAGGGCAAACGAUAUUGGAUGCGGUUCUUGGGUUUGGGUUUAGUCCUAAAAGCAAUCAUUACAUGGUUUUAAGAAUAACCCGUAAGAAACAAACUUAUCCUAUUUCUAUUCUGCGUUCAGAAGGUGAAAUUUGCAUAUUUGGAGACAAUGAGUGGAAAAGUAUUGGGGAGAUUCCAUUCCCAGAUUGUAAGAAAUUCUUUGGUGUUUCUCUGAAUGGAGCUCUUCAUUGGAUUCUCAACCUUGAUGACUAUGAAGAUGCUGAUUUGAUAUGUGCUUUAGAUAUCGACAGCAAAAAGAUUAGGCCAAUGUCGCCACCGAAUGGCUUCAGGAGGGAUACUACAGAGAUGACCUUGGGAGUACUAAGAGAUUGUCUCUUUAUAUGUGACAGUAUGACUUUGUAUAAUCUUGACAUAUGGGUGAUGAAAGAAUAUGGAGUCAAGGAUUCUUGGACUAAAGAGAUUGUAAUUGCGAAGACCUCGCUUCCUUCGAAUCUGCAAAAUUCCUUUCUCCAGCCAAUUAUGGUUUCUAAGGAUGGAGAGGUUUUGAUUUCAAGUGAUUCCAACGUUUUUGUUUGGUAUGAUCCAGGAAGUAAAAGUUUCACAAAAGUAACUCUACCCAGCAGGGUUGGGUACGAAUUCGAAGCAGUUUGUUCUGUUGCAAGUUUUGAUUCGCUAUCUGCCAUCAUGAAGAAAGAAUGCAGGAGGGAUCAAUGCUCCACAGCAAGAUAAGUGAUCAGAAGAUUUUGAAACUUUGCAUUCAUCAAACAAAAUCUAAACCAUGCUAGUGAAUAUCAGUAUUUUUCGCUGUAUCGACUGUUUUCGUUUAAUUCUUGCUUUGAGCUAGAUUUUAGUGUUGGUGACUUCAUAUCUGGGAUCUUUACAUGAAUGACUUGUUGUCCAAUGAAACAACUUGCAUUAAUGAUUUUUAGAUGAAUUCUUGAACUUCUAGUUGCAAUGAAUAUUCAAUCUAGUAGAAUAAAAUAUUUAUAAAUGUUUCCAGUCUAUGAUUUACACCUGAGAAUUUUCAACUUUCUCUAGGCCACAAAUAUAGAAUCUCCUAUGAUGAAACAUGCUUACGUAGGUAGGAAGAUCUAUUAGCUUAAAAUAUCCUUUGUUUUAUAUACAGGUGAUGAAUAUUUUACAUUUAAAAAGUGGUAAGGAUUGCUGGCUGAUUUGAACACAUGAUUGAUUGCCACAGUAUUUUUGGUGACAGUUUCUGCUUGUGAAAGUGCUCUUGGCUUAAGCCUGUAAUUAGCCUGCUCUCAAUCCACAACCUCGUUGCUUAUGGUUGAAAUUUCUCCCUAGGAACAUAGAAAAAGUUGGAUUAAAACAAACCCUAGUAUCAAUUUAUAGAGAAGAAAGAGUAGUUUCGUUUUUGUACGAAGUUGAUUAAUAAAUGACCUAUACAUGGACUCUGUUUUUCAGCUGAUAUAACUUUAUAGACAUGUGAACUAAGCAAUAAAAAACAACAGAAGGAGAAACAUUGUAAUCAUCUGCCUGCUACCAUUGAAACUGUCAAGUCAUUCGACGAAGUGAUUUCUUGUGCUUCCAUAAAAGUUUCUGUAUCUAUAGAGGCUCUGACAGAAGUAAAAGUGGGUUCCCUAGGCAAUGGAAUGCUUGUUGUGCUGCUCUCCAGCAUGAGUACCACUGAUGCCAUGUUUGGUCUAUGAAGUGCAGAAUCUUGCACACACAACAUGCCAAGUUGUAUGCAUCUCAACACUUCGUUUUCGUUACAUGAAUCUCGGAUGGAAGGAUCAACCAUCUCCAUUGCUUUACCUUCACUCCAAAGAUCCCAUGCCUGCAAUCCAUCAGAAAUUGGAUCAGAUAAGGGGAGAAUUAGCAGUAAAAAACGUUCUGGUUCUGGUGUAUCUCAUAGUAUGCUUAAAUAGGCAGCAUUGUAAAUGUACUUACAUAAGCAAUAAGGAUAACGUGAUCUGUCAUAUGGAAGCUAGUAUUCCUUCGGCCACUGACAAUCUCUAGAAGUAAUACUCCAAAGCUAUAAACAUCAGACUUCACUGAGAAUAGGCCUUCCAUGGCGUAUUCGGGUGCCAUAUAACCGCUGCAAGAUAAAAGAAAUGGUCAGGAAAAUCAUAUUGCUGAUUAGAGUUGAAUAUAGGUUAUCUCAUGGAUUUAAAACUUACUAUGUGCCAACAACUCUGUUUGUGUUUAUUUCAUUUUGGUUAGCGCCAAAUAUUCUGGCCAUGCCGAAGUCUGAAAUCUUUGGGUUCAUUCCCUCGUCCAACAAAAUGUUACUAGCCUUCAGGUCCCGGUGAAUGAUUCGUAGUCUUGAAUCUCUAUGGAGAUAAAGAAGGCCUCUGGCGAUCCCUUCAAUUAUUUCGAAACGUUUAUUCCACUCUAAUAGCCCUUGCUUCUCAGGGUCUGCCAUUGUCAUCACAGGAAAUCAGAAACAAUUAACAAGCCUGGUAUAGAUCAUUAUUCAGUGCUUUAACUAGCCUUUUCAUUUAAGCACUUAAUGUCAAGAAAAACUCACCAAAAAGGAAGUAAUCCAGGCUUUUAUUUGGCAUAUAUUCAUAAAUCAGCAUCUUCUCAUCACCCUGAAUGCUGCAUCCCAAUAAUCGAACAAGAUUUCUAUGCUGCAAUUUGGCAAUCAGAAUAAUUUCAUUCUUGAACUCCUGUAAGCCUUGGCCAGAGAUUUUUGAAAGCCUCUUUACUGCUAUUUCCUCUCCUCCAGGAAGCUUGCCCUAGCAAUCAAUAGGAAGAAUAGCAAGCUUUAGCACUAGAAUUCAUCUUCUCUUGUAUUCUGAUACAUGUAUAACAUAAAAUAUUCACCUUGUAAACAUGGCCAAAUCCCCCCUGCCCAAGCUUAUUUUCUUCAGAAAAAUUGUUUGUUGCAGCUGCAACAAAGUUGAAGUUGAACAUUGGCAAAUCUGGACCAUUAACUUGGCUCCCUUCUAAAACAAGGUCACCAGGUCCAGAAAGAUCUGUUGUAUACUCUUUACUUCUGCUCAAAUCAUAAACUUGUAAUUCAUGAUUUGUCGACAUUGAAGCUGAGGUAGCUGUUGGCAAAAAUGAAGAGUAAAAUUCAGAAGUAAGAAACUCAUAUCUUGAUCAAGACGCGAAGAUAUCUUAAUUAUAAUUCUGGAUUUCUUGAGAAUCUUACCUUUGAGUUUCUUUUUGAGCAUCCACAGUAGCCAUAUACAGAUGGCUAGGAAGGCCAGUCCAGCCGAAACUAUCAGUACUAUCACAUAAGUAGACAUCCUGCUGUGAUCUAUUGAGGAAACAAAUCAGAAGAUAAAUAUAUAAUGUAACUUAAAUAAAAUGUUUCAAGAUUGCAUAUGUUUUUUCUUCAUCUGAUUUAUUAUAUCCAUUGUGAUGACAAACCAGUUUUACUAUAUGCCUAACUAUAACGAUGACUCUGCAUCUUAACCUUUUCAUGACCAUGUUCCUGCAUGUUGUGGGGUUUUUCUUUAGACAGAAUGAUGAUCAGAAGAAGUACAGAAACUUGGAUCAUGUGUUGCAAUUUAGUGCUGUCUUGGGGCCACCCACCAUUGUGUUGCUAAACCCAGAAAGGGCUCAUAGAUCAGUUGAUAGGCCUUGUUUGGAAUGAUAACAAUAUAAUUGAAACUAUAAUUCUAUCUUCUUCUCUGUGAAUUCUGAUUAUAAACUACAGAAAUAAUGAAAACAAAAGAAUGAGAGAGUUCACUCUACCUAAUUCAGAAUACGCGAGACGCAUGUACAGGGUGUUCCCACUUUGCAUAUGAUUCUGGACAUCAGUCAAGUCCCCAUUCCAUAUCAUGCAUUGAAUCCCAGUGACGUGCGCAUACGCCUUACACGAACAGUUAUUUUGACACCAUUUUUUGCAAUCAUCAGAGGACAAUUGAUACACAUCUGCAAAAUCAGGCAACUUCGUGCACCUUACUGCUUUGAACCCAUCUUCUCCACCAUUACUGGCGUUCCUCUGGCACUGUAAAGGAGACCUUCUUUCACAUCCUCCUGACCAAUUUCCUAGUCUCCACUGAUCUGGAUGCCUUGGCUGAAACCCUUCUAGACAUCUGCAGUUGGGAGAUCCCGAUGGAGUACAGACUCCAAAAUUUCCACAGUGAUUGUAUUUCUCACACUCUUCAGAAGGCUGUGAUUGCAUUACUUGCCACGCCUUUGUACUUUCAUUCCACCUUUUCUGCUCUUCAAACCCAUUCCAAGUUAUUUGAAACUUCAUCAAUUCAGAAGGAUCUGAUGGAUUGUAUGUUAAAUAAAACUUUCCAUCGUUUCCAGGAGUGACCUUAAAUCCAUAUCGGUAAGUGGUAGAAGCUGCCAUAGAUGGCACACCUGAGAAUAUUUGCGCAUUCCAAUGCCCACUUCUCCACCUUCUUCUCGAUUGCUCCCAAACCACUAUUUGUGGUGCUCCGCGAGGAUCAACUCCCAUGGUGAAGUUUCCUGGUGAAGGAUCGCUUGUAGAUUUCCAUGAAGUGAAGGCAUGAAUCUCUGCAGAACCUAUAAGAACUUUCAUGUGUGGCAGAUACGUAUCCGUAGGAUUAUUGAAGCUUUGCCAAUAGGCCUUAUCUGUGUCACCAAUACUAUCAUUGCUUGAGAGAAUAAGAUUGCCUGUAGUGUCAAGCAUUAAUGUUGUGUUACUAGACACAAAUGAAGCAUUGCUUGACCAAACUGAACUUCCAUUUCCAUCUACAACCAUCAAAUUCCCAUCUUCACCUAUCCUCAAGACUCCAUCAGUACCAGAUAUUGGUUUGUCUCUAUUAGCAACCCAGAUGACAGCCUGGUCCUGAAUCUUGGAAUACCUAACACCAACAUAUCUUGAAGUGGAAUUUCCAGGGCUAAAGAAUCCCAACUCAAAGUUUUCAUCAACAGAUAUCAAGGUUUCACCAUCUUUAAUCGAUUGGCCUUUGGUUAGCGUAUUAGUCGCAGCAUGGCAAGAGGGAGCUAGAAACAACAAGGAGAAGAAAAAAACAAUAACAGGGCUCCUGCUCAUGGUGAUCAUUCCUUGCAACCUUUGAGAACUACAAAGACCUCGAGAAAAUAAAGAACUAGAAACGUAGAAGAAGAAGAAACACACAGAUUUUUUGUCAAGGGCUUUUAAAUUCACAGGAGGAGAAUCCCCAGAAGGCAAAACAUCUAGCUAGUGGUUUUGGUGGAAGCUGACUAUAGCAAUAGCUACCCAGGCUGACAAGUUAGACUUUAAAAACCUUUGACAUGUGGAACACCCUUGACGCUACAGAAACAAUGUACCUUCAUAGCAGAGAUUGUUCCAAUCUUUGACCUAGAAAGAGGAGAAUCUUGGGAGGUGUGAUAGUCAAGAAAGUUCAAUGCCACAUGCCAUUGACAUUAGUGGAGAAUGACGACUUCUUGCAAGGACACAAUAUUUCUUUUUUAUUUCUUUUUAACUACCUACACGCGGUAGAUGAUAGUUAAUUAUGAUUCGGAAUAAUUAAUGAUGCUUGUUUCCUAAGAAAUUGAAGGUGGAAGGUAACAUUAAUUUGUGUUUUUUUUUUUAUAUAUAUAUAUAUAUAUCCUAAGUUCACAUUUGAUUUUCUUCUCCUUUUUUUGCAUCAAUAAUAUAAGAUUUUGAGGACAAGUUCACAUUAAUUUGAUAAAUUAAUUAGAAAUAGAAUGAAACUUUGCACCAAACUAUACCUACCAUAAAUAAUAAUUCAACAUCCUCUUUAAAGAUCCUUGCAAUUUCCUACUUAUAAAAUACAUAUAAUAGCAAUUUUUCAUGGCCAAAAAUUAAAAGAUCGGAAAAUAUAUCGUCAAUGAUUUUGUGUUUUGACCAGCAAGGCAUUGCUGCCAAUGCCAGAGCCUCAAAGUGGACGGUUUCUUCCUUUCUUGGGUUAAUCCUUCAGAAGUGAAGCUCAUGGUACCGUCAAGUUGAUGAUGAAGGAAAAAAGAAAAAGAAAAAGAAAAGGUUUCUUAAGCAAAUCCCCACGUGAAAUAUUUUUGUCACCGGCGACAUUAUGAACGAAGCAAGCUUUGGCGGCUGAAGAGUGUUUAUUAAUUAGUUAAAUAUCUUGGGUAUUAAGAGAAUAAAGUUGUGGAGUUCAUCGCUAUUAAUGGCCCAAGGUUUGGAAUGGAAUGCAUGGAAGGGAACCUACAUGAGGAAUAUGUGGGUCCAUAUUCAUCAUGAUCAUGAAGUUUCCACGAAAUACUUAACUUUCUUGAUUUAGAAAAAAUAAAAAAAUAAAUCAAGAUUGCUUAAGUUAAAAAAACGGGAGAUCUUAUUUGCAAAUGUUAUUAAACAUAGAUAUUAAUUUAAAAUAAUUUUAUUUUAAUAUUUUAAAAAAUUUAAAUCAAAAUCAUUUUAUUUUAUUUUUAAAAAUCAAAACUAGAUCUACUAGAUAUUUUUGAAACUCAAUCUAGAUUGGGUGAUAAAUAACCUGAUUUAUUUUCCAAGUCAGAUAAAAUUUAAUAACAUUGUUGAUUGGUGGUUUAUCUUGAAAAAAAAAAAAAAAGUAAAGUGUAAUUUCCCCAUUUUUCUCAUGAAAUUUUUUAUGAAUUCCCAUACACAAUUUUUUUUUUAUUAUUAACGUGGGUGUCCGGGCCAGCUUGCGCACUUCUCGACUAAUCCCACGGGCCUUGAACUUAACGAUCAUGUAAGCCUCCAGCUGUUAUCAUAUUAGCAAUUAUAGAGCUCGAAGCUGAGAUUAUAGAUGAAACAAAUCCUUUAAUCACAAACUUUUAUAACUGAAAAACAAUAACAUUUAUAGAAUAUUGGUUUAAAUGGACGGAAAACAAUAACAAACCUACAUGCGACUCAAUCGUGGAUGCUUUUGGAUCCAAUUGAGAAAAUUGAUCAUUUUUUGAUCCAAUUAUUUUUUUUUUUACUAUCGAAGUUGACCAUCAGAAGCUUCCAAGUCGCUGCUGUAUUAUAUUCUCAGAAGUCAGAAUAGGAUAAACUAGUGGUUGAUGACGGCAUUUUCGUGAUGCAACAAAUAAAAAAAUAGAGUAGUGGUCAACGAGCUAAUAACAUGUUCGGUAUUACAGUUGAAUUGUGUUUUUAAAAAGUACAGUAUUUGUAAUGAUAAUUUUUAAACCCAGGUGGUCUUUCCGGUUCAAGAUCUAGAUUUGGAGUUUUGACUGUAUUAUUAGGUUACCUGAAUCAAUUUUUUUUAAAUCAAAAUGAUAUUAUUUUAAUAAAAACAAAAGUUAAUCAGGUUUUUAAUUGAAUCUUAUCGGAUUAUUUCGAGUUUUUUUUUUAAUUUUUUUUAAACGCAACCCGAUUCCAGCCCCGAAUUAAUCCGUCAGGCCAGGUUAGAUUUCAAAAUUAUAGUUGUAAUCAUAGUUAAGAACACGUUUGUUAUUACAGUUUGAAUAUACUUUUGAAGAUUUUUAAUUUUUAAUUAAUUAUUUAAUAUUUUUUGAUUAAUUUAAUAUAUUAAUAUUAAAAAUAAAUUUUAAAAGUAAAAAAAUAUUUAAAUAUAUUUAAAAAAAUACUUUAAAAAAACAUUUAGUAUCCAAAACAGAUACUAACACCUUUAACAAUAUUGCCACCAAAUCCCAAAUCCUCCAAAAGUUUUGGCAGAUAAAAACCAUGUUAUUUUUAAGUUGUAUUUUUUAAUAUUAUAUUAAUAUUUUUAAUAUGUUUUUUUUAUAAUUUUGAAAUGGUGAUAUUAAAAAUAAAAAAUAAAAAUAAUUAUUUAAUAUACUUUUAAAUAAAAAUUAUUUAUAAAAAAAAACUUUUUGCACUAUAAUGCGAAAAACGCAGACACGUACAGAAGAGCCGACUUUUCUACCUAUUUUGGAAUCAUCAAUUUAGUUGUGCUCGUGGUUUUUAAGUUUUUGGUAAUAUUUUAAAAACCAAUUCAACAUUCCAUUCCAUUCCAUGUGUUAUUUUCAAAGGAUAAUAUUUUUAAGUAUUCAAAAAUCAUGAUUACAGCUAAAACCCACAACUUUUCCAAAUGUUACGUGAAGAAGUAUCGUUAUAAGUCAUACUAUUUUUUAUUCUUCAUGCUUUUUUGAAUUACUUUUUUAUUUUUAGAAAACGCGGUUAUACUGUGUUUUUAAAAAAUUAAAAUUUUUUUAUUAAAAAUUAUUUUUUAUAUGUAUUUUGAAUAAUUUUGAUACGCUAAUUUUAAAAAAUAUAAAAAUAUUGUUUUAAUGCAUUUCAACACAAAAAAUAUUUUAAAAAGCAACUGCAACCACACUCCUGAAUAGGUUUAUAUAUGAUUAAUCCCAUCAAUUUUAUAAGUAUCAUAUCAAAUCUAAUGCAUCAAAUUAAUUUUUCAAGAAUAUAGAUUUUUUCAAGCAAUCCAAAAUAAAGAUGUUGAUGAUAAAAAUUAAUUAUACCAUUUAAUCUUAAAUGAUAAUCUAGAAAACAAAAACCCAUUUAUAUCAUCUAAACUAACCAGUGCAUUCCAACCAAAUACGCAAUGGCAAUUGAGAUUUCUUUAGUUGAAAGUGGACAUAUUUCUGAUUAAAAAGCAUGCUAAAUCCAUAAUCAGUAGCCAGAAGACAAGAUAUUCCUCGAAGAUGGUGUUUUAAGGCACACAUAUUUUCCAGGGUCUCCAUGUCCACUGCUUCAAGUCCAGAAUUAGGCAGUGGCAUCAUCUAACCCAACUAACAGCUACUAUUUUUCCUGUACUUUUGAAGAUAAAUUUGGCGUUAUUCAUAAUGGGAACCCACCUCGUGCUCAAUUCCCAAUCUACGAUCUCCAAGUCAAAUCUCCGAGUCAAAUCAGUAGGAAAUUUGGAAACUAAGACACCCAAAAACGUUUAGAGCUUGGAAAAUGAUAAAAUCUCAGAACGUAGCUGCUAAUGUGAUACAUGUGAGGGAUGGCUCUGCUAUCACGACUAUCCUACAUAGACACCCAAAAACAUAUGUAGCUUGAAGGAAAAAUUACACCUAAAAGGUGGAAAAUCGGAAUCGAGUACUCAGAAAGACUAGAAGAAAGUUCCUCGUUCAGAGAAACUUUUGCUAGAGACAAACGUGAUAAAUGCGGGGGGAGGGCAUGAGUAUCAAUGGAGAACGGAGAAAACUAAUGUGCAAGCCAAGUCUUCAAAACAGAGACAAUACAGCAUAUAACAAAAUAAUAAUAAUAAUAAUAAUAAUAAUAAACAAGCAAAGUAAAAUCAUUAUUCAUGUAACAAUGUAAUUAUCAUUUCACAUUUCCAAAAAAAAAAAAAUCAAUGGCCUUGCUAUCAUAGAUAAUUUGGUUUUUCUCAUUAUUUAUUCGUCAUUAUUAGAUUGAUUAGUGAUAUAUCUAUUUUUUUUAUUUUUUUUAAUUAGAAUAAAAUAACUAAAUUACUAUUAAAAACAAGGUUCUUAGUACUAAUAUCUUUGGACCUUUUAGACUUUUCACUUUUUACAACAUGGUAAAAUAACUAUAUUAUCUUUCAAAGCAAAAAUUUCUUUAACAAGCAUACAAAGAUUUUUUUUUUUUUUUGUAUUUUCAUCCUGGUUUUUUGUUAUUGUCAAAUUGAAUUAAAAUAUAUAUUUUUUAAUAAAUAUAAAAUAUUAUUUUUUAAAAAUUAGUUGGCGCGUGGAACGCAUGUAAAAUGCCUCUACACUACUUGAGCGAAGCGUUCAAAUGGUAGCUUAUGGCGUAGUAUUUGAAUCGUUUUAGCCAUAGUUUUAAAACUCGGCCCCGGCUCCGCAGGUCGACCCGGAGUUGAAAUCGGGUUGGGUUUAUGAAAAAAUAAGGUUAGUUAAAAACUUGGUUGACUCGGCGGGUUGACCCAACAAGACCCGGUCAAAAAUCCGGUUGGAACCCGUUGACUAUGUUUUUAUUUUUUACCAAAACGAUGUCAUUUUGAUUUAUAAAAAAAAUUAGGAUUGACCCGGUCAAAACCCAUGACCUCGGUUUUGGGCCGGGUCGACUACCGGACUGGGUUUAAAAACAGUGGUCUUAGCAUCCCCUCCAUUCUUGGGUAGAGGGUGUGGCAUACAAACUUUUGGUUGAGCAAUGAUGAUCUUUUUUUUUUCUUCUUUUUUCUCUCCUCCUUGACCUUUAAAUUUUCAAAUUAGUCAUUAACUUUGUUUAGCUUUUAGAUUUGGUUCAUAUUCUUUUAAUUGUUAUUAUUUUUAUUGAAAGUGAUUUAUAAUUUUUUUUUCAAUUUCAUCCUCUAAUUUUUUCAUAUAUCGAAUUUGAUCCUUAUUCUUUUAAUCAUUAUUUAUUUUGUUCUAAAUCCUUUUCUUAUUUGAAUUCGUUUUUCCACUUCAUGCCUUGAUAUUUGAUUUGAUUUGAUUUUAUGUCAAAUUUGAUCCUUAUUUUUUUAAUUAUUAUUUAUUUUACUUUGACAAAUUUUUAGAUUAAAAUAUUUUUUUUUUCAUCAUUCAAUAUUAAAUUGGUUGGGAAUUGAGUUUCUUAGUUGAACCUGGGUCUAGAAUUUCAUGGAUUGCGGGUUUGAAAAAUUAACCAUGAUUUAGAAGAUUCACUCAAGCUUGCUUUUUUUUUUCUUUUCUUAUGCUCGUAUUUUUCAGUUUCAUCAUUCAAUAUUUAUUUGUUUCUUAAAUUUCAUCUUUAAUUCUUUUAUAACUCCUUAAUUUAGUUCUAGAUUCAAUCCAACCAAAUAAAUAUUAAAGAGAAUAAGACCCAAUCAAGACUCAACUAGGAAGAGAAUAAAAGAAGGAAAAGGAAAUAUAGAUUGUUCAACCGAGUUAACUGGUUGUGAUUGUUUUCAUUACUCAUGUCGGUAUAAUGUGUUGCUAUCUUUUCAUUUUACUCUUUAUUUUUUUUAUUUAAUUAUUUGAUAGUAUGUUAUUUUACAUUUAAGCUAAGGUUAGGUAGAUGUUAAAACGAUGGUAUCGUGAAAUUAUAUUUUUAACUAGAUCGCCAUUUAAGCGUGACAACUAUUUCACUCUUGGCUAGCUCACUCAAACAAGUCAUACUAAUUUACUUUUGUAUUUAUUAACAUAUUUAAUGGUUGAUUAAUUUUACACGACAAGUAUUUUAUUUUCAUUUCAAAUAUUUGAAUCUUUCAAAGGCUUAUGGUUGGUUACUGAAUUAUAUAUUGUUUAUGAUUUUGUGAUUUUUGAGAUAUUGUGAUAUAUAAUUUUUCCUUAAUUGAUCUGAUCCAUCCAAAAUAAAGUAUAAGGUCCGAUGUGAUCAAAAUUAAAGUAAAAUAGGAAAUAGAAUCAAUUUAGAAAGCUUAAGGGAUCGUGAAUGCAUCUCACCCCUUGUCAGCAUACAUGAAUGAAAAAUUCUUUAUUAUUUACGCUUAUCAUUUUAUUUUUGUAUUGUUUCUGUUUAAGUAGAAUUUUUAUAUCAAGAUAUUACUUAAGAAAAUAUUCAAUAAUAAAUAUUUGAAUUAAAAUAUUUAUUCUUGUCGUCUUUUAUUCUUUUAUUUUAUUUUAUUUUAUUUUUGUUGACAGGAUUUAAUUUUCUGCCACCAGACACGAGAAACUUUGGCUGUCACAUUAUCAAUGGAAAUCUUUCUGUGUUUAGGUGAAGCAACUCUACAUUGCAUUGAAGUAGGACUUCCUAUCAGAAAAUAGCAGUUUCUGUGGAUUCACUAUUCACUAUUGAAAUUACAGUAGGAGCUCUGUUGGUUUAUCUUCUACAGAUUGAAGUUUUGGAGCCCACUGAAAUUAAGAGCCCUAGAUUUUGAUGGUGAUAAAUUUUAUAAAAUAAGUAUUAAAAAAGAUAAAUCCAUUUAUAAAUUUAUAAGCACGUUUGGAAAUUUGAAAAUGGGGUAACUUUUGCAUUUGGAUAAUUAUUUAAAGUGUGUUUCACUUAAAAAAAAAUAUUUAAAUUAAUAUUUUUUAAUAUUUUUUAAUAAUUUUGAUAUGAUGAUGUUAAAAAUAAAAAAUAUAAAAAAUUAUUUUAAUAUAUUUUCAAAUAAAAAAUAUUUUGAAAAGUACUUUGCAAUAUAUACAAAUGACUACCUUAAAAUUCUAUAAAAAAGUACUUUAUAUUUUGCGUUUUAAAAUUUUUUUAAAAAAAAUUAAAAUUUUUUUAUUCUUUUCUUUCCUUCAAAUUAAUUUUUUUUUGUGUUUUCAGAUAAUUUUGGUGUGCUGAUGUCAAAAAUAAUUUUUUAAAAAUAAAAAAAAUAUUUUAAUACAUUUCCAAACAAAAAACACUUUAAAAAACAACCGCAACCACACUCUCAAACACUCUCUUAAACUUAAACAAAAAAAAAAAAAAGAAAUCUAACUUAAAAAGAAAUAAAAAAAGAAAAGAAAUUAUUUCUUCUUAAAAACAAUUGUUGAAACCUCAAACUAAUUGCAAAAAAUAAUAUGGUGGGCCGAACCUUUUCACCAUGCUUGUGGUGGAUAUGCCCCUUUCAACAUAUGAUAGGGUCGACCUCUCAGCGUAAGAGGAAGCCAUGUUUCUUCCAAUUCCAAAGUACUCUUCAGAUUUUUGAAGAUCAAUCUCAACAAUUUUAUAAUCUUUCAAAAUAUGACUUUUAAAGUAGUAUAAGAUGAACGUUUGUAAAGCAUAUUUUAAUUUUUUUCUCUUUUAAUCUUUUAAUUUGAUCAUUGAGGAUGGAUUUCAAUAAAAAAUUAAUUCCAUAAUUAAUCACAACUGUUAAAAACUCAAACUAAAUCGUUCUCAUAAGAUCAUAUUAUGCUUACAUCCUUGAAUUACAAAAAUUAAGAUGAAUGAGGCGACCUCUGCUUCAUAUUUUAAAAUUCACAAAACUUCAAAUACACCCUUACUAUAUGAUUCUCAACUAAUUUCAAAACAAUCAAUCUUUCAAAACAACUAAAGAGGUGGAAAAUUUCGUAGAAAAGAGAAAACUAGUGUGCAGGCUAUCAGAAUCAGUGGAACUAUAGUUUAACACUCACAGAUUUCUCAAGGUUUCACUCCGGCCCCUGAAGCUUAAAAAUUUUCCAAUAUGAACUAGCAUUAUCUGCCAUCAACACCUGUGAGUGUCAAAUUAUUAAUGGAAUAUUGUUGAUGACUUCGAUGAAGUAAUAUCUCUUCAUUCAAGUGGUGUCUCCUUUCAGCAAAUGGCGGCUGCAUUGGAGUUGGAAGAUGAGAAAUUUCACUAUUCAGCAUUGAAAUGACAGUAGAAGCUGUUGGUCUAUCUUCUGGGAACUCUAGAACACACAACAGGCCAACAUGUAUGCAUCUAUAUAUUUCCGCCCGUGCACUCGGAUCGGAUAUUACUGGAUCUACUAGAGCUGAAAUGUUGCCUUCAUUCCAUAAUUUCCAUGUCUGCAAAGCGAAAUAGUAAUAGAAAUAAGCAUGUCGCACUUUAAAAUUUGUCAGAAACGAAAAUUCAAGCUUUUACAUAUGACUUAUGAUGCAUUGAGUUGUAUGGACAUACAAAUCCUAAAAGACUCAAGGCUUGCUCAUUCCAAUAGAAACUAGUAUUUCUUCUCCCGCUUACAAUCUCUAAAACCCCAAAGCUGAAGACAUCUGAUUUCUCCGAGAAUCUACCCUCCAUUGCAUAUUCAUGAGGAGCCAUAUAGCCACAGUACAACAUCAUUAAAACAUGAAAAAGAUUUUUGACCUUACAAGGUUUGAAUAGGUAAGUUCAACGCAUGGGAUACAGUGAAAGGCUGGAGUUUGAAUAGACAAGGGUUCUUACAGGGUUCCGACUACCCUUCUAGUACUGACUUGAUCUUCAUUGCCUCUAAUAAAUUCUAGCCAUUCCAAAAUCUGAAAAUAUUUGGCUUUAGUUCUUGGUCCAACAAAAUGUUGCUUGCCUUCAGAUCACGAUGAAUAAUUCUUAGUCUUGUAUCCCUGUGAAGAUAAAGGAGACCUUGACAAACUCCUUCAAUGAUGUUGAAUCGUUUUUUCCAAUCUAGAGAUUCUUGCCUGAGUUGAUCUAUAUAAAUUCAAGCAAAAAAAAAAAAAAAAAAAAAAAACAAACAAACAAACGAAAUCACGUAAGGUUAAAAAAAUGAACGAUUAAAGAAGGUGAUCUGAUUCACAUGUAAUGCAGGUAGCAUAUAGGAAGGGCAGUUGUGAUGAUUUGAAAAAAAUAAAUAGGAAAAGGAAAUAAUAUCCUUGGAGGCUUAAAAGAAAAUAUAAAUAAAUAAGAAAUAUUGUGGUAAUUGAAUAAAACUUGAUAACUAAUAAGUAUAAAUUGAAAAAAAGAGAGAGAAGAAAAUCUGGUUUAAGAGAGAGAGAACCAGCAUGAGAGAAGAAAAGGGGAAAGAAGAAAAAGAAAAAAGAGAGAAAGAUAAGGGAAAGAGAAGAGAGUUAGAUAAAAAUAAGUUUAAAAGGUUAAGUUUAUGUUUUGAUGUGUAUAAUUGUAUUAUUUAGCUUUGAUUUUUGGUUUUGUUGAAGAUUAGAGUUUUGAAGAUUUUGUUUUGGGUUUAAUUGAUGAAUUGAUUAGAAUAUUGAGUUAUGGGUUAAUUGCGUUAUUAUGAGUUAAUUGUUAUGGGUAAUGAUUUAUUUAGUUGAUUUUGAAAGAUUUUGGGUAAAGAUGAUGAUUUUGAGUUAUGAUUUGUUUAAAUAAUAAAAUUGAGUUAGAUAUUUUAGUAAAUCAUUAGGUGAUCAGUGAAAAAAUCUGGGUUUGAGGUUGAAGACAGUGAAAUUUCAGUUUGGUCCCUCAAUUUGUGAAAAUUACAGUUUAGUCCCCAAACUUUGGAAAAAUUACAGAUUGGUCACUGGAGUAUAAUUCGAGAUUCUGGACAGAAUUGAGGAUGAAUUCUGGGCAAAAUUUCAGUAUAGUUAUGAAUUUGCAAUAUUUUCAUUUUGGUACUCUAAUUUGACAAAAUUACAUUUUAACCACUAAAAAUCUGAUAAAUUCCAGAUUGGUCCCUAGCUAUAAUUUUAGUUUUUCAGAUUGUUUUGAUGAAUAAUUGAGGUUUAUUUGGUGAAUUAUUAUCAAGAUUUAGGAUUUCUUUUCUUUUGAAUUAAAUUUCGGGAAAACCAUUUAAUUUGUGGGUUUUUGGAAAAAAUCACUAGUUUGGUUCAUAAAUAUAUAGGGUUAAGAGUUAGACCCUUAGUUAAGUGUAUUAAAUAGAUUGUACUUUCUUUUCGAGUCGUUUUUUUAGCAUAUCUUAUUUUGUAUUCAAAUAAUCCUCAUAUUUUACUUGCGGGACAUUAGUAGGAUUUCUUUCGGUAUCUGCUUUUGAGUUUUGUUCACUUUUGAGUAAGGUGAGUAGAAACUUUUCCAUAUGCAUGAGAAAUAAUAUAAAUAUUUAAAUUGUUAAUGCGAAUUGGAUCAUGUUUCUUAAUGAUAUAUAUGUUGUUUAUUAUCGUUGUUACGAUAAAGUAUGAUCAAUUAUUGAAUCUAAAUUCUUGAUAUGAGCUCAUAUAUACUUUUGAAUUGACUUAAGAAUUGAUAGCUUCUCAUUUGAUUGAUGUCAUGAGUUGAGUCUUGAGAUAUGGAUUUAUUUGUUUGAUUAUGAUGAUAUAAACUUAUGGUAUGUCAGUCAAAACACACAUGUUAAUAGGAUAGUGUUAGUCUUUGUGCACAACGUAUCUGAAACUUAGUUGGUCGAGGGAGUCACCAACCUGUGUGGAUUGAUCAUCCCAUAGUACGGAGUCUCAUGCUCAUUGCAUUUUGAUUUUCUAACGAGCUUUACCUUAUGGCUUGGGAUUGACAUAUCUACCAGACCCAAGGCGCUUGGGUUUGGCAUGGCUGCUACACCCAAGGCACUUGAGCCAUGCCAUACGCUAGAUACUUGGGUUUGACAAACAUACCAGACCCAAGCGUCUCGGUCUGGCAUGCCUAGGCACCUGUGCCUGGUAACCAUGCUAGACCCAUGCGUUUUUUUUUUAAAUAUAGGAAUUCACUUAUAAUAUUUCUUAAAAACAUAUUUAUUUUGUAUUUUCAUCUUUGUCUUUUUAAUUAAAUAUAUUUUUAUUUUUUCUAUAUUUCUUUCUUCUAUUUUGGGACAUUAACCACACACAUCCCUAAAAUUCACUCAAUUGUUUUUUUAUUGAUCUCUAAUUUUAGUGAAGAAAUCAUCUAUAAAAUUACACAAAUUAAGUAUCUUGGGUCUGACAUGGCAGCCAGACCCAAGGCGUUUGGGUUUAGCAAGGAGUUGAGUGGAGAUUUAAAAAUUAACCCAUUUGGUUAAGUUUAAUAAUACUAUUAAAAUAUUUUCCAUACUCUUAAUAUUUUUUUUUUUUAAAAAAUUUGAUAUCGACUCGCUGCGAACACGAGCCAAUAUACUUGUUAUUAUUAUUUAAUAUGAAUGACAUCACAAUUUAAAAGAAAAAACAAAUAAUCUAUUCGGUUACCAUAUGAUUAGUGCCUAUAGGGACCACAACAAACACAUUAGUUCUUUUAAUGUUUUAUUAAGAUACUUUCAGAGAAAUAAAACCAUUGAAGAGGUAAAAUGUUAGUUCUUUUGGUCUAGAUUAAAGAGAGAUGUAGCUAAGUUGGUAUGUUAAUUUCAAACAUGUCAACUAGCUAAUCAUAGAUAACAGAACAUUAAUCUUUACACCCCAUUAUCUGUUCCCCACUUGCUUUUGACAAGAUGUAUGUAUAGAUUUUGUGCUUGGGCUUCCACGUACUGCAAAGAAGCAUAAUUUUAUUUUUGUGGUUGUCAACCGCUUCUCUAAGAUGACCCACUUUAUCCCUUAUACUAAGACCAUAUAUGCUUCUAGAGUUGUGAAACUCUAUUUUGACGAGAUUGUCAAGUUGUAUGGUCUUCCUCAAACUAUAGUCUCAGAUAUAGAUGUUAGAUUUAUGAGUUAUUUUUUGAAAAUCCUUUGACAUAUGGUGGGAAUAAAUUUGAAAUUUUCUAGUGCCUACCACUCCCAAACUGAGGUGGUUAAUAAGAGUUUAGACAACCUUUUGAGAUGUCUAGUGAGUGAUCAUAACAAUAAUUAUGAUUUGGUUCUUCAUACGACCCAAUUUGCUUAUAAGAGCUCUAUUAAUAUGUCGAUUGACAUGAGUCCAUUUGAAGUUGUACAUGAUUAUAGGCCUUAGAAGCCUUUCGACUUUCUUCCCAUGUCUCCUCAUACUAAGGUGUCUGAGUCAACUGAGUCUUUUGCUCGUAGAGUUCAAGAUUUACAUGUUGAGAUGACUAAGAAUUUAAUGUUGAAGACUAUAUUAUGAUACAAAUUAGACCCGAAUGCUAUCCUUCAGAAACUAAUCAAAAAUUGCAUGUGCGUAGUGCGAGGCCAUUCAAAGUGCAACAACGGGUUGGUUCGAAUGCUUAUGUUAUUGAUUUACAACUUGAUUUUGGUAUUAGCUCUACAUUUAACAUUGAGGAUCUAGUUGCAUAACAUAAACCAUAUCUUAUUCCAAAUGAUCCCUUUGAGAUGCCACCUAAUCCCCCUCCCAAUGAUCCUAUUAAAACCUCUACCCCUUUUACAUUGUCAUCAUCACAAAAGGAUAACAUUGAUGUUAUUAUGGAUGAACAAGUUUUGUUUUACCAUGAAUGGUAAGGUUUAACGGUUUCUAGUUUGUUGGGUGGCUGACCCGAUUCAAAUUCAACUUGGAUCCCUAAAGAUACUUUGCAGCAAAUUGAUCGAUCGGGUGGAUCCGUUUCACUUUUAUAAUUACGUUUUGGCCUCUAAUCUUAGAAUUGUAAUCUCUUAUGUUAUCUGUUUCGAGUCAUUUUUAGGCUCCGUUUGUUUGCUGGAAAGUAGUUUCCUUUUGGAAAGUGAAUUCCGGGAAAAUGAAUUAUUUUCCGAUGUUUGGUAGUGUAAUGAAAAAUAAGUUGGAAAACAUUUUCCAGUGUUUGGUAGUGUCAUGAAAAAUGAGCUGAAAAAUAACUUAUUACUGCUUUAUUUUUUUCAAGUUUAUUAAAAUAAUGAGGAACAAAUUUUACAAAUUAAAAAGUUAAAUGAAAAUAAAAUUGAAAAAAAAUAUAAUUUCAUAAAUUAUCUUAAAUAAAAUAAAUAAUAAUCAAAAUAAUAGAGAUCAAAUCUAAAAAAUUAAAAGAUGAAAAAAUUAAAAUAAUAAUAAUUAACAUUUCAUAAAUUAUUUUAAAUAAAAUAAGUAACAAUCAAAAGAAUGAGGACCAAAUUUAAUAGAUAAAAAAUUUCAAUUAAAAAAUGAUAAGGGAAAAGCAAAUAACAAUUAUAAAAAUAAGGACCAAAAUUAAUAUAAAAAUUAAAUUCUAAGGGAUGAAAUUGAAAAACAAAUAUUCAAAACAAAAUAUAUAUAGCAAUCAAAAGUUUGAGGACCAAAUUUGAUAUAAUCAGCAAAUAAUAUGAUAUUUUUAAAUUUUUCACAACUUCCGGAAAGUGUUUUCCGCCCAAAAUAAAAGGAAAACACUUUCAUGGAAACUAAGACAAAUUUUCCUUUGACUGGAAAGUGUUUUCCGUUGACCAACUUUCUUAAUGGCAAACAAACACAGGAAAGUUUGGAAAGUUAUUUCCCGGAAACCACUUUCUAGGAAACAAACACACCAUUAAUAUGUCUUUUUUUAUAUUCAGAUACUUCAUUACACUUACUAGGCAUCAGUAGGAUUCCAUCGAUAUCUGCUUUUGUGUCUCUUCUACUUUUGAGUCAGGUGAGUUAAUAAUAUUCCAUAUGUGAGAUAAAUAGUAUAGAUAUUUGAUUUGUUAGUAUGAAAUUGAUCAUGCUUCUUGGUAUUAUAUAUAUUGCUUAUUAUCUAUUAUAUAUAUUGCUUAUUAUCUCUUGUUUAUGAAUAAGCAUGAUCACUUAUUGAAACUAAUUUCUUGAUAUGAGAUAUUAUGCACACCUGAAUUGAAAGCUUUUUAUUUGAUUGAUUAUAUGAGUUGAGCCUUUAAGAAAUGAUUAUGUUUUAUUUGAUUAUGAUCCUAUGAUAUGCUAGUCAGAAUACUCAUGCUAAUAGGGUAGUGUUAGUCUUUGUGCACAUCGUAGUUUUGAACCAUAGUUGAUCGAGGGAAGUCACCAACAUGUGGUGACUGAUCUUCCCAUACUCUGGAGGGUCAUGCUCACUGCAUAUUGAUUUUCUGACGAGCAUUACCUCAUGAUAUUUUUUUUAUGACCUACUUGUGAAACUCACUUGUAAAAGCAUAAGCCAAACUUGUAUAUAUUUCUUAUUGUUGUAUUACUUCGUAGGUGUAUAUUGAAUGUUAUUUAUUUAUUGUGUUGUUGAACUUACUCUCUUAUUAUUUAUUAUUUUCAGGUGUAUAACUUUGUUUUAUCAGGUCAUUUUUAUUGGACUUCUAGAACCAGCUCUUUUGAUUGUAAUUAAUGCUAUUAUGUUAUGUCUAGUCAGUGCUCCACAUUUACUGAAUUUGUAUUAAGGAUUGUAUUAAGAUGUUAAUAUAUAUUAUGAAAUUAAUUAUUAUAGAAAAUAUAUUAUGAAAUUAAUUAUGAUAGUAAAUGCUACUUAGACCUCCGAUUGAGUUAUAUAGGAAAAAGUUUUAUGCAAGUUUAGGUUCGCAUAGGAUAAAGAACCUUGAUGGAGGACCUUGCUUAUGUGCGAGUAAUGAAUCCAGCAGGCAGGGUGGGAAACAAAAAAUAAAAUUAAGAAAGGCUAAAAUUUCAGUUGUUUUAUUAUUUAAACUAAAAAUAUAAAUAUUGUUAAGGGAGGGGCUGUAAAAGAAUUUCCUUGUAGGAGCCCCGCCCCUAAAUCCAGGAUCGGGGAUCGGGUCAUGACAAAAUCAUUGAUUGGCUUGUUUCUGUUGGCUACCCAUAGUACUUAAGUUGCUACUGAUAUAUUACUGUACCAUAUUCCGACAUAUCGAUUUGUUGAAUUAGCUGGGCUGAAAAAUCCAAGCUCGAACUUAUUUCCGGUAGAGACUAUAGUUUCUGGAUCUUUGACGGGUUGAGAAGGAGUGAUGGCAUCUAAUGCAUAACCAUAAACUGAACAGGAAUACGAUAGAAACAGAAGAAGAGCUACUGCAACUUCGCAGUUGCCAAGUCCCAUAACUUGUUAUUGAUGAGAAUGGAUGACUAACAAAUGGCUAACUGAUAAUUUAGAAAAAGGAUGCCAUGAACAAGAAUAUUUCUCUUCCAGUCCUUUUACUUGGUUGCAAUCAAAAUAUUGUUUUUCAAAGAUAAACUAUGUUUAGCAAUUAAAAGCAGGCACUUUUUUAUGUUUUCUGUUAAUUUCUAUGGAUAAAGAAUGUUUAACCACACUGUUAUAUUACAUAAGCAGGGUAAUGUUUUACUCUAAGAUUUUGACCUUCUUAUGUUAAAAUAGUGAAAUUUAUUCUGGAUGACCUGAUCAACUAGCUUGGGAGAUAGCAUUUUUAUUUUUAUAUGUUAAAAUAGUGAAAUUUAUUCAGGAUGAACCUGAUCAACGAGCUUGGGAGAUAACAUUUUUAUUUUUCUAUGAUAUUUUCACAAGACAUUCACCUGCCUCAGAUGAUUGACGUGCUCCUGUUAGGUGUUGCCUAGAAGCUCUUAAAAUUAUUGUUUUACUUGGUCUAUUUUGACAUUGCCUGCAAUAUUUACGUGGGUGAUGAUUAAAUUUAUACUGUAAAACCAUGGAGUGCUAUUUACACCAAAGAAGUCUGGAAAGGCAGGUCAGAAGACCUUGCUGUAUCAUCACAAUGAUAAUGAGGACUGGUUUUUAAACAAAUUUUCAGUGCAAUAAUAGCAUAUUUUAGGCACCAAUCUAACAUAAUUGAGCUCAUAUAAGUCAUAGUUGAAUUGUUUUUAUUAUACAUUAUGAUAUAAGACCAUAAUCUUUAAUAGUUAUGAACUGUUUCGUAAGCAAGCUGCCAAAUCCAGCUUUGACGAAGAAACUUACAGUUUCCAAAUUAUUGUUAAUCUGAAUCCUGCUCUCAUGACCCUAUUACAUGGAGAUUACAAGCUAAUGAUAAGAACAAUCGUACUAAUCUAAACAAUCCUGAUAUAGCUAAUUGGAAACUAAUCUAAUUUACAUAUAGACAUAGUAGAAACCAAUUGCAUUCUCCUUCAAGCUGGAGUUCCCUCGUUCCAAUCAUUUCCCUUAUCUUAACAAAGCUUCCAAAAGACUGUGGCUUGGUGAAAAUAUCUGCCGCUGACAAUACUUUUGUUCAACUGUCUUUUAUUUUACAUGUUCACGAAUAAAAUGAAACUUGAUAUCGAUGUGUUUGCUUCUCCCAUGUUGUACUGGAUUCUUGGCUAGUUUGAUUGCUGCCUCGUUAUCCACCUAUAUAGUAAUCGUCUUCUGCUGUGAAUGACUCAUUGCUGCCAGCAAGUUCUUCAACCAAAUAGCCUCACAAACUGUGGAGGCGGUGGCAACGUUUUCUGCCUAACACGUGGACAAAGCUACAAUGUUUUGUUUUUGCAGGUAAAUCAGACCGAGAUUCUCUAAACGAAAACACAUCUUUUCGUAAAGGAGGUACAGAAGCCGUCAUUACGAGCAUUUUGUCAAAAUUCUGAGUUUUCUUAUUUUGUUCAAUAUGGAAGUAGAAUACAAAUACCACAAAACUAACUUUCUGAUGCCAAUAUUAUCAUGUCAUUCCAACCAAUGUAAUGUUAUAUGACAUUUCACAAUGAUCAAACAGAAAAGUAAACAUGUUCUGAAAUCUAUCGGCCUUUAAGAUCAGAAAUCGUCACAUUGUUAAUGGAAUUUAUCUUAUGGCUCUGAGUAAUGGACUCUGUAUCCAAGGAACUCUGCCUUUCAACAAAUGCUGGUUUCUUUGGAGUAGGAAGAUCCACAAUUUCACUAUUUAGCAUGGAAAUGAUAGUUGACACGGCCGGUCUAUCUUUUGCCAAUUCUUGCACACACAACAGACCAAUAUGUAUGCAUCGGAAUAUCUCCACCUGAAAACAUGGAUCUGAUAUUGCAGGAUCGACCAAAGCUGCAAUGUCACCUUCAUUCCACAGUUUCCAAGCCUGCAAAUGUUGAUACAAUCAUACAAGUAAGAGUUUGCAAGUUUAAUAGUAUCAGAAAUUGAAAUGUGCUUUCCAAAUAUAUCUCAGGCAGUGUGGCGGACAGACAUACAAAUCCUAUAAGACUCAAAGCAUUCUCAUUGCUAUAAAAAUGAGCGUUCCUUCUUCCGCUCACGAUCUCCAGCAACACCACUCCAAAGCUGAACACAUCUGAUUUCUCUGAAAAUCUUCCUUCCAUUAAAUAUUCAGGGGACAUAAAGCCACUGCAUAAGCAUAACAGCUUUCUGAGCUCAAAUUAGAGAAACAGUAAUAGGAGUGAAAAUAGAAAAAAAAAAAAACUACUUACAAUGUUCCAACAACCCUGGUAGUAUUGACUUCAUUACCGCCAGAAAUCCUGGCUAUUCCAAAGUCUGAAAUUUUUGGAUUCAGCUCGUGGUCCAAUAAGAUGUUACUUGGCUUCAGAUCUCUAUGAAUAAUUCUUAGUCUAGAAUCUCUGUGAAGGUAAAGAAGACCUCGACAAAUUCCAUUAAUAAUGUGGAAGCGUCUUUUCCAAUCUAGUUGUCCUUUCCUGAGUGAAUCUAAACAGAUUGUAUCCAGAAAAAAUCAUGAGAAAACAUGGGCAAAUGAAAAUGAGUCAAGAAAAGUAGCAAUCUGCUUCUCCUGCUUGAAACUUAUGAUCUAUGAAAUUGAAAACGAGUCAAGAAAAGUAGUAGCUAAACAAAAAAGAGCUGUAGCCCUAACCAAAGAGAAAUGCAUCCAAGCUUUUAUUCGGCAUGUACUCAUAAACCAACAUCAUCUCUUCUCCUUCAACACAGCAACCAAGAAGUCUCACAAGAUUCCUGUGUUGGAGUUUUGAAAUCACCACAACUUCAUUCAUGAGCUCUUCAAGCCCUUGACCAGAUGUUCUAGAGAGUCUUUUCACAGCUAUUUCCUGUCCAUCUGGCAAUUUUCCCUACAAUGUCAUAUCAAACUGAUAAAUACCUAUUUGCUCUAAAUAGCUGUAAAGAACCUUUAGUUGAGAAGAGUUACCCUGUAUACUGCACCAAAGCCGCCCUGCCCAAGCUUCAUGGAUAUGUCAAAGUUGUUUGUAGCAGUUUCAAGAAUUUGUAAUUUGAAGACUGGUUCAAGUUUAACUUCCAUGAUGUUUUCGGGCAAGUUUCCAUCAAAAAUUGUAUCUUGAGCUUCUGACGAUAAGGUCUCCUCACAUAUCAAAUUCCUUUCUGAAUUUAAGUGGAAGUAUCGUUAUUAUUUGAGAAUUGUUUUUUUCUUUUCUUGUAAAAAUUGUAAAGUUUAGAAGUCCAGUAAGCUAAUAAGACGUAGCAUAUUACCUCUAUGUGUAGCCAUCCACUUCCAAGAAAAAAACAAACAGAUGCAGAUAGCUAUGGCUCCUACAAUCACUGACAGACUGAUGAUUAUUUCCCUGUUUCUCAUGUUAUCUGCAACUAAAAAAUUGUACUGAUGGUUAUUUAAGAAAAGUGUAGUGGAAAUAUGAAAUAACUUAUCGAUAUUUUCUCUUCCUGAUACAUAACUCGAUGUAUCUACACUAGUUAUGCACAUCUGAUAAACGAAACACUAGUGAAAGGAAAUCAGAAAAUAUUAUUAUUAUUACCAAGUUCUGUAUACGCCAGGCGAAUGUUGAGAUCUGUCCCUCCUUCAGAGAACUUUUGUAUAUCAAUCAAGUUUCCUGUCCAUGCCAUACAGCCAAAACCAUUAUAAUAUGAAUAAGCGACACAAGAACAAUUCAUCAAGCACUCAUCUUUGCAUUCUUGUUCGGAGGACGGAUUUGACCAGUACUCGGCAAAGGUUGGCACCUUCAUCAUCUCUAGCUUCAUAAACCCAUCUUCUUUUCCCACUUCACUACCAUUUUGUAUUCCAUCACACUGCAACGAUGUCAUCCUAACACAUCCGCUAGUCCAAAUUCCUUUGUUCCAUUCAUCUUUAUUUUUUGCAACAAACCCUUUUAAACAUGUGCAGAUUGGUGAAUUCUGUGCACCGCAGCUUCCAAAUGGCCCGCACUUGCCAUAAAUAUCACACUCAGUUGAUGGAGCUUCCCAGGUAUACUCCCAACCUUGCUUCCCAUAAUCCCAGUAUUGUUCUAUAAAUUUUCCAUGAGAAGUCAAAACAUACGUUGCACGGAAAACUGGGUCUCGAAUUAAACUAAGAGUGAAAGUGUCAUCUGCUUCUUGUACACUAAAUCCUUCUAAAUACACAGAAGUGUACAUUCCUGGUAUUCCAAUAAAAUUCUGACCACCCCAUGGACCACUACGCCAAAAUGGAUGACCAUUGUACCAGAUGAAGAACUCAGGAAUUCCUAGUGGAUUGAGACCAGCAGAGAAAUUUCCAACUGAAGGAUCAGAUGAGCUUCUCCAUGACAUUAAUAGUGUCUUUUUCCCAGUUCUUGCGUUAGAACUAAGUGUCAUCUUUGGUAUGUAAGUAUCCGUAGGCUGCUGGAAACUUUGCCAUACAAGGUUUCCAUUCAGUCCAGCUUUCAAGACAAGGUUUCCAUCAUCAGUAAGCUGUGCAGUUGACUGAUAGAACCCAUUUGAAACAUUUGAUGACCACAGAACCUCUCCCUGACCAUUCAAAACCACAAGAUUUCCAUCUUCAGAUAUUGUCAUCAUCCCAGAAGAAUCGUUGAUUGGGUUGUUUCUGUUGGCCACCCAUAGUACUUGAGUUUCCGCUGAUAUAUUACUAUACCAUAGUCCAACAUAUCGAUAUGUUGAAUUAACUGGGCUGAAAAAUCCAAGUUCGAACUUUUUGCCGGCAGAGACUAUAGCUUCUGGAUCUUUGAUGGGUUGAGAAGGAGUAAUGGUAUCUCCUGCGUCACCAUAAACUGAAGAGGAACAUGAUAGAAACAGAAGAAGAGCUACUGCAACUUCGCAGUUGCCAAGUCCCAUACUUGUUAUUGAUGAGAAUGGAAGACUAACAAAUGGCUUAUUGACUGUUCAGAGAAAGAAUUCCAUGAAGAAGAAUAUCUCUCUUCAUGUUCUUUUUGUUCCCAGUCAUGAGGUUACUUUUCAAAUAGAAACUAAGUUAAGCAAUCAGAAGUCAUAAAUUUUUAUGUUAUCUGUAAAUUUCCAUCUAUAAAGAAGUGCUAAAAUAGUUGAUAUUUCAUCAGGAUGGACCUGGUCGACUAGCUUGUGAGAUCGAUAGCAUUUUUAUUUUUAUAGGAUAUUAUCACAAUACAUACACUUGCCUCACCAUGAUUGACAUGUUCCUGGUAGGCACUAUCAAGAAGCUCUUCACAUUCUUAUUUGAAAGUAGCUUCAUUCGUACUUGGACGUCUAUUUUGAAUUUGCCUGCAAUAUUUGUGUUUCUAAGAAAGAGGCUAUUUAUACCGAUGAAGUCUGAAGAGCCUGACCGGUCUAAAGACGUUGCUUUAUCAUCAUAUUGAUAAUACAACACGGUUUCGAGUAAUACUCCAUAAAAACCGUGACUCGAAUUAUGAAUUGGAUUGGAUUUAAAACUUUGUAUUUUUUAAUUAUUUUAUAUUUAAUGGCAUGAUAAUAAAAAUAAUAAUAAAAAUAAAUGUUUAUAAAUAUAGAGUAUCAAUUAAAUAUUGAUGUUUGCUUAAAAUUAUGAUUAAUUAAUAAAUAUUAAACAAUAAAACUAAAAAAACUUGUAAAAUAUAGUUUUUUUUUUAAAAAAAAUAUUUGAAAAAAAAAAGAAAGAAGGAAAAGAAUACAGCAGCAAGCAAUUGGCAAGUACAUCAAUGCCAUCAAUGACAUUGACAUUUUAACAUAAACAAAUGAGUUGAAUUCAUAGAAGAGGUGUAAGAAGCAAGGAAAAAACCUAUCUUGAAUCGAUUAAAGAACAACGGGUCUGGUUCUUGAAUCUUUCUUGCUUCUACCAUCCUUCUAGAUUCCACUCCACCCCAGCUGGAUUUUAUUUUGUAUAUUCCUUAAUCACAAAUGAAAGCGAUACCACUUUUUUUAAAUUAUUUUUUAUCUAAAAGAUAUGAGUUUAAUUUUUUAUAUAUUUCUGAAUGAUUUUGAUACAAUAAUAUUAUAAAUAUAAAAACAUUAUUUUUAUAUAUUUUUUCAAUUAAAAAAUACCAUUUAUUAUAAUAAAAAAAAUACAACAUCGUCUAAGUCAAUUAUAACAAGUCAAUACUAAUUAAGAUUAUGUUGUGGAUGCUUCAUAAUCUAGUACAAAUUAAUUAGAAUUAGAAUUUGAGCGUGCUAGUUUUAACUAGUGUUUUUUUGUACUUUACUCUAUAAAAAAUAACGUAUGCAUUAAAUAAAUGAAUUUUAUUACUGAAUCCUGUACAAAACUUUUAAAAGAUGAGGUAAGGAAAAAUCAAUAUAUAUAUAAAAGAUUCUUCUACAUUUUUAUAUGUAGAUAAUAUUAUUGAAAAUUUAUUUAAAGAAUAUGAUUAAUGAAAAUAUUUGAGAUUAAAUUAAAAGUAGAGUUUAUUUUAAAAAAAUAUUUAUUGAAAUUUAAUCUCUUAUAUAAAUUCUUUAAUAUGAAAUAUUAAUAUGUGUCAAAUAAAUUAUAGAUGAAUAAAAAAUUAAUUUCAAAUAAUUAUUGAUUAACAUAUUUUAAUGAAAUUUAAAAUUCUUUAAAAAUACUUCAUUUUAUGUUAAAAAAAAUAAUUUUCUUGGUAUUUAUAAAUUAGGAAGUUGAGCUCAUAUACGACAAUCUUUUGAAUUCUUUUUAUUCGACGUUAUGUGGCCCUACAGACUUCAGCCAGUUAUUGUAGCAAUCUUUUGACUUUUUUUCCUGCAUCAAAAGCUAAAAACCUUUGACUUCUUUGAACACAGCGCUUCCCUUAAAUAUUCAGGGGACAUAUAAACCACAGCAUAAGAACAAUUGUUUAAUUCUUAGCUCAAACCAUUGAUAACUCAAUACAGUAGAAAACAGGAAAGAAAUGUCUACUUCAUAGCAUUCUCUUGAUCUUCUCUGCCACCAGAGAUCUUGGCCAUCUGAUGUCUGAAAUUUUUGGAUGCAUCUAGUCAUGCAACAAGAUGUUACAUGGCUUCAGAUCUCCAUGAAUAAUCCUUCGUCUAGAAUCCCUACGAAGGUAAAGAGGACCCCGACAGAUUAUUUGGACGAUGUAGAAGCGCCUUUUCCAAUCAAAUUGUUUUAAACUUAAUUGAUCUACAUAAAUUGUUCCCAGAAAAAAUGAAAACUGAACGGAAAUUGUCACCACCUGAAUUUGAGCAUGUGACCGGCAUACACCAACAGGCAACAGAAAAUUAGAAAACGCCGAUAGAGUAUUCAAUCGGUGAGGAAACACCGUUUCAUCAACCAUUUACAUAACCGAAUGAUUUCCCGGCGUAAACACAUCAUCAAGAAACGUUUUAUCAGGGAUUUACUAUCCGUGGGCAUUUCUGUUGUUAAUUUGUAAUGCCGGCAAAAAUGUCAACGGAAUAUAUGCAUCAAAAAACUAAAAUGUACCUACCAGUUUUCGUCAGCCAUUUUAUCGGUAAAUAAAUUCCGAUGAAAUAUUAUAUUACCUAUUCCAUCAAUAAAUGAAGGGAUUGGCAACAGAAUGUUUGUCGUUAAUUCCUUUAGAAAAGUCUGAAACUUCUAAACCAUUUUGUAACUUUCCUUAUUAAUUACUUAUAUUUAUGAUGGAAUCAUCUAUGGACAAAAAAACCCUUGGAUGAUUCCUUCACAAGUUUAGCAUUUUUUUUAGUUAUUUAGUUAUUAAUUUAAAAAACAACAAAAAUCACCAUAAAACCUAAACACUAUAUCAAAAUCUUAUUAAUUUCAAUAUUUAUUAAAAAAUAAUUUUACAACAAUAAUUACAUCGCUACAUAUAUAGUGGUGGGCAGAGGCAAAUCCUUAGCCCAAAGGACCAUAAGGACAAAAAAGAUAAUGUAAAGCCAUGUAUUCCAUCAUUUUCUUUUAAUUCCAAAAUUUAUGUUAUGUCAACGCUAAAUAGUAUCGAUCUUCCUAGUCCUAAGAAAUUAGAAUUUAAACUUGAUAGAAUUUAAAACAUAGUUGCAUUUUUGUUGCUAUUAAAUCUAGUUGAUUAUUGUAAAAUACAUGUGAUUUCACUAAGCUAAAACCACAGAAAAAUAAAUAUAGAAACAAAAUAAAAACAGAAUAAUUUUAUUUUCUUACUUGUCUUGACUUUCCUUCAAAGCUAGAUAGAUUGGAGACUUCAAAAGUAGGGUAGUUAGAUUUGAAAACUAGAUGUUUUGUUUAGUAGCUGAUGGCAUCCACGGUUACCAAAAUUAGUAAAUAAAAAAAUUUAAAAACUUCCAUGGUCUCCCAUUUCAAAUUCUUUAAGUAGAGAAGUGAUUUGAUCUUAUAUGCCAUAAAACGAUGAAUUCUCAUCAAUUUUACUUCUUUAGUAUCAAAAUCAACAUGCAUUGAGCUAAAAAAUAGGGUCCAUAUCAAUUUAUACAAUUAAUGUUCCACCAUUAGUUUCUGUUGGAAGAAACUCUAGGUGUGGUAGAAGAUAAUCUUUAAAAGCAAAACUAAAAAACAAGAAAAUUUUAAGAGAAAUGUUGUUUUUGCAUUAAGUGUUUUCUCAACGAUACAUCUUAUAAGCUUUUCUACAUACUUCUCUUAGGUUCCAAUUACAAACCUAUCUAUAGGUAUAUAGUCCUAGACAAUCAAUGAAUUAAACUAACAAAAAGAAAACCUAAACUGAUAAGGAAAAGCAUUUUGCCAACUUAAUCGGUCGAUUGAUUCUUUUAAUCCAACUGCUUGACCGACUCAACCGGUAGACCAGUUACAAUGUUUUUCUAAAAAAAUUAAAAUCUAGUUUACUUUCAACAUUUCCCCUUAAACUUGAUUUCUUUAUAACUCCCAACACAUCUCUCCUCUUAGAAAAACAUCAUGUUUGAGUGGCUUUGUGAAAAUUCUGCAACUCGAUCUUGGAUCUUUACAUACUUGACUUCAACUUUUUUAUUUGUAAUACAAUCUCGCAAGUAAUGAAAUCUUGUGUCAAUGUGAUUACUUCUAUCAUGAAACACUGAAUUCUUUGCUAAGACAAUGACUGAUAAGUUGUCCAUAUAAAUUUCUAUAGGCUUCUCUUAUGGCAUUCACAACUCCUUUAAUAAUUAUCUUAGCCAUAUGGAAUGACAAACACAUGUUGUAGUAGCAAUAUAUUCAGCUUCACAAGUUGAUAAUAUAAUUAUAGGUUUCUGCUUUAAACUCCAUGUGACUGUUGUUUCUCCCAUGAAAAAAACAAAACUUAUAGUGCUCUUUCUAUCAUUCAUAUCUCCAACCCAAUCACUAUUAUUAUAACCUAUAACAAUCACUAUCAUUAUAACCUAUAAGUUCAAAGCUAUUAGAAUAUCCAUAGAACAAGCCAAAAUCAACAGUACCUUUGAUAUACUAAAGAAUUCGCUUCAAAGCUUUGAAAUGUGUUAUAAUUGGUGUCUCCAUAAACUUGCUUACAAGCCUCACUCUAAAGAGAAUAUCUAGAUGGGUGCAUAUCAAGUAUCUCAAACUCCUAAUUACACUUUGGAAUAUUGUAGAGUUUAUCUUCUCUACUUCAUCAUUCUUUGACAUCUUCUCUCCACACUUAAUUGGAGUAUUCACUUUUGCAUAAUCCUUCAUUUUGAAAUUCUUGAGAAUCUCUUUUGUAAACUUCUCUUGGUUCAUAAAGAUUCCAUAUUCUCCUUGCUUGAUCUCAAUCCCUAAGUAGUAUGUCAUAAGACCAAUAUCCAUCAUCUCAAACUCCUUAAUCAUUGCUUGCUUAAAGUCUUUAAACAUCUUCGGAUUAUUUCCUGUAAAGAUCAAGUCAUCCACAUACAAGCAUACAAUAAGAGUAUCACCACUUUCUUUUAUUUUUACAUAGAUAGCAUAUUCAUUGAGGCAUUUUACAAACCUAUUAUUUAAGAAAUAACCAUCAAUACGACUAUACCAAGCCUUGAGGCUUGCUUUAAUCCAUACAAGGCUUUGUUUAACUUUAAAACCUUUUAGAAAAUCUGAUUUGACAUCCAUUUGAUAGAUUUUUCAUCUAUAUUGGGCAGAUCUGGAAAUUAUUAAUUGAAUGAUCUCCAAUCUAGCAACUGGAGCAAACAUUUCAUCAAAGUCAAUCUCAUGUUUUUUACUAUAGCUUUUUGCUACCAACCUUUCCUUGUACCUCUCCACUUCUCCUUUGGCAUUCUUUUUUUCAUUGUAGAUCUACUUGAAACCUAUUGGCUUCUUUUUUUUUGGUCUAGAAACCAAUUUUCAUGUCAUUUUUCUCAAUGAUAGAAUCUCCUCAUCCAUAACAAUUCUCAAUUUUUCAUCCUUUAUUACUUCUUCAAACAUCAUAGGAUCACAUGUAGCAAGAUGACAAUAUAGUGUUACAUCAUCAUCAAUAUGAUUAAUUACUUCAUAUAAGUCAUCAAGGCUCAUCAUCUUUCUUGGUGGACUAGGUGGGCUGCCACUACUAGAACUUUCCUUGGAAGAAGAAGAUAAAGGUGAAGUUGAGUUCAUUGGUGAUUGUGGAGGUGUAACAAGUUCUUGAUGAUCUUCAUAUCUCUCUUUUUCUUUAUCAAGAAUUGGUUGAAAGUCAUACUUCUCACCAUCACCGGUUUGCUUCAUACGAUUGACCGAUUAACUUAUUGAGGUUGCCUCGACCUCUUUUUCCAAAUCUACCUCUUGCUCUUCUUCAUCUACCUUGUCCACAUCCUCUACCUUCUUGGGUAUAUCCAGAGCCAUCUUACUUCUCUUUUGAAUAGUGUUUUGGAAAACUUGAAUAUGAUUGACUCUUUUUUCAUGAGCUUGUAGUUUUCUUAUGAGUCCUUGAAUUGUAAUAAAAUCCAUAUUAUGUGACUCCUUUAUCACGACCACCGCAUAAUGGAAUUGUUUUUUGCAGCGAGCAUAAAAUCUUUUCUACCACACAUGUUUCCUUCAUCUUCUCCAUAUAUCUCUUUAUUUUAUUAUAUAUGACCAAUACUUUAGCAAAGUAAUCUGAAAUACUCUCUGAUUCAAGCAUAUGUAGCUUUUCAAAGUCACCUCGUAACUUUUAUAGGCAUACCUUUAUGAAAUUAUCAGCUCUUUGGUUUGAUUAUUGCAAAACUUCUCAUGCUUACUUGGCAGUGGUUGCAUUAGCCACUAUCUCAAAAGUGGCAUCAUCUAGAUAUUGUUGGAUGAUUGUGAUUGUUUUUUUAUCCUUUCUUCAUGCCUUUUGCACGACCUCCCUUUGAGAUGAAGUCAUCGUUGCUCCUUCUAUAGGCUCCUCAAAACCUUUUUAAAUCGUUUCUCACAUAUCUUAAGAACCAAGCUUUCACACGAAUACACCAAAUUUCAUGAUUUUCCUUUGUCAAAUGAAGAUAUUGAAGUGGGAAGUUUUUAUUAGCCAUGUCAAAUAAUAAAAAACAAGUUCUGAUACCACUUGUUGGAAGAAACUCUAGGUGUGGUAGAAGAUAAUCUUAAAAAGCAAAAAUAAAGAACAAGAAAAGUUUGAGAGAAAGGAUGUUUUUGAAUUAAGUGUUUUCUCGAAGAUACACUUUAUAAGCUCUUCUACAUACUUCUAUCAUGUUUUAAUUACAAGCCUAUUUAUAGACAUAAAAUUCUAAACAAUCAAGAAAUUAAAUUAACAAAAAUAAAACCUAACUGAUAAGGAAAAGUAUUUUGCCAACUCAACCGGUCAACUGUUUCUGAAUCAAUCGAUCAAUUCAUUUAAUCCAACCUGUUGAUUGGUACUCAACUGGUAAACCGGUUCUUCUGUUUUUAAAAAAAACCAAAAUUUAGUUCACUUUCAAGAGUUUCUCCCCAAUUAGCAUUUUUUAAUUAACACUUAUAGCAAGAUACAUCUGAAGAAGUAUAAUCCUUCUAUAGUUAUCAAGAAGAUUACUAUUAAGACAAUAUGAGAAUCUAAAAAGACUUCUAAUGUUUUAGAUAUCCACAUGUACUAUCCAACUAAUAAGUCAUUGUGUCAUGAUAUAUAUUGAUUCAAGAAUUAGUUUUUUUGCAAGUAACUAAUAUGAUAUGUCUAGUUGAUGAGUUUAUGGAUAAAAUUAACAGACAAAAGCCCAAAAGAUGGCUUGAAAUGGCAAACGCGCACCGGUCCUUAGAGGGCCAUAGAUUUUGAUUCAGGUACUCGAUUACCUCAAAUUGUAGAAAAGCUAACUUGUAUUUCUAUGUAUUGUUAUUACUUUUAAAUAGGCAUUAUAAGAGAUGAUUCUUACUAUAUAUCAUGAUCUUCGCAAUAUUUGUAAUUCAUUACAUUCUGUAAUCUCUACAAUACAUGAUUUGUCUGCAGAGAUUACAGAACGUAAUGAAUUACAAAUAUUGCGGAGAUCAUCAAAUAAAUAAAUGAGAAGGAUCAUAUCAGAGAGAUCCCAACAGGAGAUCUUUCUCAUUUACUAUUUUUUUUUUAUGAGUUUUAUUUAUAAAAAUAAAGAUCCAUAUGAAAUAUCAAUAAAGUGUGUUAACAUACACAAAGUUAAAUACAGAAAUGACAAGAAUCAAUCCUGAGGGUAGCUCAACUGAUUAAGCUUUGGAUUUGCUCCCCAAUAGUUAUAAGUUCAAGUCCGCUUAGGGCCACUGGAGGCUUAUAUAGCUGUUAACUUCAAGGCUCGUGAGAUUAAUCGAGAUACGUACAAACUAGUCUAGACACCCAUAUUUAAUAAAAAAAAAAUAAUAAGAAUAAUAAUUCGAGGGUUUUAGAUUUACUUUUCUGAGUAUAAAACACCAAAAGUUGCAAAUAAAAUAUGAUUGGACCACGUGUUACCCGUGCAUUCACGCGCUAGUCAAUUAAGCUUCCUGAAAUUGUUUGUGUGUGUGUACCCACACUCCCUUUUAAAUAUACCUGCAAAAACUUAAAGACACGAAAUCAGUUUGCAGCCCACAUUCUUCCAACUCUUGGGUGUCUCCUCCUCGCUGGCGUUAUGGGCGAAACUGAGAGGAUGAUUUGAUGGUCGCCGUGAAUUUCUGGCCGUGGAGGAGUUGCUGCCGUUUGCUGAUGGUGUAGGGCUCGUCGUUGCUACUGGUGGGUCUCCGAACCAAACCCACGGCCAUAAAUCACCAUCUUCAACCUCCUUACCAUACCAGCCACCAUCUCUGACAGUCACCGUCGAUCGACCACCAUUCUCUACUGGCUUCCUGCUUGCCCAAUCUCCACCUCUUCAUGGUGUUUUUCUCACCACAGACUCAGCCACAAUAAUAGCAAAGUCUGGAGUCCACUCUCGGUCACCACCAACGACAACAACCUCUAACCUGGUCUCUAAAUUGGAAACAAAAAGUACUGAAACGAAGUUAUAUGAAUAGUCAACCGGUCUCUCGAAUAUAUUCUCCUUUUCAUUACAGUUAUUGACUUUUAAAUUUCAUGAACUUCGUCCAAUGAGGGCUUUAAAUCUUUGAUUUUUUUCAAAUUAAUCUUUAAAUUGAUCUUUUUUAAUUUAGUUUUUUUUUUAAUUUCUAGAAAUUUUAUUUUUUUUAAUUAUAUCCCUAAUUUAAUCAAUUUAAACCUUUAAAUUUUUACUUCUUGUUAUAAAUUCAUUAUUAAUUCUCAAAAUUAUAUAAUUUUAACCGAUUUAAUUUUCAAUUUUUAUUUUCUUCUUCAAUUAAGCUUUUAAUUGAUUUCUAAUUUGACUAUGUAUUUUAAACUCAUCAUUACACUUUCAAUUUCUUUCUAUUUUAUCCAAAUUAAAUUAAAUUAAAUUAUUUUUUUAAUUUCAUCUUCAAUUAAAACCAUAAUUAUAACCCAAGAAAUUCUCAAAUUUAAUUUUAGUCUUCGAUUCUUGAUUAUUUGUCCAAUUUCAUACCUAACAAUAUUUUUUUUAUUUUUAUAUUUGUUUUGUUUUUCUAAUGACAUGGUUUUUUAACACAAAAAAUAAAAUAAAAAUAACUAAAUUUACUGAAAACAAAAUAUUUUUUGUGUUUUGUGUGUGUGUGUGUGUGUGUGUGUGUGUGUGUAAAAUAUAAGGACCGUAGAACUGACAUCUAAUAGAAAAGUCAUACCCAGCAAUGUAAUGUUCUACAAUGAUAAACUGUAUUAAUAUCUAAUAGAAAAGUAAACUUGUUCUGAACUCUAUCGGCCGUUAACAUCAGAAAUCGUCACAUUGUUAAUGGAAUUUAUCUUUUGGUUCUGUGUAAUGGACUCUGUAUCCAAGGAACUCUGCCUUUCAAAAAAUGCUGGUUUCUUUGGAGGAGGAAGAUCCACAAUUUCACUAUUUAGCAUGGAAGUGAUGGUAGACACGGCCGGUCUGUCUUUCGCCAAUUCUUGCACGCACAACAGACUAAUAUGUAUGCAUCGGAAUAUCUCCACCUGAAAACAUGGAUCUGAUAUUGAAGGAUCGACCAGAGCUGUAAUGUCACGUUCCUUCCACAGUUUAAAGGCCUGAAAAUGUUGAUACAAUCAUACAAGUAAGAGUUUGCAAGUUUAAUAGUAUCAGAAAUUGAAAGGAGAUUUGCAGCAAAUAUAUCUCAGGCAGGGAGGCGGACAGACAUACAUAUCCUAUAAGACUCAGAGAAUGCUCAUUGUCAUAAAAAUUAGAGUUCCUUCUUCCGCUUACAAUCUCCAGCAACAACACUCCAAAGCUAAAUACAUCUGAUUUCUCUGAAAAUCUUCCUUCCAUUAAAUAUUCAGGGGACAUAUAGCCACUGCAUGAGGAUCACAGAUUUCUGAGCUCAAAAUAGCAAAACGGUAAUAGGAGUUAAAAUGAAAAAAAAUAAAUAUAUACUUACUAGGUUCCAACGACCCUGGUAGUAUUCACUUGAUCUUCAUUGCCCUGGCCAUUCCAAAGUCUGAAAUUUUGGGAUUCAGCUCAUGGUCCAAUAAGAUGUUACUUGGCUUCAGAUCUCUAUGAAUAAUUCUUAGUCUAGAAUCUCUGUGAAGGUAAAGAAGACCUCGACAAAUCCCGUUAAUAAUGUCGAAGCGUCUUUCCCAAUCUAGCUGUCCUUUCCUGAGUGAAUCUAAGCAUAUUGUAUCCAGAAAAAAUCAUGAGAAAACAAGGGCAAAUCAAAACGAGUCAAGAAAAGUAGUAGCUAAACAAAAGAGGGCAGCAGCUCUAACCAAAGAGAAAUGCAUCCAAGCUUUUAUUCGGCAUGUACUCAUAAACCAACAUCAUCUCUUCUCCUUCAACACAGCAACCAAGAAGUCUCACAAGAUUCCUAUGUUGGAGUUUAGAAAUCACCGCAACUUCAUUCAUAAACUCUUCGCGCCCUUGACCAGAUGUUCUAGAGAGUCUUUUCACAGCUAUUUCCUGCCCAUCUGGCAAUUUUCCCUAUAAUGUCACAUCAAACCGAUAAAUACCUAUUUGCUCUAAAUAACUAUAAAGAACCUUUAGUUGAGAAGAGUUACCCUGUAUACUCCACCAAAGCCGCCCUGCCCAAGCUUCUUGGAUAUGUCAAAGUUGUUUGUAGCAGUUUCAAGAAUUUUUAAUUUGAAGAAUGGUUCAAGUUUAACUUCCUCGAUGUUUUCGGGCAAGUUUCCAUCAAAAACUGUUUCUUGAGCUUCUGACGAUAAGGUCUCCUCACUUAUCAAAUUCCUUUCUGAAUUUAAGUGGAAGGAUCGUUAUUAUUUGAGAAUUGUAUUUUUCUUUACUUAUAAAAAUUGUAAAGUUUAGAAGUCCAGUAAGCUAAUAAGACGUAGAAUAUUACCUCUAUGUGUAGCCAUCCACUUCCAAUAAAAAAACACACAGAUGCAGAUAGCUAUGACUCCUACAAUCACUGACAUACUGAUGAUUACUUUCAUGUUUCUCUUGUUAUCUGCAACUAAAAAAUUGUACUGCUGGUUAUUUGGCAAAAAUGUUAUGGAAAUAUGAAAAAACUUAUCAAUGUUUGCUCAUACAGAUACAGAACUUUUUGUACGGACACUAGUUAUGCACACCUGAAAAAAUUAGAAAAUAUUAUAACAAUUACCAAGUUCUGUAUACGCCAGGCGAAUGUUGAGAUCUGUUCCUCCUUCAGCGAACUUUUGUAUAUCAAUCAAGUUUCCUGUCCAUGCCAUACAACCAAAGCCAUUAUAAUAUGAAUAAGCGACACAGGAACAAUUCUUCAAGCACUCAUCUUUGCAUUCUUGUUCGGAGGACGGAUAUGGCCAGUAAUCGGCAAAGGUUGGCACCUUCAUCAUCUCUAGCUUGAUAAACCCAUCUUCUUUUCCCACUUCACUACCAUUCUGUAUUCUAUCACACUGCAACGAUGUCAUCCUAACACAACCACUAGUCCAAAUUCCUUUGUUCCAUUCAUCUUGAUUUUUUGCAACAAACCCUUUUAAACAUGUGCAGAUAGGUGAAUUCUGUGCAUCGCAGCUUCCAAAUGGCCCGCACUUGCCAUAAAUAUCACACUCAGUUGAUGGAGUUUCCCAGUCAUACUCCCAACCUUGCUUCCCAUAAUCCCAGUAUUGUUCUCUAAAUUUUCCAUGAGAAGUUAAAACAUACGUUAAUCGGAAAGCUGGGUCUCGAAUUGAACUCAGAGUAAAAGUGCCAUCUCCUUCAUUUUGUAGACUAAAUCCAUCUAAAUACACAGAAGUAUACAUUCCUGGUAUUCCGAUAAAAUUCUUACCACCCCAUGGACCACUACGCCAAAAUGGAUGACCAUUGUACCAGAUGAAGAACUCAGGAAUUCCUAAUGGAUUGACACCAGCAGAGAAGUUUCCAAAUGAAGGAUCAGAUGAGCUUCUCCAUGACAUUAGCAGUGUCUUGUUCCCUGUUCUUGCGUUAGCACUAAGUCUCAUCUUUGAUAAGUAAGUAUCCGUAGGCUGCUGGAAACUUUGCCAUACAAGGUUUCCAUUCGGUCCAGCUUUCAAGACAAGGUUUCCAUCAUCAGUAAGCUGUGCAGUUGACUGAUUGAACCCAAUUGAAACAUUUGAUGACCACAGAACCUCUCUCUGACCAUUCAAAACCACAAGAUUUCCAUCUUCAGAUUUUGUCAUCAUCCCAGAAGAAUCGUUGAUUGGCUUGUUUCUGUUGGCCACCCAUAGUACUGGAGUUGCUACUGAUAUAUUACUAUACCAUAUUCCGACAUAUCGACAUGUUGAAUUAACUGGGCUGAAAAAUCCCAGUUGGAACUUUUUUCCGGCAGACUCUAUAGCUUCUGGAUCUUUGAUGGGUUGAGAAGUAGUUAUGGUAUCUCCUGCAUCACCAUAAACUGAACAGGAACAUGAUAGAAACAGAAGAAGAGCUACUGCAACUUCGCAGUUGCCAAGUCCCAUACUUGUUAUUGAUGAGAACGGAAGAUUUACAAAUGGCUUAUUGACUGUUCAGAGAAAGCAGGCCACGAAGAAGAAUAUUUCUCUUCCUGUCCUUUUAAUUCCAAUCAUGAAGUUAUUUUUCAAAUAUAAACUAAGUUUAGCAAUUAUAAGUCAGAAAUUCUUAUGUUUUCUGUAAAUAUCCAUCUAUAAAGAUAUUUCAUCAGGAUGAACCUGGUCCACUGGCUUGUGAGAUCGAUAGCAUUUUUAUUUUUAUAGGAUAUUAUCACAAUACAUACACUUGCCUCACCAUGAUUGACAUGUUCCUGGUAGGUGCUAUCAAGAAGCUCUUGACAUUGGACUAUUUGAAAGUAGCUUUAUCCGUACGUGGUCUAUUUUGGAUUUGCCUGCAAUAUCUAAAGACGUUGCUGUAUCAUCAGAUUGAUAAUGAGGACAGGUUUACAACCGAAGUUUAGAUGAAUUCUUUUUGUUCGACCUUAUGUGGCCCUUCAGACGUCGUUUCUGUACAAUAAUAGAAUAUUUUAGAUGCCAAGCAUAUAUGGAUAGUUGAAUUCUUUUUGUUCGACCUUUUGUGGCCCUUCAGACUUCAGCCAGUUAUUGUUGCAAUCUUUUGACUUUUUUUCCUUCAGCGAAAUCUAAAAACCUUUGACUUUUUCGAAAACAGCCCUUCCCUCAGGGGACAUAUAAACCACUGCAUAAGAACAAUUGUUUCUUAGCUCAAACCAUUAAUAUUUCUUAGCAUUCUCUUGAUCUUCUCUGCCACCAGAGAUCUUGGCCGUCCCAUGUCUGAAAUUUUUGGAUUCAUCUAGCCAUGCAACAAGAUGGCUUCAGAUCUCCUUGAAUAAUCCUUCGUCUAGAAUCUCUAUGAAGGUAAAGAGGACCCCGACAAAUUAUUUGGACUCUGUAGAAGCGCCUUUUCCAAUCAAAUUUGUUAGACUUAAUUGAUCUACAUAAAUUGUUCCCAGAAAAAAAUGAAAAGUGAAUGGAAAUUGUCACCACCUGAAUUUGAGCAUGUGACCGGCACAUACCAACAGAAAAUUAGAAAACGCCAAUAGAAUAUUUAGUCGGUAAGUAAACACCAUUUCGUCAGCCAUUUACAUCGCCCAAUGAUUUCCCGACGUAAACACAUCAUCAAGAAAUGUUUUAUCAGGGAUUUACUAUUCGUGGGCAUUCUGUUUUUAAUUUGUAAUGCCGGAAAAAAUGCAAACAAAACAUUGGCAUCAAAAAACUAAAAUGUACCUAUUUCAUCGGCAAAAACUAAAUAUUAAUGAAAGAAUAAGUGUAGGAAUUGUCAACAGAAUGUUCUCCCUAAUUUCUUUAGAAAACUCUAAAACUUCUAAACCAUUUUGUAACUUUCCGAGGAAACAUCGCCUACAUUUCUAAUGGAAUCACCUAUGGAUAAAAAAACCCUUUGAUGAUUCCUUCACAAGUUUAGCAUUUUUUUUAGUUAUUUAGUUGUUAAUUUAAAAAACAAAAAAAAAAUCACAAUAAAACCAGAACACCAUUAAUUUUAUUGAAUAUCAAAAUCUUAUUAAUUUCAAUAUUUAUUAAAAAAUAAUUUUAUAACAAUAAAUACAUCGCUACAGAUAUGGAGGUGGAGCUGGACAGAGGGAAAUCCUUAGCCAAAAAGAAUAGAAGGAUGAGCAGGAUAAUCUAAAGCCAUGUAUUUCAUCAUUUUCUCCCGAUUCCAAAAUUUCUGUUAUGUCAAUGCUAAAUAGUGUUGAUCUUCCUACUCCUAAGAAAUUAGAAAUUAAACUUGAUAGAAUUUAGAACAUAGUUGGAUUUGUGUUGCUAGUAAAUCUAGUUGAUUAUUGUAAAAAUACAUGUGAUUUCACUAAGCUAAAACCACAGAAAAAUAAAUAUAGAAACAAAAUAAAAACAGAAUAAUUAUUUUCUUACUUGUCUCGACUUCCCUUCAAAGCUAGUAUCUAGCUUGGAGAAUUCAAAAGUAGGGAAGUUAGAUUUGAAAACUAGAUGUUUUGUUCAGUAGCUCAUGGCAUCCACAAGUACCAAAAUUAGUAAAAUUAAAAAAAUUAAAAAAUUUCAUGUUCUCCCAAUUUUAAUUCUUUAAGUAAAGUAGUGAUUUGAUCUUAUAUGCCAUAAAACGAUAAAUUCUCAUCAAACUCUAGGUGUGGUAGAAGAUAAUCUUAAAAAGCAAAACUAACAAACAAGAAAAAUUUGAGAGAAAAGAUGUUUUUGCAUUAAGUGUUUUUUCAAAGAUACAUUUUAUAAGCUUUUCUACAUACUUCUCUCACGUUCCAAUUACAAGCCUAUUUAUAGAUAUAAAGUCCUAGACAAUCAAGGAAUUAAACUAAAAAAUAGAAAACCUAAACUGAUAAGGAAAAGCAUUUUGCCAACUUAACUGGUCGAUUGAUGCAUUUAAUCCAACUGAUUGACCGACUCAACUGGUAGACUAGUUACUCAGUUUUUCUAAAAAAAUUAAAAUCUAGUUUACUUUCAACAUCCCUCCUUAAACUUGAUUUCUUUAUAACACCUAACAUAUCUCUUAUCUUGGCAAAAAAUUAUGUUUGAGUGGCUUUGUGAAAAUUCUGCGACUCGAUCUUGGAUCUUUAUAUACUUGACUUCAACUUUAUUAUUUGUAAUGCAAUCUCGUAAGUAAUGAAAUCUUGUGUCAAUGUGAUUACUUCUGUCAUGAAACACUAGAUUCUUUGCGAAGACAAUGACUGAUAAGUUGUCCAUAUAAAUUUCUAUAUGCUUCUCUUGUGGCAUUCACAAGUCCUUCAAUAAUUAUCUUAGCCAUAUGGAAUGACAAACACAUGUUGUAGUAGCAAUAUAUUCAGCUUUACAAGUUAAUAAUAUAACUAUAAGUUUCUUCUUUGAACUCCAUGUGAAUGUUGUUUCUCCCAUGUAGAUUACGAAACCUAUAGUACUCUUUCUAUCAUCCAUAUAUCCAGCCCAAUCACUAUCUAACCUAUAAGUUCAUAGCUAUUAGAAUAUCCAUAGAGCAAGCCAAAAUCAACAGUACCUUUGAUAUACCAAAGAAUUCGCUUCAAAGUUUUGAAAUGUGUCGUAAUUAGUGUCUUCAUAAACUUGCUUACAAGCCUUACUCCAAAAAGAAUAUUUGGACGGGUGCAUAUGAAGUAUCUCAAUCUCCUAAUUAGGCUUUUGAAUAUUGUAGAACUUAUAUUAUCUACUUCAUCAUUCUUUGACAUCUUCUCUCCACCCUCAACUAGAGUAUUCACUUUUGCACAAUCUUUCAUUUUGAAAUUCUUGAGAAUCUCUUUUGUAAACUUCUCUUGGUUCAUAAAGAUUCCAUCUUCUCCUUGUUUGAUCUUAAUCCCUAAGUAGUAUAUCAUAAGACAAUUAUCCAUCAUCUCAAACUUCUUAAUCGUUGCUUGCUUGAAGUCUUUAAAUAUCUUUGGAUUAUUGAUCAAGUCAUCCACAUACAAGCAUACAAUAAGAGUAUGACCACUCCUUACCAGAAAAUUGAUAAAUAUAAACGAAAAUACCGAGGGUAUAUUUUCGUCAGAAAUAUACCGACGGAAAUAUUCCAUCGGUAUAUAUCGAGGGAAUUACAGUGGGAAACAAAAUAAUUAAAACAAAGACAAAUUUUAUCGGCAAAACCAUUGGUAAAUUGUGAACACUGUUCAUCAUGUCAAUUUUAAAGGGAAUCAUCGAUGGAAAAUUCUGUCGGUAUUUUUCAGAGAGCUCUGGAACUGUUCACUUCCCAAUUGUACUAUUAAUUAUUGUUCUUUACAGACAAAAUCACUGACUGAUUGAAAAGUCGUCUGUGUUAUUUGGUGAUUUUCUGAAAAAUUUAGAUUAAAUUAAAAAUUUAUAUUAAAUAUUACCGACAGAAUCAUCGACGGAUUAAAAAGUCAUCGGUGAUAUUUGGCGGUUUCUGAAAAUUUUUUAUUAAAUUAAAUAUUACAGACAAAAUCUGUGAUGUUUUGAACUUAAAUGAGUAGGUAAAAGGCAAUAAAGCCCUUAAAGGCUAAAAAUGAGUAUAAAUGAAUAAGGGGUAUUGUAGUAAUUGAAUAAAGAGUUGAUAAAUAUAAAUAGAAAAGAAAAUAGAAGAAGAGAUCUGUGUUUUAAGUGUGAAAACUGACGGGAGAAGAGAAGAAGAGGGGAGGAAGAAGAAGAGAAAAGAGGGAAAGAUAAGGAAAGGAGAAGAGAAUUGGAGGAAAUAAGUUUAAAGGUAAGAUUAUGUAUAAAUGAGUGUUCUUUAAGCUUUAAGUUUCUGUUUUGAUAAAUGUUAGGGUUUUGAAUAUUGUGUUUUGGGUUUGAUUGAUGGAUUAAUUGGAAUGUUAUGGGUUGAUUGUUGUGGGUAAUUGGUUAAUUAGUUGAUUGUGAGAGAUUGUAGGUAAAGAUGAUGAUUUUGAGUUAUGAUUUUGUUUGAAUGGUGAAAUUGUGUUAGAAAUCAGGAGAUGACAGUAGGUAAUCUGUGAAAUUCUGGGUUUGAGGUUGAAGAUGACGAAAAUUCAAUUUGGUCCCUCAAUUUGUGAAAUUACAGUUUAGUCCCUAAACUUUGGGAACAUUAUAAUUUGACCCCUAAUUGUAUUUGAGAUUCGGGACAGUGUUAUUAUGAGGUUAAGGAUGAUAAAUCUCAGUUUGAUAAUUGAUUUUGAAUAUUUUCAGUUUGGUCCCUCAAUUUAGGAAAUUUACAUUUUAGUCCCUGAACUUUAUGAAAAUUACAAUUCGGUCUCUGGUUCGUUCUAGACAGAAUUAAGGAUGGUUUAUGGGUGAAAAUUCAGUAUAGUUAUGUAUUUUCCAGAUUGGUCUAAUUUUGGUAAAAUUACGUUUUGGUCCCUGUUUUGGAAAAUUGUCGUUUUAGUCCAUAAAAUUAGGAGACUAAACCUGGUUUAAUUUUAUGCAUUGGGAUCUCUUGUUUGAGUUGCUUUUGAGUAUAUUUUUAUAUUGUUGUAGGUUCUCCUAACGAUCCUCAAUAGGAUUUUCGGGUCUUUCGUCUGACAUUCCUUUUAGUUCUAUAUUUUCCGGGUGAGUGAGAUAAUCUUUAAUAUGCAUAUAUGAUAAGUAAAUAUGUAUGUUGAUUAUACAAUGAGUACAAUUUGUUAAUUUCUUGAAUAAUUAUAUAUGUUGCUUAUUUUCCGAGUACUCAUUUAUUCUUGAAUUUGCACUCGCAAUUUGUCAAAGUAAAUUCUAUUUGAUAUGAUAUACGUUUCUUUGAUGAUUAUGUAAAUAUCUAUUAUGCCUUGAUAUGGGACUUGUCAGUAACUCCAUGCUAACGGAGAGUAGUUAGUCUAUGUGCACAUAGUAUUCUGUAUACCUAGCUGGUGAGAGAGGCAUCAGCCUGUGGCGACUGAUCAUCCCAUAGUGGUCACCUUCGGGUGACAUCUGGUCACCUUCGGGUGACAUCUGGUCACCUUCGGGUGUCAUCUGAUCUCUGACAUGUACUCCACUACGUUAUGAUGAUAUGUUUAGUAUGUAUAUGAUAUGUAUAUGAUAUGUUCAGUAUGUAUAUGUAUAUCAAGAUAAAUUAUCUUGCGAACUAUUAAUAUCAAGAAUAUCUAAAAUGUAUAUUAAUUAUUAUUCUCUCAGUGAGUUGGUUGAACUCACCCCUCAUUCUUAAUAUUAUUUCAGGUUCUUAGUUUCUGAUAGCAGGUGAACUUUGUUGAGUGUUCCUGCUUCUUCAGUUUUGGGUCGGUAUGCCUUGCUUAUCUUUCAAGGCUGUUUGAUUCAAUGUCUUAGGCACUCCACUAUUACCUUGUUUUAAUUAAGUUUGGAUUUUGACAAUGUAAUGAGUAUUAUGGAUUAUUAUUUUUGUUUUAAUUAUUGAUGAGGAGUUUUAAACUAUCUUUUGGUUUCAUCAGUUUUGAAAAAUAUAAUAUUUCUGAAGAUUAUGAAAUGCUGCGUAUUUUUGAAUAAAUUGUUCUUUUGAUAUGUUCGUUUUGAGGCUUAGCGCGGGCGGGGUGUCCUUCCAGCACCGCCCCUGCGUUGCCGGUCACGGACCCGGGAUUCGGGUCGUGACAGAAUCACUGAUGGAAUGAUUAAAAAUAUUAAUAUUUAAUUAUCCAUCGGUAAAACCGUCAGUAAAACGCUCCAAUAAAAAGCCUAGAAUCCCUAAUUUCACAACGGACCCAUCUCUUUUCUUCUUCUUCUUCUUCUUUUCCCCCAUAUGUAAAAAACAUCAAUAUCCAAUUCGUUUUCUUCUCUUCUCUCCUCAAUUCUUUCUCUUCUCCUCCAUGCUCAGGCAUGUCUUCUUUUCCUUUCUUUUUUUUUCUUCUCAAUUUUUUUUAAUUAUUAUACUUUACGAAUUUGUUUUUUUCUUUUCUUCUUAGCUUCACUUGCAACUACAUUAAGGUAAGAUUUCUUUUUUCUUUUUUCUUUCGUGUUUUUUUCACUAUAUUUGUUUUUAUUUUAUUUUUAAUUGUUUUUGUUCUUAAUAAUUGUAUGAAUGUUGUUGUAGGAUUUUUUUUUUCAUAUGAGAUCAAUUUUUAGUUGAUUUAUUUAUAGGAUUUUUAAAUUUUUUUCAUAUGAAUAUUUUUAGUUGAAUUUAUUUGUUACAAAAUUGUUUGAGUUGAUUUUCUUCUUCCUUUUUCCAAGCGUUUUGAGUAUUAUAGAGUGUUGAUUUAUAUUAAUUUAAUUAUUUUAUAGUUUUGUAAAAUAGAUUUUUUUAAAAUAUUUUUAAUUAAUUACUGACGGAAUUACGUACGAUAUGUUGCCGAGGAAAAUACCGACGGAAUGAAGCGGGUAAUGAUAUUUUUUUUGCUCUCAAGAAUUUUUAAUGUCUUAUGAAUCCAUUACAUAUAAAAUUUAAUAGGAACCAACAAUUCAAUUAUAUUCCUCAUCAAGACAUCAAUCCCUUCUUCGAUUUUCAUGGUAGUAAUAUUUCACCAAUAACCUAAUUCUAAUGCAAUUUUAUGCUUAUGAAUUUAUCACUUAACAACAUUUAUUCACAAUUAAAUCCCCUAAAAUCUCUUAUUAUUGGCCGACCUCUAGCUCUAUUUAAUUAUCAAAAUUUUUAAUUCAAUUAUAAUAAUUUAAUCAUUUUACUCUAAUUUUCACAUUAUUCCUCAUGACAAAUUACAAUAAAUUUUUAUUUUCCCCAAAUUUAUUCUGGAACCUAACUUUCCAAUUUAAAAAAUUCAAUCAAUUAAGGAUUUUAAGCCAUUAAAAUCAAAUCAAGAGUCUUUAAAAUGCUUUACCAAGGAAGUAAUUAAACUCUAAACACUUCUCAAAUCAAGUUUCCAACUCCUCCUCUUCUUUAAUCUUGGCCGAACUUCCUCUCUUUUUUUCUACUCACCUUCACUUGAUUUUUCUUCCUUCGAAUUAAUGCUUACUAAACUUGGUUAAUGUUCCUUUAAGAUCUUCUCUCAAGAUUUUAUGUUUCCUUUACAAUUCUAUCUCUCUCACAUGUGAAUGGGAGUUUCCCCUCUUCUUUUUUUCCUUCUUGCCUAAGUGCGCGCGCGCGCGCACACACACACUCUAACUUUUACCAAAUUCUCUCUAUAUCCCAAAUAGUAAAUUUCAUGUUCCCGGGAUAAAAUUCCUGGAUCCCAGCAUUUGUCUAUAUAAAAUGUUUUACCAGAGUGAAUUCAAAUUUCAUUUAGUUACAUAUUGAUACUUUUAUUUUCUGGUAAUUCACUUCCAAUAAUAUUUUAUUCACAUUUAUGUAUUUUUUUUAUUUUUCAAAUGUAUAUAUUUUUUUAUUUGUACUUAGUUCGUUCUAAUGCUUAUUUGAUACUUCUGUUUAUUCUAUUCUAUAAGCACUUAGAUUGCUUUUCUAUCUAAUUUUCAACCGAGGCUUACACUUUCUUUAUGAGCUUGUAAUUUUCUCAUGAGUCCUUGAAUUGUAAUAAAAUCCAUAUUAUGUGACUCCUCUAUCGCGACCACCAUAUAAUGCAAUUUUUUUUUGCAGCGAGCAUAAAAUCUUUUCUACCACACAUGUUUGCUUCAUCUUCUCCUCAUAUCUCUUUAUUUGAUUGUAUAUGGUUAAAACUCUGGCAAAGUAAUCUGAAAUACUCUCUCAUUCACGCAUAUGUAGCUUUUCAAAGUCACCUUGUUACUUUUGUAAGCGUACCUUUCUGACAUUGGCAGCUUCUUGGUUUGAUUAUUGCAAGACUUCUCAUGUUUACUUGGUAGUGGUUGCAUUAGCCACUAUCUCAAAAGUGAUAUCAUCUAGACAUUAAUGGUUGAUUGUGAAUGCUUUCUGAUCCUUUUUCCGCGCCUUUUGCACGACCUCCCGCUUUCACAUGAAUACACCAAAUUUCAUAAUUUGUCAAAUGAGGACAUUGAAGUGGGAAGUUUAUAUUAGCCAUGUCAAAUAAAAAAAAAAACAAGCUUUGAUACCACUUGUUGGAAGAAACUUUAGGUGUGGUAGGAGAUAAUCUUAAAAAGCAAAAAUAAAGAAGAAGAAAAAUUUGAGAGGAAAGAUGUUUUUGCGUGAAGUGUUUUCUCAAAGAUAUACUAUGUAAGCUUUUUUACAUAUUUCUCUCACGUUUUGAUUACAAGUCUAUUUAUAGAUAUAAAAUCCUAAACAAUCAAAGGAUUUAACUAAUGAAAAAAAAACCUAAAUUGAUAAGGAAAAGUAUUUUACCGACUCAACCGAUCGAUCAAUUCAUUUAAUCCAACCAGUACUAUCCAACUAAUAAGUCUUUCAUGAUACAAGGACGAGUUCUUUGCAAGUAACUAAUACGAGAUGUCUAGUUGAUGAGUUUAUGGAUAAAAUUGACAGACCAAAGCCCAAAAGAUGGCUUGAAAUGGCAAACGCGCACUGGUCCUUUAGAGGGCCACAGAUUUUGAUUCAGGUACCCAAUUACCUCAAAUCACAAAGCUUAUGUAGAGGCACAUACUGUUCUAGACCAAAGGCGCGCGUCCGAGGUUGUUUAUGAGGUUAAAAUCCAUUCUAAAGACCUUAAUCUCAACAUUAAUUUCGGAAAUUUGACUUUUCUAACUAUCUUUUCCUUUUAUCUCAACAUUAAUUUCAGACUCUAAUUAUUUAUAUACUAUUCAGCCCGUGGUUUUGUUGCAGAAACAUUGCUGUACCAUAUUCCAACACAGCGUUUUGAGGAAUUAACGGGGCUGAAAAUUCCCAGUUUAAAAAUAUUGCUUGUCGAGACAAUAUAGUUUCAGGAUAUUUGAUGUGUAGAGAUGAUGUAAUUAUGUCAAUGGCAGCAUUAGGAUGCAUGAAACGGCCAUUGGGAGCUUUCCUCUCCGUAAAGUGCAUAACCAAAAUACUUAGAUCAUCCACCAAAAGGAAAAUAACCAAUGUAAUGUUAUAUGACAUUUAACAAUGAUCAAACAGAAAAGUAAACAUGUUCUGAACUCUAUCGGCCUUUAAGAUCAGAAAUUGUCACAUUGUUAAUGGAAUUUAUCUUUUGGCUCUGAGUAGUGGCCUCUGUACCCAAUGAAGUCUGCCUUUCAACAAAUGCUGGUUUCUUUGGAGUAGGAAGAUCCACAAUUUCACUAUUUAGCAUGGAAAUGAUAGUUGACACGGCCGGUCUGUCUUUCGCCAAUUCCUGCACACACAACAGACCAAUAUGUAUGCAUCGGAAUAUCUCCACCUCAACACAUGGAUCUGAUAUUGCAGGAUCAACCAAAGCUGCAAUGUCACCUUCAUUCCACAGUUUCCAAGCCUGAAAAUGUUGAUACAAUCAUACAAGUAAGAGUUUGCCAGAUUAAUAGUAUCAGAAAUUGAAAGGAGCUUUCCAAAUAUAUCUCAGGCAGUGUGCCGGACAGACAUGCAAAUCCUAUAAGACUCAAAGCAUGCUCAUUGCUAUAAAAAUGAGCGUUCUUUCUUCCGCUCACAAUCUCCAGCAACAACACUCCAAAGCUAAAUACAUCUGAUUUCUCUGAAAAUCUUCCUUCCAUUAAAUAUUCAGGGGACAUAAAGCCACUGCAUAAGCACAACAGCUUUCUGAGCUCAAAUUAGAGAAACAGUAAUAGGAGUGAAAAUGGAAAAAAAGAAGAAGAAAAACACUACUUACAAGGUUCCAACAACCCUGGUAGUAUUCACUUCAUUGCCGCCAGAAAUCCUGGCUAAUCCGAAGUCUGAAAUUUUUGGAUUCAGCUCGUGGUCCAAUAAGAUGUUACUUGGCUUCAGAUCUCUAUGAAUAAUUCUUAGUCUAGAAUCUCUGUGAAGGUAAAGAAGACCUCGACAAAUCCCGUUAAUAAUGUCGAAGCGUCUUUCCCAAUCUAGCUGUCCUUUCCUGAGUGAAUCUAAGGAUAUUGUAUCCAGAAAAAAUCAUGAGAAAACAAGGUCAAAAGAAAAUGAGCCAAGAAAAGUAGCAAUCUGCUUCUCCUGCUUGAAACUAAUGAUCUGUGAAAUUGAAAAGGAGUCAAGAAAAGUAGUAGCUAAACAAAAAAGAGCUGUAGCCCUAACCAAAGAGAAAGGCAUCCAAGCUUUUAUUCGGCAUGUACUCAUAAACCAACAUCAUCUCUUCUCCUUCAACACAGCAACCAAGAAGUCUCACAAGAUUCCUAUGUUGGAGUUUAGAAAUCACCGCAACUUCAUUCAUAAACUCUUCGAGACCUUGACCAGAUGUUUUAGAAAGUCUUUUGACAGCUAUUUCCUGCCCAUCUGGUAAUUUUCCCUACAAUGUCACAUCAAACCAAUAAAUACCUUUUUGCUCUAAAUAACUAUAAAGAACCUUUAGUUCCAGAAGAAUUACCCUGUAUACUGCACCAAAGCCGCCCUGCCCAAGCUUCUUCGAUAUGUCAAAGUUGUUUGUAGCAGUUUCAAGAAUUUGUAAUUUGAAGAGUGGUUCCAGUUUAACUUCCCUGACGUUUUCGGGCAAGUUUCCAUCAAAAACUGUUUCUUGUGCUUCUCUCGUUUUGAACGAUAAGGUCUCCUCACUUGUCAACUUCCUUUCUGAAUUCAAGUGGAAAUAUCGUUAUUAUUUGUGAAUUGUGUUUUUCUUUAAUUGUAAAAAUUGUAAAGUUUAGAAGUCCAGUAAGCUAAUAAGACGUAGCAUAUUACCUCUAUGUGUAGCCAUCCAUUUCCAAGAAAAAAACACACAGAUGAACAUGGCAAUGGCUCCUACAAUCACUGACAUACUGAUGAUUACUUUCAUGUUUCUCUUGUUAUCUGCAACUAAAAAAUUGUACUGAUGGUUAUUUUGCAAAAAUGUAAUGGAAAUAUGAAAAAACUUAUCAAUGUUUGCUCAUACAGAUACAUAACUUGUACACUAGUUAUGCAUACCUGAAAAACGAAACAAUAGUGAAUGACAAUUAGAAAAAAUUAGAAUAAUUACCAAGUUCUGUAUACGCCAGGCGAAUGUUGAGAUCUGUCCCUCCUUCAGAGAACUUUUGUAUAUCAAUCAAGUUUCCUGUCCAUGCCAUGCAGCCAAAACCAUUAUAAUAUGAAUAACCGACACAGGAACAAUUCCUCAAGCACUCAUCUUUGCAUUCUUGUUCGGAGGACGGAUAUGACCAGUACUCGGCAAAGGUUGGCACCUUCAUCAUCUCUAGCUUCAUAAAUCCAUCUUCUUUACCCACUUCACUACCAUUCUUUAUUCUAUCACACUGCAACGAUGUCAUCCUAACACAACCGCUAGUCCAAAUUCCUUUCUUCCAUUCAUCUUGAUUUUUUGGAACAAACCCUUUUAAGCAUCUGCAGAUAGGUGAAUUAUGUUCAUCGCAGCUUCCAAAUGACCCGCACUUGCCAUAAAUAUCACACUCAAUGGAUGGAGCUUCCCAGUCAUACUUCCAACCUCCCUUCCCAUAAUCCCAGUAUUGCUCUGUAAGUUUUCCAUGAGAAGUCAAAACAUACGUUAAUCGGAAAGCUGGGUCUUGAAUUGAACUCAGAGUGAAAGUGCCAUCUCCUUCAUCUUGUGGAGUAAAUCCACUUAGAUACACAGAAGUAGACAUUCCUGGUUUUCCAGUAAAGUUCUGGCCACCCCAUGGACCACUACGCCAAAAUGGAUGACCAUUGUACCAGAUGAAGAACUCAGGAAUUCCUAAUGGAUUGACACCAGCAGAGAAGUUUCCAACUGAAGGAUCAGAUGAGCUUCUCCAUGACAUUAGCAGUGUCUUGUUCCCCGUUCUUGCGUUAGCACUAAGUCUCAUCUUUGGUAAGUAAGUAUCCGUAGGCUGCUGGAAACUUUGCCAUUCAAGGUUUCCAUUCGGUCCAGCUUUCAAGACAAGGUUUCCAUCAUCAGUAAGCUGUGCAGUUGACUGAUUGAACCCAAUUGAAACAUUUGAUGACCACAGAACCUCUCGCUGACCAUUCAAAACCACAAGAUUUCCAUCUUCAGAUAUUGUCAUCAUCCCAGAAGAAUCGUUGAUUGGCUUGUUUCUGUUGGCCACCCAUAGUACUGGAGUUGAUGCUGAUAUAUUACUAUACCAUAUUCCGACAUAUCGAUAUGUUGAAUUAACUGGGCUGAAAAAUCCCAGUUGAAACAUUUUUCCGGCAGACUCUAUAGCUUCCGGAUCUUUGAUGGGUUGAGAAGUAGUUAUGGUAUCUCCUGCAUCACCAUAAAAUGAACAGGAAAAUGAGAGAAACAGAAGAAGAGCCACUGCAAGUUCGCAGUUGCCAAGUCCCAUACUUGUUAUUGAUGAGAAUGGAAGACUAAUAAAUGGCUAAAAGACUGUUCAGAGAAAGGAUGCCAUGACAAGAAUAUUUCUCCUCCUGUCCUUUUUCUUACUUCCAAUCAAGAGAUUGUUUUUCAAAGAGAAACCAUGGUUGACAAUUAAAAGUCAGAAACUUAAAUGUUUUCUGUUAAUUUCCAUACAUAAAGAAUGUUUUACCACACUGUUACAUUACGUAAACAGGGUUAUGCAUUCCUGAAAAACGAAACACUAGUGAAUGAAAAUUAGAAAAUGUUGUAACAAUUACCAAGUUUUGUAUACGCCAGGCGAAUGUUGAGAUCUGUCCCUCCUUCAGAGAACUUUUGUAUAUCAAUCAAGUUUCCAGUCCAUGCCAUACACAUAUUACCAUUAUAAAAUGAAUAAGCGACACAGGAACAAUUCCUCAAGCACUCAUCUUUGCAUUCUUGUUCGGAGGACGGAUAUGACCAGUACUCGGCAAAGGUUGGCACCUUCAUCAUCUCUAACUUCAUAAAUCCAUCUUCUUUACCCACUUCACUACCAUUCUUUAUUCUAUCACACUGCAACGAUGUCAUCCUAACACAACCGCUAGUCCAAAUUCCUUUCUUCCAUUCAUCUUGAUUUUUUGGAACAAACCCUUUUAAGCAUCUGCAGAUAGGUGAAUUCUGUUCAUCGCAGCUUCCAAAUGACCCGCACUUGCCAUAAAUAUCACACUCAGUUGAUGGAGCUUCCCAGUCAGACGUCAAACCUCCCUUCCCAUAAUCCCAGUAUUCUGUAAGUUUUCCAUCAGAAGUCAAAACAUACGUUAAUUGAGAAGCUGGGUCUUCAUUUGAACUCAGAGUGAAAGUACUGCCAUCUCCUUCCCUUUUUAGACUAAAUCCAUCUGAAUACACAGAAGUAUACAUUCCUGGUAUUCCGAUAAACUUCGCAUUACCCCAUGGACCACUACGCCAAAAUGGAUGACCAUUGUACCUGUAAUGUUUUGAAUAUAAAGAGUUAGGAAAAUACAACAAAGCCCUUGGUGGCUUAAAGAGUGGGUAUAAUUAAAUGAGGGGUAGUGUGGUAAUUGAACAAUACUUGUAUAUAUAUUUCUCAUUGUUUUAUUACCUCGUGUGUGUAUAUUGAACGUUAUCUACUCACUGAGUUGUUGAACUCACCCUCUCAUUAUUUAUCCUUUUCAGGCUUAUAGCUUGAUAGCAGGUCAUUUUGUUGGACCUUCAGAACCUGCUUUUUGGUUGUAAUUUGUACAUUUUCCUUUAUGUCUAGUUAGUGCUCCAAAACUCUGAAUUUAUAUUAACUCUUGUAUUAAGACAAUUCAAUUAUAUUAUGAAGUUGAUUUUGUUAUUAAUGCUGCGUUGAACUCUGAUUGAGUUAUGAUAAGUUUGUGUGUAAGUUUGGGUUCGCAUAGGUAUGGAACCUUGGAGGGGAACCUUGCCUAUGUGCCGGUCAUGGAUCCGGGAUUCGGGUCGUGACAAACUUGGUAUCAGAGCUUUAGGUUAAAAAAACAAUAAUAUAAUUAAAUUCGUAAUAAGUGGAGCAUUAGGAUCCGUGUUGUCUUGUUUGUUGUCUUUGAAAUUCUGAAUUCUCAUUAAGCAUGUCUUCUUCCUUGUGAUAGAUAUGCUUUCCUAUAAUUCUGUGGUAAUUAUCAUGCUAUUGUUCUAGCAUGACUUGAGUGCUCUCACUUUUAUUUUAGGAAAUGCCGAGGAAUAGACGAAUAGCUGAUACUGUUAGAGUAGAGGAUGAUCAGGAUAAUGUCCCUAUUGGGCGGUUGAGAACUGCAAGGCAGAGAAGGAGGCGCGGUGCACCCGUGUCUCAACAUGUUGAGGAGGUACCUCCACCAGUGGAGGAAGAGCCUCAGGAGAUAGAAGAGGAAGAUAUUGUUGAUGAAACAGGUGUGGGGGUAGCUGACCCUGAACCUGUUACAGAGUUUCAGCAACUUAGCCAGGUUGUGCGGACCUGGAUAGAGUUUUCUAUGGAGAGAGAUAGAAGGAGGGAUAGAGAUGUACCCUCGACAUCCCACACUGUUCAGGGAGUUAAUGUGCCGUUGAAUGACUUCAUGAAGUUGGCACCUCCUAUUUUUACUGGGAUGGAUAGUUCAGAGGAUCCUCAGAGGUUCCUAGAUGAUAUUUGGCGACGGUGUGAAGCUUUGGGAUGUACAGACCACCGAGCUGUGAGUUUGGCAUCGUUCAGGUUGGAAGGAGAUGUGGCAAUCUCUUGGUUUGAGUCUAGGAAAAGAGCAAGACCAGUAGAGGCUCAGUGGACAUGGAAGGAGUUUAGCUCCAUGUUCUUAGACAGGUUUCUCCCUCAGAGCGUCAGGGAUGCUCGACUUUAUGAGUUUGAGAGGCUAUCUUAGGGGAGCAUGACAGUGGAUGAGUAUGAUCUGAAGUUCACUCAGCUGUCUAGGUAUGCAGAACAUCUUCUACCCACUGAGGAGUGGAGGGUGAAGAGGUUUAUUAGAGGACUCAAAUCCUCUAUGUAUAAGGUGAUGGUGUCACAGGUGUUUCCAUCAUACUCUUUAGCUGUUGAUAGCGCCAGAUUGAUAGAGGCGCGAGAAUUGGAGGAUAUGACUGCAGGCCAGUCUAAGAGGCCUAGAGAAGAGGGUCAGUCUUUUAGGCAACAGGGAUUAAGUGCAGGUCCGUCUAGGGGACGAAGUGGCCGUCAGGGCUCAUGGGUUCAGAGGAGGUUUAGACAGAGACCGUCAGUUAGUGGCUCAGGCGGUCAGAGUGGCAGUAGUGGUACUCAGAGUUUAGUUCAGACUGCACCUCGUAGUUCAUUUGUUUCACCUAGUGAUAGUUCUUCAUGUCAGCAUUGUGGAGGAAGUCAUACUAGUGCAGAGUGCUACAGAAGGACUGGGGCUUGUUUUAGUUGUGGCCAGAUAGGUCAUAAGAUCAGAGAGUGCCCGAGGAGACAGUUGUCAGCUUCGGGGUUAUCUGCUUCAGUCCAGCACCCUAUUCAGGCACCAUCGACGAGCCAGUCUGUGGCUCAUGGGGGUAGAGGUUUUGGUGGCCGUGGUCAGAGAGGCCGGGGUGCAGGUGAUAGAGGUCAGAUACAGCAGGGUCAGGGGCAUGCUAGAGUUUUUGCCUUGACUCAGCAGGAUGCUCAGGCAUCCAACACAGUUGUUUCAGGUAUUCUUCCUGUUUGCUCUUUUGAAGCAAAAGUGUUGUUUGAUACGGGUGCAACCCAUUCAUUUAUGUCUCCAUAUUUUGCCAUGAGGUUAGAUAAACAACCAACUUUGUUAAAAUCUCCAAUUUCAGUUUCCACUCCCUUAGAUGAAUUAAUAUUAGUGAAGUAUGUGUAUCUGGAUUGUGAAAUAGAGAUUGGAGAUAAGAUUUUUAUGGGAGACUUAAAUGUCUUAGAUAUGGUUGAUUUUGAUGUGAUUUUGGGAAUGGAUUGGUUGGCAAAGCAUAGGGCUUCGGUAAAUUGUUGGGGUAAGAAAAUAAUAUUUGAUCUAGAUGAAGAAGUUGGGUUGGUAUUUCAAGGAGAUAAGAUUGGGUCUCCAUCAAUUAUGUUGUCGGCUAUCUCGAGGAAAAUGGCCAGAAAAGGGGUACAGUGCUACCUAGCAUAUAUAGUGGAUAUAGAGAAAGAAGUUCCUCAAUUAGACCAAGUCCCUAUAGUUAGGGAGUUUAUUGAUGUCUUUCCCGGUGACUUGCCUGGAUUGCCUCCAUAUAGGGAGAUUGAGUUUUGUAUUGAUUUGGUUCCGGGUACCGAACCAAUAUCAAUGGCACCAUAUAGAAUGGCGCCAGCAGAAUUGAGGGAGCUAAAGGAGCAACUGCAGGAUUUGUUGGAUAAAAAGUUCAUCCGACCAAGUGUGUCCCCCUGGGGAGCCCCAGUGUUGUUUGUGAAGAAGAAAGAUGGGUCAUUGAGGUUGUGUAUAGAUUAUAGGCAACUGAAUCGAGUGACUGUUCGAAAUAGAUACCCACUCCCUCGCAUUGAUGAUUUGUUUGACCAGUUGCAGGGAGCUCAAUUCUUUUCUAAGAUCGAUCUUCGAUCUGGGUAUCAUCAGUUGAGGAUUAGGGAGUCAGACAUUUUGAAGACAGCUUUUAGAACUCGGUAUGGUCAUUAUGAGUUCUUAGUGAUGUCUUUUGGGUUGACGAAUGCACCAGCAGCUUUUAUGGAUUUGAUGAAUAGAGUGUUUGGCCAGUUUAUUGAUCAAUUUGUGAUAGUUUUUAUUGAUGAUAUUUUGGUGUAUUCGAGGUCUAGAGAGGAGCAUGAGCAGCACUUGAGAAUGGUGCUUCAAACUCUGCGAGACCAUCAGCUGUAUGGCAAGUUCUCAAAGAGUGAGUUUUGGUUGGAGAGUGUAGCAUUUCUUGGGCAUGUAGUGUCAAGGAAUGGGAUUGAGGUUGAUCCUCAAAAGAUUGAAGCAGUUAAGCAGUGGCUUAGGCCUACUUCGGCGACAGAGAUUAGAAGUUUCUUAGGUUUGGCCGGCAAUUAUCGGAGGUUUGUGGAGAACUUUUCUCGGAUUUCUGCACCAUUGACUAAGUUAACGCAGAAAAAUGUUAAGUUUCAGUGGUCUGAAGCUUGUGAGAAAAGUUUCUUGGAGUUGAAAGAGAGAUUGACUACAGCGCCUGUUCUAGCAGUACCAUCAGGUUCUGGUGGUUACACAGUGUAUUGUGAUGCUUCGAGAGUGGGGUUAGGAUGUGUUCUAAUGCAGCAUGGCAAGGUUAUUGCCUAUGCUUCACGGCAGCUGAAGAAGCAUGAACAGAACUAUCCUACACAUGAUUUAGAGAUGGCGGCUGUAAUUUUUGCCUUGAAGAUUUGGAGGCACUACUUGUAUGGUGAAACUUGUGAGAUCUUCACAGAUCACAAGAGUUUGAAAUAUAUCUUUCAGCAAAGGGAUCUAAACCUGAGGCAGAGGAGAUGGAUGGAACUGCUGAAGGAUUAUGAUUGUACCAUACAUUACCACCCGGGUAAGGCAAAUGUAGUUGCCGAUGCUUUGAGUAGAAAAUCAUCAGGGAGCUUAGCUCAUAUUCAGGAGGUACGAAGACCUCUGAUUAGGGAGCUGCAUGAGUUGGUGGAUGAAGGAGUCAGAUUUGAUCUUAGUGAAGCUGGAGCAAUGAUUGCUCAUUUUCAGGUUAAGUCAGAUUUGUUUGAUAAAAUAAAAGCAGCUCAGAAGGAAGAUGAUUCACUACUCAGGAUUAGAAAUGAGGUUGAGCAGGGUAAGGCUGCAGGUUUUGUGAUAGGUGAUGAUGAUGUGCUGAGAUAUAGGGAUAGGCUUUGUGUACCUGAUGUAGAUGAUCUGAGGAGAGAAUUGAUGGUAGAGGCACAUCAGACAGUUUACACAGUGCAUCCAGGUUCCACCAAGAUGUAUAAAGACCUUAAGGUGUGUUAUUGGUGGAAUAGGAUGAAGGCUGAUGUAGCAGACUUUGUUUCUAGGUGUUUGACCUGUCAGAGGGUAAAGGGUGAACACCAGAAACCUCCUGGAUUGUUGCAACCAUUGUUGAUUCCAGAAUGGAAGUGGGAAAGGAUCACAAUGGACUUUGUGACAGGAUUGCCUAGGAGUCAGGAGGGUUAUGAUUCAAUAUGGGUGAUUGUUGACAGGUUGACAAAAUCAGCCCAUUUUCUGCCAGUUAGGAUUACUUAUGGAUAUGCAAAGUUGGCAGAAUUAUUUAUUAGUGAGAUUGUACGGUUGCAUGGAGUGCCAAUCUCGAUAGUGUCUGAUAGAGGUCCACAGUUUACAUCGCGGUUUUGGGUGAAAUUCCAAGAAGCUAUGGGUACCAAAGUGCAGUUGAGUACAGCUUUUCACCCUCAGACAGAUGGUCAAUCUGAGAGGACUAUUCAGAUCUUGGAGGAUAUGCUAAGGGCUUGUGUUAUGGAUUUUGGAGUUGGUUGGAGUAAGUUCCUACCAUUAGCGGAAUUUGCUUACAACAACAGUUAUCAGGCUAGCAUAGAAAUGGCACCUUAUGAGGCUUUGUAUGGUCGGAAGUGUAGAUCACCGGUUUGUUGGUUUGAGGUUGGUGAGAAGAGGCUAAUGGGACCAGAGUUGAUUCAGAUUACCUCAGAGAAGAUAGAGGUAAUUAGAAAUAAGCUUCAAACAGCUCAGAGCAGACAAAAGAGUUACGCAGAUAAAAGAAUGCGUGACUUAGAGUUUUCAGUGAGUGAUUGUGUGUUCUUAAAAGUAUCACCGACCAAAGGAGUAUUCAGGUUUGGGAAGAAAGGCAAGUUGAGUCCUCAAUUUAUUGGACCGUAUGAGAUUCUGGAGAGAGUUGGGGUAGUUGCUUAUAGGUUAGCAUUACCACCAAACUUGUCUGCUAUUCAUCCGGUAUUUCAUGUUUCCAUGCUAAGGAAGUAUAUGUCAGAUCCAUCGCAUGUAUUAGAGGUUUAUCCCAUUGAAUUGAGGGAUGAUAUGGUUUAUGAGGUGCAACCAGAAGCUAUAGUCGACCGACAAGUGAGGAAGCUUAGGUCAAAGGAUAUAGCUUCAGUGAAAGUGAAAUGGAAAGGUCAUUCACGUGAGGAAGCGACAUGGGAGCUCGAGGAUAAGAUGCGUGAGGAGUACCCUCAUCUUUUCGAUAAUCUCGGUAAGUAUUCAAUCUUUUCUAUUAAGUUUCAAGGACGAAACUUUUAUAAGGUGGGGAGAUUGUAAUGUUUUGAAUAUAAAGAGUUAGGAAAAUACAACAAAGCCCUUGGUAGCUUAAAGAGUGGGUAUAAUUAAAUGAGGGGUAGUGUGGUAAUUGAACAAUAGUUGAUAUAUAUAAAUAGAGAGAAGGAAAAAAAAAAACAAAAGAGAGAUCUGAAUUUUGAGAGAGAACCGGCAGGAGAGAAAGGGAGAAAGAAGAAGAAGAAGAGAAAAGAGGGAAAUUAGAAAGGAAAUAGAAAGGAGUUGGAGAAAAUAAGUAAAAAGGUAAGAUUAUGUAUAAAUAUAUGUUAAUUAAGCUUUAAUUUCGAUUUUGAUAAAUGUUAGGGUUAUGAAAUUUGUGUUUUGGGUUUGAUUGAUGAUUUAAUUUGAAUAUUAUAGAGUUAAUUGUUGUGGGUAUUUGAUUAUUUGGAUGAUUUUGAGAGAUUGAAUUGAAAGAUGAUGAUUUUGAGUUAUGAUUUUGUUUGAAUGGUGAAAUUGUGUUAGGAAUUUGGCAAGAACAGUAGGUUUCUGUUAAAAAUUCUGGGUUGGAGGUUGAAGAUGACAAAAUUUCGGUUUGGUCCCUCAAUUUUGGAAAAUUACAGUUUAGUCCCCAAACUUUGAAAAAUUUGCAGAUUGGUCCCUGGAGCAUAUUCCGAGAUUCUGAACAGAAUAACAUAUGAAUUAUGGACAGAAUUACUGUAUAGAUAAGAGAAUUUAACACUUUCAAUUUAGUCCUUCAAUUUGACAAAAAUUACAAUUUAACCCUAAAAAUUUGGUAAAAUUCCAGAAUGGUCCUUGGAGUAUAAUGAGAUGAUCUGGACAGAAAUGAGGACUAAUUAUGGUCAGAAUUUCAGUAUAUUCAUGGAUUUAUGAUAAAUUUCAGUUUGGUCCUCCAAUUAGACAAAAGUUGCAAUUUGACCCUUAAAAAUAGGAUAAAUUACAGAUUAGUCCCUAGCUGUAAUACUAGCCUUUUCAGAUUGGUUUGAUGAAUAAUUGAGGGUUAUUUAGUGAAUUAUUAUCAAGUUUUAUUAUUUGCUUUAUUAUGGAUUAGAUUUCGGGAAAACCGUUAAAUUUUGGGUUUUAGGAAAAAUAACUAGUUAGUUCAAAAACAUAUAGGGUUAUGGAAUGCACCCUUAGAUAAGUGUAUUAAAUGGGUUAUAUAUUCCUUUGAGUUAUUCUUGAAUAUGCCUUCUUUGUAUUCAGAUAAUCCUGAUAUUCUACCGGCGGGACGUCAGUAGGAUUUUCUUCAGUAUUUGCUUUUGACUUCUGUUUGCUUUCGAGUCAGGUGAGUGGAUAACUUUCCAUAUGCAUGAGAAAUAGUAUAAAUAUUUGAUUUGUUAAUAUGAAUUGAAUCAUGCUUCUUGAUAAUAUAUAUGUUGAUUAUUAUCCUUAUUUUGAUAAAGCAUGAUCAAUUAUUGAAUCUGAAUUCUUGAUAUGAACCAGUAUAUAUUUUGAAUUGAAUUCUGAAUUGAUAGCUCCUCAUUUGAUUGAUGUCAUGAGUUGAGCCUUGAGAUAUGAAUACGUCUGUUUGAUUAUGAUUAUGAACCUAUGGUAUGUCAGUCAGAAUACCCAUGCUAACAGGGUAGUGUUAGUCUUUGUGCACAUCGUAUCUGAACCCUAGUUGGUCGGGGGAGUCACCAACCUGUGUGGACUGAUCAUCCCACAGUACGGAGCCUCAUGCUCAUUGCAUUUUGAUUUUCUGACGAGUUUUACCAUAUGACAUUCUUGUUAUGGCCAAUUUGAGAACACUUCCAUAAGAACCUAAAGCCAUACUUGUAUAUAUAUUUCUCAUUGUUUUAUUACCUCGUGUGUGUAUAUUGAACGUUAUCUACUCACUGAGUUGUUGAACUCACCCUCUCAUUAUUUAUCCUUUUCAGGCUUAUAGCUUGAUAGCAGGUCAUUUUGUUGGACCUUCAGAACCUGCUUUUUGGUUGUAAUUUGUACAUUUUCCUUUAUGUCUAGUUAGUGCUCCAAAACUCUGAAUUUAUAUUAACUCUUGUAUUAAGACAAUUCAAUUAUAUUAUGAAGUUGAUUUUGUUAUUAAUGCUGCGUUGAACUCUGAUUGAGUUAUGAUAAGUUUGUGUGUAAGUUUGGGUUCGCAUAGGUAUGGAACCUUGGAGGGGAACCUUGCCUAUGUGCCGGUCAUGGAUCCGGGAUUCGGGUCGUGACAGUACCAGAUGAAUAGCUCAGGAAUUCCUAAUGGAUUGACACCAGCAGAGUAGUUUCCAACUGAAGGAUCAGAUGAGCUUCUCCAUGACAUUAGCAGUGUCUUGUUCCCUGUUCUUGCGUUAGCAGUAAGUGUCAUCUUUGAUAAGCAAGUAUCCGUAGGCUGCCGGAAACUUUGCCAUACAAGGUUUCCAUUCGGUCCAGCUUUCAAGACAAGGUUUCCAUCAUCAGUAAGCUGUGCAGUUGACUGAUUGAAACCAUUUGAAACAUUUGAUGACCAAAGAACCUCUCCCUGACCAUUCAAAACCACAAGAUUUCCAUCUUCAGAUAUUGUCAUCAUCCCAGAAGAAUCGUUGAUUGGCUUGUUUCGGUUGGCCACCCAUAGUACUGGAGUUGAUGCUGAUAUAUUACUAUACCAUAUUCCGACAUAUCGAUAUGUUGAAUUAACUGGGCUGAAAAAUCCCAGUUGAAACAUUUUUCCGGCAGACUCUAUAGCUUCCGGAUCUUUGAUGGGUUGAGAAGUUGUUAUGGUAUCUCCUGCAUCACCAUAAACUGAACAGGAACAUGAUAGAAACAGAAGAAGAGCUACUGCAACUUCGCUGUUGCCAAGUCCCAUACUUGUUAUUGAUGAGAAUGGAAGAUUUACAAAUGGCUUAUUGACUGUUCAGAGAAAGAAUGCCACGAAGAAGAAUAUUUCUCUUCCUGUCCUUUUAAUUCCAAUCAUGAAGUUAUUUUUUCAAAUAGAAACUAAGUUUAGCAAUUAUAAGUAAGAAAUUCUUAUGUUUUCUGACUUAUUUCCAUCUAUAAAGAAUGUUUAACCAAACUGUUAUAUUACAUAAGCAGGGUUAUGUUUUACUCUGAGAUUUUGACCCUCUUGUGCUAAAAUAGUGAUGUUUCAUCAGGAUGAACCUCAUCAACUAGGUUGUGAGAUCGAUAGAAAUUUUAUUUUUAUAGGAUAUUAUCACAAAACAUACACUUGCCUCGCCAUGACUGACAUGUUCUUGUUAGGCGCUAUCAAGAAGCUCUUGACAUUCUUAUUUUAAAGUAGCUUUAUUCGUACUUUGUCUAUUUUGAAUUUGCCUGCAAUAUUCAUGUGGGCGAUGAUUAAAUAUAUACUCUAAACCAUCAACUGAUAUAUGGCAUACUUGAAUUCUUUUUAUUAGACCAGUUAUUGUAGCAAUCUUUUGACUUUUUUUCCUGCAUCAAAAGCUAAAAACCUUUGACUUCUUUGAAAAUAGCGCUUCCCUUAAAAAUUCAGGGGAGAUAUAAACCACAGCAUAAGAUCCACAGUUUUUUAGCUCAAACCAUCUUGAUGCUUGAAUAAGAAAGAAAAGUCAUCCACUUGAUCUUCUCUGUCAUCCAACAAGACGUUACUUGCAGGCUUCAGAUCCCUGUGAAUGAUUCUUAGUCUGGAAUCUCUAUGAGUGCAUUCAAUUGAUAAAUAUUUUUUUAUCAAUUAGCCAUUUUAUAACUUUUGAGAAAAAAAUAUCUAUAUUUCUAACAAAAUCACUGAAUGAUAAAAAAAAAAAACUUGGUUUUUUCUACAAGAUGUUGAAAUCAAUAUGAAAGGAGACUUGCUAUCUAAGUCAUUUUUAAAAUGAGCAUGGAAUCCAUAAAGAUAGUAAAAAUAAAAUUGGGUUUUGGCUAUUUAUUUUCAUUGUAAUUUUUUUAAAAUAGAUAUGGUGGCUAUUACACUAGCUCAAUAGAUUUCAAUGGAAUCACAUUGAUAAAGUUCAAAUUAUUAUAAUUAAUGCUCAAAAUAUUAAAAAACAAAUAAUACUAAAAAAAAGAUAUUUUGUAUUAUUUAUUUUUAUUUGGGGCUUUCUCUCAUUUAAUAUUAUUUUUUAUGAGAUUUUUAUUUAUAUAAAAAAAGAGCCAUACAAAAUAUUAAUGAAGUGUGCCAAUACUGAUAUACACAGAGUUAAAUACAGAAAUAACAAGAAUCAUAAUUCGAGGGUUUAAGAUUGACUUUUCGAGUACAAAACCCCAAAAGUUGCUAGUAAAAGAUGAUUGAAACACGUGUUACGCGUGCAUUCACGCGCUAGUCCAUUAAGCUUCCUGAAAUUGUUUGUGUGUGUGUACCCACACUCCCUUUUAAAUAUCCCUGCAAAAACUUAAAAGACACGAAAUCAGUUCGUAGCCCACAUUCUUCCAAUUUCUCUUGGUUGUCUCCUCCUGGCUGGCGUUAUGGGCUAAACUGAGAGGGUGAUGUGAUUGUCGCCGUGAAUAUCUGGCCGUGGAGGAGUUGCUGCCGUUUGCUGCUUGUGUAGGGCUCGUCGUUGCUAUGGUGGGGCAGAGAGCUGGUUGUCGUUGGUGGUGACCGAGAGUGGACUCCAGACUUUGCUUAAUUUAUAUAUAUAUAUAUAUAUAUAUAUAUAUAUAUAUAUAUAUAUAUGUGCAUUUUUAUGUUUUUCUUAUGAUUUUUACGGUUUUUUAACACACAAAAAUUAAAUAAAAAUAACGAAAUGACUAAAUUUACUUAAAAAACAUAUUUUUUGUAAUAUAUACAAAAAUGAGGGGUAAAAAAUAAUAGGUCCAUACAUCAUAAGGGAAAAACUAAGCAUAUAUAAACAUAGUUUAAAUCAUGUUACUCUUUUAGACCACUACAAGUCAGAAAAUGAGAUAUAAAAAAUGAAAGGUAUUAUAUUCAAUUAUGUACACAUAGAAUAACAUUGUUCUAUUAACGUAGAUAUUUUAACUUUUAUAACUCCACAAUCUAUAUUAGAUUAAUAUAUAAUAAAAAGAAUCACAAAAUAACAAACAAAAGUUAAUCACAUUUCUUUCAAAUAUAAUAUUAUUUAUUUUCAUGAUUAUACAUAUAUUAGUAUUAUUUCUGUAGGCAUAGUCGAUAUUAUUUACUCAUAAUAUAUUACAACAAUAAGAAACUAAGAUAAAUAUAAAUAUCCACCAAUCAAUUAUUUAUUGAAACUUAUCUUAAAAUUUGUUAUUCAUGACCGGGGAUUGAAUUGAAAAUAUUUCAAAAUCAAGGUGUAAGAAUGCGAUUUUAUAGAAUUAAGAACUAAAUUGUAAUUUUUAUCAUCUUCAACCUCCACACAGAUUUUCCAGCAUGCAAUAAUAAUUUUCUCUACACAAUGCAUACAAAAGUCAAUAAGCUCUGAAACAUUACAUUUGUGCCUAUUCCCAUACCAUUUACUAUUAGUGGAUUCUCUUUCAAUAUAUUCGCUAUGAAUCUGAUUGUUUUUUGUGCAAUUCAUUGGCAGCUAGCUGCACUGAGAGUGAAAACAAACGCGAGAGUCCAAGCAAUGACAGUUCCAUUAAAGAACAUUUAUUAGGUGUAGACAGUGAGUGGCAGGUAAUUUCUCUGUCUGGCAUGCUAAUGAAUGGAUCUCUAUGCUUUCCACUUGAUAUAAUUCCAUUAUUCUUGUUUUUUUUACAUGUGCUUGAUUGGAAUUGGGGGGACGAAGGAAUCUAUAUUUUGUCCCCCGCAGGAACAAAAUUUUUUAUCCAUGCAAGUGGAUGGUGCAAACUCCAAACUUGGAUCUGAUAUUGCAGGAUCUGACGAAAGCUGUAAUGUCACGUUCCUUCCACAAUUUAAUAUAAGGACCGUAGAACUGACAUCUAAUAGAAAAGUCAUACCCAGCAAUGUAAUGUUCUUCAUUGAUAAACUAUAUUAAUAUCUAAUAGAAAAGUAAACUUGUUCUGAACUCUAUCGGCCGUUAACAUCAGAAAUCGUCACAUUGUUAAUGGAAUUUAUCUCUUGGUUCUGUGUAAUGGACUCUGUAUCCAAGGAACUCUGCCUUUCAACAAAUGCUGGUUUCUUUGGAGGAGGAAGAUCCACACUUUCACUAUUUAGCAUGGAAGUGAUGGUAGACACGGCCGGUCUGUCUUUCGCCAAUUCUUGCACGCACAACAGACCAAUAUGUAUGCAUCGGAAUAUCUCAACCUGAAAACAUGGAUCUGAUAUUGCAGGAACGACCAGAGCUGUAAUGUCACCUUCAUUCCACAGUUUCCAAGCCUGAAAAUAUAAAAAUCCAUCCAAGUAAGAGUUUGCAAGUUUAAUAGUAUCAGAAAUUGAAAGGAGCUUUGCAGAUAUAUCUCAGGCAGGGAGGCGGACAGACAUACAAAUCCUAUAAGACUCAAAGAAUGCUCAUUGUCAUAAAAACUAGAGUUCUUUCUUCCGCUUACGAUCUCCAGCAACAACACUCCAAAGCUAAAUACAUCUGAUUUCUCUGAAAAUCUUCCUUUCAUUAAAUAUUCAGGGGACAUAUAGCCACUGCAUGAGGAUCACAGAUUUCUGAGCUCAAAAUAGCAAAACGGUAAUAGGAGUGAAAAUGAAAAAUAUAUAUAUAUAUAUGUAUUUACUUACUAGGUUCCAACGACCCUGGUAGUAUUCACUUGAUCUUCAUUGCCACAAAAAAUCCUGGCCAUUCCAAAGUCUGAAAUUUUGGGAUUCAGCUCAUGGUCCAAUAAGAUGUUACUUGGCUUCAGAUCUCUAUGAAUAAUUCUUAGUCUAGAAUCUCUGUGAAGUUAAAGAAGACCUCGACAAAUCCCGUUAAUAAUGUCGAAGCGUCUUUCCCAAUCUAGCUGUCCUUUCCUGAGUGAAUCUAAGCAUAUUGUAUCCAGGAAAAAUCAUGAGAAAACAAGGGCAAAUCAAAAUGAGUCAAGAAAAGUAGUAGCUAAACAAAAGAGGGCAGGAGCUCUAACCAAAGAGAAAUGUAUCCAAGCUUUUAUUCGGCAUGUACUCAUAAACCAACAUCAUCUCUUCUCCUUCAACACAGCAACCAAGAAGUCUCACAAGAUUCCUAUGUUGGAGUUUAGAAAUCACCGCAACUUCAUUCAUAAACUCUUCGCGCCCUUGACCAGAUGUUCUAGAGAGUCUUUUCACAGCUAUUUCCAGCCCAUCUGGCAAUUUUCCCUACAAUGUCACAUCAAACCAAUAAAUACCCAUUUUCUCUAUAACGCACCUUUAGUUCCAGAAGAAUUACCCUGUAUACUGCACCAAAGCCGCCCUGCCCAAGCUUCUUCGAUAUGUCAAAGUUGUUUGUAGCAGUUUCAAGAAUUUGUAAUUUGAAGAGUGGUUCCAGUUUAACUUCCCUGACGUUUUCGGGCAAGUUUCCAUCAAAAACUGUUUCUUGUGCUUCUCUCGUUUGAACGAUAAGGUCUCCUCACUUGUCAACUUCCUUUCUGAAUUCAAGUGGAAGUAUCGUUGUUAUUUGUGAAUUGUGUUUUUCUUUACUUGUAAAAAUUGUAAAGUUUAGAAGUCCAGUAAGCUAAUAAGACGUAGCAUAUUACCUCUAUGUGUAGCCAUCCACUCCCAAGAAAAAAACACACAGAUGCAGAUAGCUAUGGCUCCUACAAUCACUGACAUACUGAUGAUUACUUUCAUGUUUCUCUUGUUAUCAGCAACUAAAAAAUUGUACUGAUGGUUAUUUGACAAAAAUGUAAUGGAAAUAUGAAAAAACUUAUCAAUGUUUCCUCAUACGGAUACAGAACUUUUUGUACGUACACUAGUGAAUGAAACACUAGUGAAUGAAAAUUAGAAAAUAUUAUAACAAUUACCAAAUUCUGUGUACGCCAGGCGAAUGUUGAGAUCUGUCCCUCCUUCUGAGAACUUUUGUAUAUCAAUCAAGUUUCCUGUCCAUGCCAUACAACCAAAAUCUUUAUAAUAUGAAUAAGCUGUUGGGAAAACUAGGGACAACUAACCGGAUCAAUUCAGCGGAAUACAAUUCACAAUUCACAAGUCCUAAUCCUUUUUCCCUCUUUGUGCAGUAAAAACAGAAUCAAACAAUGAACAAAUAUAAUGCAACAAUCACACAAAUCAACACCAAGAUUUUUACGUGGAAAACCCGAUGCGGGAAAAACCACGGGACCGGAGUCAACCUAAAAACUUCCACUAUCACGAAUAAUGGGUUCACAAUUGUUCUUCCUCAGAUUCAACUAAGGGCUACAACAUAUAUAUCAUCAAGAACAACUUAUUCUCGGAUUACAACAAGAUUAAAGAGAGUAAUGUUAGAGAAAAGCUCACAACACUGACAGCCCCGUUUUCUGUCAAAACGACCAGCUUCCACACCACCAAUCUUCAAUCCAACCGUUCAAAAUGAAGAGUAACGUGUCUAGAAGCUGCUGUCCAAAUAUCAGCCCGAUCCAACGGUGAACGAACUGGAAAUCGAAGAAAGAAGACAGACUGCUCUGCUGCCUCCUCUUCUUUCUUUCUCUCGGUUUUUCUCUGCUCUCUCGUUCAAAUUUGCUACUGCCUCUACAGUGGCAGUUUCAUUUUAAAUCAAAGAGGCAGCCAGCUGCCUGCUUAAUUAAUGUGGUGGUUCCCCCAUCACAUGGUGCGGGACCACACACAACAAAUCUCCCCCUCACGCACCAUGUGAGGAAUUCGCCAUACCGGCGAUCAACAUGUAAGCUUCAAUUUAGGAGGCUCUGACAAGCCUGCCUCCCUUCUGCAAAACUCAAACUUCUCUCUCGGUAGAGGUUUGAUCAUCAUGUCUGACACGUUGUUAUCGGUAUGGAUCUUCUCAACAACAAAUGACUUCAUCUCCAUAGCAUCUCGAAUCCAUUGAUAUCUAACCUCAAUGUGCUUUGAUCGAGAGUGAAAAGUAGGAUGCUUACUGAGAUGGAUUGCACUUUGACUGUCACAGUGCAACACAAAGUUCUCUUGAACUAGGCCUAGUUUAUGUAAGAACUUCUUCAUCCAUAACAACUCUUUGCCCCCUUCAGUAAGAGCAAUAUAUUCAGCCUCUGUAGUGGAUAAUGCCACACAUUUUUGCAACCUUGAUUGCCAUGAGACUGCUCUCCCUGCAAACUUCAUCAAGUAUCCUGAUGUGGACUUUCUAGAAUCAACAUCACCAGCCAUAUUUGCAUCUGUGUAUCCAUCCAACACAGGUUUAUCAUUACCAAAACAUAAGCUGAAACUAGAAGUACCUUUGAGAUACCUGAGUAUCCAUUUCACUGCUGACCAGUGUUCUUUACCAGGAUUGGAGAGGAACCGACUAACCACACCAACUGCAUGAGCUAUAUCCGGCCUUGUGCAAACCAUGGCAUACAUCAAGCUACCAACUGCGGAUGCAUAAGGAACCUUUUUCAUCUCAUCUCUUUCUUCAUCACUUGAAGGACACUGCUUAGAACUUAGUUUAAAGUGGCUUACAAGUGGAGAACAAACCGGUUUGGAGUUGCUCAUGUUGAAUCUCUCAAGUACCUUUUGAACAUAUCUCUCCUGAGAUAGCCAAAGUUUCUCCUUCUUCCUGUCACGUGUGAUCUUCAUGCCAAGAAUCUGUUUUGCCGGUCCUAAGUCUUUCAUUGCAAAAGACUUGCUUAACUCAUCCUUCAACAUCUGAAUCUUCUUAGCAUCAUGGCCAACAAUCAACAUAUCAUCCACAUACAAUAGGAGAAUAAUAAAGUUUCCAUCUGGAAACCUUUUCAUAAAUACACAAUGAUCAGAAGUGGUCCUGUCAUAACCAUGAUCCACCAUGAAAGAAUCAAACUUCUUAUACCAUUGUUUUGGAGCUUGCUUUAACCCAUAUAGGCUCUUUUUCAACUUGCAAACUAACUGCUCUUUACCUUUUGCUUCAAACCCUUCAGGCUGCUCCAUGUAGAUUUCUUCAUCUAAAUCACCAUGGAGAAAGGCAGUUUUCACAUCAAGUUGCUCAACUUUAAGAUUCAAACUAGCAGCUAAGCCAAGCACAACUCGGAUUGAAGACAUCUUGACCACUGGUGAAAAGAUUUCUUCAAAAUCAAUACCCUUCUUCUGACCGAAACCUUUCACAACCAAUCUUGCCUUGUACCUUGGUUGUGAGCAAUGUUCAUCAAUUUUCAGCCUGAACACCCAUUUGUUCUUGAGUGCUCUCUUACCUUUAGGAAGCUUCACUAACUCAAAAGUAUGGUUUUCAUGCAAGGAUUUCAUCUCUUCUUGCAUUGCUUGCAACCACUCACUUUUCUUCUCAUGUGACAUGGCUUCAUCAAAGCAUUCUGGCUCUCCCCCAUCAGUAACUAACACAUACUCAUGAGGAGAAUAUUUGGUGGAAGGUUGGCGAGGUCUGGUUGACCUCCUCAAUUGUGGCUCAUCUGGAGCUUCCUGCAUAACCUGUUCAGGAAUAACAUCAAUAUCAUCAUUAGUUGAUUCAUGAUCACCAACUAAUGGCUCAAUAAGAAAACCACCAUUAUCAUCAUUUUGCAAAUCUCCCUCAUGAUUAGCAAGCAUCAAAGGUAACUAUGGAGUGGGUCUUGGAUUUGAAUUAGAUGGAAUAAAAGUAGUAGACUCUGUUUUCUCCUUCAGUUCAAAGUCUUCAAUGGUUUGAUCUUCAAAGAAGAUAACAUCUUUGCUUCUCACAAUUUUCUUCUCCUUUGGAUCCCACAACCUAUAGCCAAACUCAUCAUCUUUAGAUCCCAAGAAAAUACACUGCUUUGUCUUGCUGUCAAGCUUGGACCUUUCAUCCCUUGGAACAUGUACAAAUGCUCUGCAUCCAAACACUCUCAAGUGUGCAUAGGAAACAUCCUUUCCUUUCCAAACUCUAUCUGGAACAUCAAACUCAAGAGGAACUGAUGGAGAAAGGUUGAUCAUGGCAACUGCAGUCUUCAUUGCCUCACCCCAAAAGGACUUAGGCAGCUUUGCAUGAGAGAGCAUACAUCUAAUUCUUUCAACAAUGGUUCUGUUCAUUCUCUCAGCCACUCCAUUCUGCUGUGGAGUCUUAGAAACUGUCUUCUCCAACUUGAUACCCUGUUCCCUGCAGUACUUCUCAAAAGGACCUCUAUAUUCACCACCAUUGUCUGCUCGAACACAUUUCAGCUUUCUGCCAGUUUCUCUUUCAACUCUGGCAUGGAAAUCUUUAAAGACAUCAAGCACCUGAUCUUUGGAUUUCAAACAAAUGGCCCAAAUCUUCCUGGAGUGAUCAUCAAUAAAACUAACAAAGUACAAUGCACCUCCAAGAGACUUAUCAAUCAUAGAGCAAACAUCAGUAUGAACUAAAUCAAGAACAUGUGACCUUCUAUGUGAAGGUGAUCUUUGAAAUGCAACUCUAUGUUGUUUACCAACUAAACAAUGAGUACAUGUGUUCAAGUUCAUACCUUUUAAAGGAAGGUAGUUCUUCUUGGCAAGGAUGCCAAGGCCUUUCUCACUCAAAUGUCCAAGCCGCUUAUGCCAUAGAUCAGUAGAGCAAUCUUCAAUUGCAUUCACCUCCCCUUUGAUCACCUUGGCUUGUGACAUGUAGAGACCCAUCUUCUUCCCUUUAGCAACAAUUAGGGAAUUUCUGGAGAGCUUCCAUUUACCAUCUCCAAAGUAACUGUGAUAGCCUUCUUCAUCAAGAGUACCUGUAGAGAUUAAAUGUAGGCGCAUAUCAGGCACAUGCCUAACAUCUUUGAGUAGCAACUUGCACCCAGUAUUGGUUUCCAACCAAAUAUCUCCAAUGCCCACAACACUAGCCAUCCCUUGAUUUCUGUCACGACCCGAAUCCCGGAUCCAUGACCGGCACAUAGGCAAGGUUCCCCUCCAAGGUUCCAUACCUAUGCGAACCCAAACUUACACACAAACUUAUUCUUCAAAUAAGUCAAUCAGAGUUCAACGCAGCAGUAACAACAAAAUUAACUUCAUAAUAUAAUUAAAUUGUCUUAAUACAAGAGUUUAUAUAAGUUCAGAGUUUUGGAGCACUAACUAGACAUAAAGGAAUAUGUACAAGGUACAACCAAAGAGCAGGUUCUGAAGGUCCAACAAAAUGACCUGCUAUCAAGCUAUAAGCCUGAAAAGGAUAAAUAAUGAGAUGGUGAGUUCAACAACUCAGUGAGUAGAUAAAGUUCAAUAUACACACACGAGGUAAUACAGCAAUGAGAAAUAUAUAUACAAGUAUGGCUGUAGGUUCUUAUGGAAUUGUUCUCAAAUAGGCCAUAACAAGAAGAUCAUAUGGUAAAACUCGUCAGAAAAUCAAAAUGCAAUGAGCAUGAGGCUCCGUACUGUGGGAUGAUCAGUCCACACAGGUUGGUGACUCCCCCGACCAACUAGGGUUCAAAUACGAUGUGCACAAAGACUAACACUACCCUGUUAGCAUGGGUAUUCUGACUGACAUACCAUAGGUUCAUAAUCAUACUCAAACAGACAUAUUCAUAUCUCAAGGCUCAACUCAUGACAUCAAUCAAAUGAGGAGCUAUCAAUUCAGAAUUCAAUUCAAUAUAUAUGCUGGUUCAUAUCAAGAAUUCAGAUUCAACAAUUGAUCAUGCUUUAUUCAAACAAGGAUAAUAAUCAACAUAUAUAUUAUCAAGAAGCAUGAUUCAAUUCAUAUUAACAAGUCAAAUAUUUAUAUUAUUUCUCAUGCAUAUGGAAAAUUAUCCACUCACCUGACUCGAAAGCAAACAGAAGUCAAAAGCAAAUACUGAAGAAAAUCCUACUGACGUCCCGCCGGUAGAAUAUCAGGAUUAUCUGAAUACAAAGAAGGCAUAUUCAAGAAUAACUCAAAGGAAUAUAUAACCUAUUUAAUACACUUAUCUAAGGGUAUAUUCCAUAACCCUAUAUGUUUUUGAACUAACUAGUUAUUUUUCCUAAAAACCCAACAUUUAACGGUUUUCCCGAAAUCUAAUCCAUAAUAAAACAAAUAAUAAAAUUGGCAAUAAUUCACUAAAUAACCCUUAAUUAUUCAUCAAACUAAUCUGCAAAAGCUAAUAUUACAGCUAGGGAAUAAUCUGUAAUUUAUCCUAUUUUCAAGGGUCAAAUUGCAACUUUUGUCUAAUUGAAGGACCAAACUGAAAUUUAUCAUAAAUCCAUGAAUAUACUGAAAUUAUGACCAUAAUUAGUCCUCAUUUCUGUCCAGAUCAUCUCAUUAUACUCCAAGGACCAUUCUGGAAUUUUACCAAAUUUUUAGGGUCAAAUUGUAAUUUUGUCAAAUUGGAGGACUAAAUUGAAAGUGUUAAAUUCUCUUAUCUAUACAGUAAUUCUGUCCAUAAUUCAUAUGUUAUUCUGUUCAGAAUCUCGGAAUAGGCUCCAGGGACCAUUCUGCAAAUUUUCCAAAGUUUGGGGACUAAACUGUAAUUUUCCAAAAUUGAGGGACCAAACCGAAAUUUUGUCAUCUUCAACCUCAAACCCAGAAUUUUCACAGAUUACCUACUGUUAUCCCCUGAUUUCUAACACAAAUUCAUCAUUCAAACAAAAUCAUAACUCAAAAUCAUCAUUUUUAUCUACAAUCUCUCAAAUUCAACUUAACAAUCCAUUACCCACAACAAUUAACCUUAUAACAUUCAAUUUAAUUCAUCAAUUAAACCCAAAACACAAAUUUUCAAAACCCUAACAUUCAUCAAAACUGAAAUUAAAGUUAAAGAAAACAUAUUAUACACAUUAAAGCAUAAUCUUACCCUUUUUACUUAUUUCCUCCAACUCCUUUCUAUUUCCCUUCUAAUUUCCCUCUUUUCUCUUCUUCUUCUUCUUUCUCCCUUCUCUCUCACGGUUUACUCUUUCAAUUUUUCAGAUCCCUCUUAUCUUUUGUUUUCCUUUUAUUUUACUUCCUAUUUAUAUUUAUCAUCUCUUUAUUCAAUUACUACUAUACCCCUCAUUUAAUUUAUUCCUACAUCUAAGCAUUCAAUGGCUUUCUAGCCUUUUCCUAUGUCUUUAUAUUCAAAACAUUACAAUUUCCCAUCCUAACUUGACCAAAGUCACCAGCAGUGUAGGAUGUGUAAAAAUCACGUCGGGGUGUAACAUGGUAAGAAGCUGCUGAAUCUGCCACCCAGGUGGUAUCUUGACAUGCAAGAUUAACACAACCAUCAUCACAAACAAUGGCAACAUCACCAUCAAACACAACUGCAGCUGUACCAUUCUCUUCAUUCUUGUCUUCAUCUCUACCCUUUUUAUCUCUUUUAUACUUUCUGCAAUCCUUUUGCAUAUGCCCAGGCUUGUCACAAUAAUAACACUUAAAACCCUUUCUUGACUGAGAUCUUCCUCUUGGCUUCCAUUUGCCUUUUCUAUUGCUGGAUUCUCCAUCUUGCUUGCCGUGAGAGAACCUGCUUUGACUUCUCCCUCGACUUUCUGUAACAAGUGCAUGAGACUCAGAAGUGCUUGUCCCUUUCCUCCUCUUCUCUUCAUUGAGGAUACAAUCCUUCACUGUUUUCAAAGUGAGCUUUCCAUUCGGAGUAGAAUUGCUAAGUGACACUACCAAAGUCUCCCAACUAUCCGGCAAUGAACUCAAUAGGAUUAAUGCUUGCAUUUCAUCGGCUAACUCAAGGUUCAUCAAUGACAGCUGAUUCAAGAACCCUUGGAAUACAUUUAUAUGCACUGAAGCAUCUUCACCAUCUCUAUACUUCAAAUUUACAAGGUCUCUAAUUACAAAAACCUUGUUUUGUGCAUUCUCCUUGGCAAAGGUUUCUUCCAACAUCUUCCAAACUGUAUAGCAGUCAUGUUCUUAAGAAAUGUGAUUAAUGGACUUAGAAGAUACCCAUUUUCUAACAUUAGCGGUAGCCUUUCUAUUUACUCCAUUCCAUUUUGCAUCAUCCAUAUCAUCAGGCUUUAUUCCUUUACAUUCAAUCGGCAAAGCCAAAUCAUUGCAAUAUAAGUGAUCCUCCAUCAUUGUUUUCCAUAGAAAAUAAUUUGAGGAAGUGAGCUUUAUCAUGCCCGAAUCUUCCUUUUCCAUUUUAACUGCACAAGAAUUCAAUCUACACAACCAAAUGGUCUGAUACCACUUUGUUGGGAAAACUAGGGACAACUAACCGGAUCAAUUCAGCGGAAUACAAUUCACAAUUCACAAGUCCCAAUCCUUUUUCCCUCUUUGUGCAGUAAAAACAGAAUCAAACAAUGAACAAAUAUAAUGCAACAAUCACACAAAUCAACACCAAGAUUUUUACGUGGAAAACCCGAUGCGGGAAAAACCACGGGACCGGAGUCCACCUAAAAACUUCCACUAUCACAAAUAAUGGGUUCACAAUUGUUCUUCCUCAGAUUCAACUAAGGGCUACAACAUAUAUAUCAUCAAGAACAACUUAUUCUCGGAUUACAACAAGAUUAAAGAGAGUAAUGUUAGAGAAAAGCUCACAACACUGACAGCCCCGUUUUCUGUCAAAACGACCAGCUUCCACACCACCAAUCUUCAAUCCAACCGUUCAAAAUGAAGAGUAACGUGUCUAGAAGCUGCUGUCCAAAUAUCAGCCCGAUCCAACGGUGAACGAACUGGAAAUCGAAGAAAGAAGACAGACUGCUCUGCUGCCUCCUUUUCUUUCUUUCUCUCGGUUUUUCUCUGCUCUCUCGUUCAAAUUUGCUACUGCCUCUACAGUGGCAGUUUCAUUUUAAAUCAAAGAGGCAGCCAGCUGCCUCCUUAAUUAAUGUGGUGGUCCCCCAUCACAUGGUGCGGGACCACACACAACAUAAGCGACACAGGAACAAUUCUUCAAGCACUCAUCUUUGCAUUCUUGUUCGGAGGACGGAUAUGGCCAGUAAUCGGCAAAGGUUGGCACCUUCAUCAUCUCUAGCUUGAUAAACCCAUCUUCUUUUCCCACUUCACUACCAUUUUGUAUUCUAUCACACUGCAACGAUGUCAACCUAACACAACCGCUAGUCCAAAUUCCUUUGUUCCAUUCAUCUUGAUGUUUUGCAACAAACCCUUUUAAACAUGUGCAGAUAGGUGAAUUCUGUGCAUCGCAGCUUCCAAAUGGCCCGCACUUGCCAUAAAUAUCACACUCAGUUGAUGGAACUUCCCAGUCAUACUCCCAACCUUGCUUCCCAUAAUCCCAGUAUUGUUCUUUAAAUUUUCCAUGAGAAGUUAAAACAUACGUUAAUCGGAAAGCUGGGUCUCUAAUUGAACUCAGAGUGAAAGUGCCAUCUCCUUCAUUUUGUAGACUAAAUCCAUCUAAAUACACAGAAGUAUACAUUCCUGGUAUUCCGAUAAAAUUCUUACCACCCCAUGGACCACUACGCCAAAAUGGAUGACCAUUGUACCAGAUGAAGAACUCAGGAACUCCUAAUGGAUUGACACCAGCAGAGAAGUUUCCAACAGAAGGAUCAGAUGAGCUUCUCCAUGACAUUAGCAGUGUCUUGUUCCCUGUUCUUGCGUUAGCACUAAGUCUCAUCUUUGAUAAGUAAGUAUCCGUAGGCUGCUGGAAACUUUGCCAUACAAGGUUUCCAUUCGGUCCAGCUUUCAAGACAAGGUUUCCAUCAUCAGUAAGCUGUGCAGUUGACUGAUUGAACCCAAUUGAAACAUUUGAUGACCACAGAACCUCUCCCUGACCAUUCAAAACCACAAGAUUUGCAUCUUCAGAUUUUGUCAUCAUCCCAGAAGAAUCGUUGAUUGGGUUGUUUCUGUUGGCCACCCAUAGUACUGGAGUUGCUGCUGAUAUAUUACUAUACCAUAUUCCGACAUAUCGAUAUGUUGAAUUAACUGGGCUGAAAAAUCCCAGUUUGAACUUUUUUCCGGCAGACACUACAGCUUCUGGAUCUUUGAUGGGCUGAGAAGUAGUUAUGGUAUCUCCUGCAUCACCAUAAACUGAACAGGAACAUGAUAGAAACAGAAGAAGAGCUACUGCAACUUCGCAGUUGCCAAGUCCCAUACUUGUUAUUGAUGAGAAUGGAAGAUUUACAAAUGGCUUAUUGAAUGUUCAGAGAAAGCAUGCGACGAAGAAGAAUAUUUCUCUUCCUGUCCUUUUAAUUCCAAUCAUGAAGUUAUUUUUCAAAUAGAAACUAAGUUUAGCAAUUAUAAGUCAGAAAUUCUUAUGUUUUCUGUAAAUAUCCAUCUAUAAAGAUAUUUCAUCAGGAUGAACCUGGUCCACUGGCUUGUGAGAUCGAUAGCAUUUUUAUUUUUAUAGGAUAUUAUCACAAUACAUACACUUGCCUCACCAUGAUUGACAUGUUCUUUUUGUUUAGGUGAAUUCUUAAGUUUAGGUGAAUUCUUUUUGUUCGACCUUAUGUGGCCUUUCAGACGUCGUUGCUGUACAAUAAUAGAAUAUUUUAGGUGCCAAGCAUAUAUGGAUAGUUGAAUUCUUUUUGUUCGACCUUUUGUGGCCCUUCAGACUUCAGCCAGUUAUUGUUGCAAUCUUUUGACUUUUUUUCCUUCAUCGAAAUCUAAAAACCUUUGACUUUUUCGAAAACAGCCCUUCCCUCAGGGGACAUAUAAACCACUGCAUAAGAACAAUUGUUUCUUAGCUCAAACCAUUAAUACUUCAACACAGUAAAAAAUAGGAAAGAAAUGUCUGCUUCAUAGCAUUCUCUUGAUUUUCUCUGCCACCAGAGAUCUUGGCCAUCUGAUGUCUGAAAUUUUUGGAUUCAUCUAGUCAUGCAACAAGAUGUUACAUGGCUUCAGAUCUCCAUGAAUAAUCCUUCGUCUAGAAUCUCUACGAAGGUAAAGAGGACCCCGACAGAUUAUUUGGACAAUGUAGAAGCGCCUUUUCCAAUCAAAUUGUUUUAAACUUAAUUGAUCUACAUAAAUUGUUCCCAGAAAAAAUGAAAACUGAACGGAAAUUGUCACCAUCUGAAUUUGAGCAUUAGAAGACGCCAAUAGAAUAUUUAGUCGGUAAGUAAACACCAUUUCGUCAAGCAUUUACAUCGCCCAAUGAUUUCCCGACGUAAACACGUCAUCAAGAAACGUUUUAUUAGGGAUUUACUAUUCGUGGGCAUUCUGUUUUUAAUUUGUAAUGCCGGAAAAAAUGCAAACAAAACAUUGAUGAUUAUUGAUGUACCUAUUUCAUCGAUAAAUAAAUUAUUGAUGAAAUAUUAUAUUACCUAUUUCAUCGGCAAAAACUAAAUAUUAAUGAUAGAAUAAGUGUAGGAAUUGUCAACAGAAUUCCUUUAGAAAACUCUAAAACUUCUAAAUCAUUUUGUAACUUUCCGAGGAAACAUCUAUGGAUGUUAAUUUAUAAUGGAAUCACCUAUGGAUAAAAAAACCCUUUAAUGAUUCCUUCACAAGUUUAGCAUUUUUUUUAGUUAUUUAGUUGUUAAUUUAAAAAACAACAAAAAUCACAAUAAAACCAAAACACUAUUAAUUUUAUUGAAUAUCAAAAUCUUAUUAAUUUCAAUAUUUAUUAAAAAAUAAUUUUAUAAUAAUAAAUACAUCGCUACAGAUAUGGAGGUGGAGCUGGACAGAGGAAAAUCCUUGGCCAAAAAGAAUAGAAGGAUGAGCAGGAUAAUCUAGCUAAAGCCAUGUAUUUCAUCAUUUUCUCCCAAUUCCAAAAUUUCUGUUAUGUCAAUGCUAUAUAGUGUUGAUCUUCCUACUCCUAAGAAAUUAGAAUUUAAACUUGAUAUAAUUUAAAACAUAGUUACAUUUGUGUUGCUAGUAAAUCUAGUUGAUAUUAUUGUAAAAUACAUGUGAUUUCACUAAGCUAAAACCACAGAAAAAUAAAUAUAGAAACAAAAUAAAAACAGAAUAAUUAUUUUCUUACUUGUCUCGACUUCCCUUCAAAGCUAGAUAGAUUGGAGAAUUCAAAAGUAGUGAAGUUAAAUUUGAAAACUAGAUGUUUUGUUCAGUAGCUCAUGGCAUCUACGGGUACUAAAAUUAGUAAAAUUAAAAAAAUUAAAAAUUUCCAUGUUCUCCCAAUUUUAAUUCUUUAAGUAGAGUAGUGAUUUGAUCUUAUAUGCCAUAAAACGAUAAAUUCUCAUCAAUUUUACCUCUUUAGUAUCAAAAUCAACAAUUCCUAAUUAAGAAAUAGGGUCUAGAAUAAUUAAUAUAAUUAAUUUCUAAAAAAUAGGGUCAAGAAUAAUUUAUAUAAUUAAUGUUCCACCAUUAGUUUCUAUUGGAAGAAACUCUAGGUGUGGUAGAAGAUAAUCUUAAAAAGCAAAACUAACAAACAAGAAAAAUUUGAGAGAAAAGAUGUUUUUGCAUUAAGUGUUUUCUCAAAGAUACAUUUUAUACGCUUUUCUACAUACUUCUCUCACGUUCCAAUUAUAAGCCUAUUUAUAGGUAUAAAGUCUUAGACAAUCAAGGAAUUAAACUAAAAAAUAGAAAACCCAAACUGAUAAGGAAAAGCAUUUUGCCAACUUAACUGGUCGAUUGAUGCAUUUAAUCCAACUGAUCGACCGACUCAACUGGUAGACUAGUUACUCUGUUUUUCUAAAAAAAAUUAAAAUCUAGUUUAUUUUCAACAUCACCCCUUAAACUUGAUUUCUUUAAAACACCUAGCAUAUCUCUUAUCUUGGCAAAAAAUUAUGUUUGAGUGGCUUUGUGAAAAUUCUGCGACUCAAUCUUGGAUCUUUACAUACUUGACUUCAACUUUCUUAUUUGUAAUGCAAUCUCGUAAAUAAUGAAAUCUUGUGUGUCAAUGUGAUUACUUAUAUCAUGAAACACUAGAUUCUUUACGAAGACAAUGACUGAUAAGAUGUCCAUAUAAAUUUCUAUAUGCUUCUCUUGUGGCAUUCACAACUCCUUCAAUAAUUGUCUUAGCCAUAUGGAAUGACAAACACAUGUUGUAAUAGCAAUAUAUUCAGCUUUACAAGUUGAUAAUAUAACUAUAAGUUUCUUCUUUGAACUCCAUGUGAAUGUUGUUUCUCCCAUGUAGAAAACGAAACCUAUAGUACUCUUUCUAUCAUCCAUAUCUCCAGCCUAAUCACUAUCUAUCCUAUAAGUUCAAAGCUAUUAGAGUAUCUAUAGAAAAAGCCAAAAUCAUCAGUACCUUUGAUAUACCAAAGAAUUCGCUUCAAAGUUUUGAAAUGUGUCGUAAUUAGUGUCUUCAUAAACCUGCUUACAAGCCUUGCUCCAAAGAGAAUAUCUGGACGGGUGCAUAUGAAGUAUCUCAAACUCCUAAUUACGCUUUUGAAUAUUGUAGAGUUUAUCUUCUCUACUUUAUCAUUCUUUGACAUCUUCUCUCCACACUCAAUUGGAGUAUUCACUUUUGCACAAUCCUUCAUUUUGAAAUUCUUGAAAAUCUCUUUUGUAAACUUCUCUUGGUUCACAAAGAUUCCAUAUUCUCCUUGUUUGAUCUCAAUCCCUAAAUAGUAUGUCAUAAAACAAUUAUCCAUCAUCUCAAACUUCUUAAUCGUUGCUUGCUUGAAGUCUUUAAAUAUCUUUGGAUGAUUUCCUGUAAAGAUCAAGUCAUCCACAUACAAGCAUACAAUAAGAGUAUCACCACUCACUACCAAAAAAUUGAUAAAUACAAACGGAAAUACCGAGGGUAUAUUUCCAUCGAAAAUAUACCGACAGAUUUUACCGACGGAAAUAUUUGCUCGGUAUAUACCGAGGGAAUUACAGUGGGAAACAAAAUAAUUAAAACAAAGGCAAAUUCCGUCGGCAAAACCGUUGGUAAAUUAUGAACAUUGUUCAUCAUGUCAAUUACAAAGGAAUCACCGACAGAAAAUUCCGUCGGUAUUUUAUAGAGAGCUCUGAAACUGUUCACUUCUCAAUUGCACUGUUAAUUAUUGUUCUUUACAGAUAAAAUCACCGAUGGAUUGAAAAGUCGUCGGUGCUAUUUGAUGAUUUUCUGAAAAUUUAGAUUAAAUUAAAAUUUUAAAUUAAAUAUUACCGACAGAAUCAUCGACGAAUUGAAAAGUCAUUAGUGAUAUUUGGCAGUUUCUGAAAAUUUUUUAUUAAAUUAAAAUUUUUAAUUAAAUAUUACAGACGGAAUCACCGAUGGAAUGAUUAAAAAUAUUAAUAUUUAAUUAUCCAUCGAUAAAAACAUCGGUAAAACGCCCCAUUAAAAAGCCUAGAAUUCCUAAUUUCAUAAGAGACCCAUCUCUUUUCUUCUUCUUCUUCUUUUCCCCCAUAUGUAAAAAAUAUCAAUAUCCAUUUCUUUUUCUUCUCUUCUCUCCUCAACUCCUUCUCUUCUCCUCCAUGCUUAGGUAUGUCUUCUUCUCCUUUCUUCUUUUUUCUUCUCAAUUUUUUUUUUAAUUAGUAUACUUUACAAAAAAAAAUUUUCUUUUCUUAGCUUCACUUGCAACUACAUUAAGGUAAAAAUUCUUUUUUCUUUUUUUUCGUGUUUUUUUCACUAUAUUUGUUUUUUAUUUUAUUUUUAAUUGUUUUUGUUCUUAAUAAUUGUAUGAAUAUUGUUCUAGGAUUUUUUUUUUCAUAUGAGAUCAAUUUUUAGUUGAUUUAUUUAUAGGAUUUUUAAAUUUUUUUCAUAUGAAUUUUUUUAGUUGAAUUGUUUUUGUUGCAAAUUUGUUUGAGUUGAUUUUCUUCUUCUUUUUCCAAGCAUUUUGAGUAUUAUAGAGUGUUGAUUUAUAUUAAUUUAAUUAUUUUAUAGUUUUGUAAAAUUGAUUUUUUUUUAAUAUUUUUAAUUAAUUACCGACGGAAUUACAUACGGUAUUUUUCCGAGAAAAAUACCGACGAAAUGAAACAGGUAAUAAUAUAUUUUUUGCUCUCAAGAAUUUUUAAUGUCUUAUGACUCCAUUACAUACAAAAUUUAAUAGGAACCAACAAUUCAAUUAUAUUCCUCAUCAAGACAUCAAUCCCUUCUUUGAUUUUCAUGGUAGUAAUAUUUCACAAUCUCAAGAAUCAACACAUGUGCUCCAUGAAAUUUAAGAAGUUGUAACGAGAUAUUCAAAAAUAGAUCUACUUACUACAAUAUUCAUCAAUUCACAUGAUGGAGUAUAAAGCAUUAAUAUGGUAGCAUAAAACAAGAUUGAAGGACUCCCUUAAGUUUUCUCCUCUAGGCCGAAACUAUUUAAUAGAAGGAGGGAAGAAUUUUAUUUUAUUUUCUUUCAUUCUCUAAUUAAUCAUUUCUUCAAUAACCUAAUUCUAGUGCAACUUUAUGCUUAUGAAUUUAUCACUUAACAACAUUUAUUCACAAUUAAAUCCCCUAAAAUCUCCCAUUAUUGGCCGACCUCUAGCUCUAUUUAAUUAUCAAAAUUUUUAAUUCAAUUAUAAUAAUUUAAUCAUUUUACUCUAAUUUUCACAUUAUUCCUCAUGACAAAUUACAAGAAAUUUUUAUUUUCCCCAAAUUUAUUCAAGAACCCUAACUUUUCAAUUUAAAAAAUUCAAUCAAUUAAGGAUUUUAAGCCAUUAAAAUCAAAUCAAGAGUCUUUAGAAUGCUUUACCAAGGAAGUAAUUAAACUCUAAACACUUCCCAAAUCAAGCUUUCAACUCCUCCUCUUCUUUAAUCUUGGCCGAACUUCCUCUCUUUUUUUGUACUCACCUUCACUUGAUUUUUCUUCCUUCCAAUUAAUGCUUACUAAACUUGGUUAAUGUUCUCUUAUGAUCUUCUCUCAAGAUUUUAUGUUUCCUUUACAAUUCUAUCUCUCUCACAUGUAAAUGGUAGUUUUCCCUCUUUGUUUUUUCCUUCUUGCCCAAGCACACACAUGCGCGUGCGCGCGCGCGCAUAUAUAUACUCUAACUUUUACCAAAUUCUCUUUAUAUCCCAAAUAGUAAAUUUCAUGUUCCCGGGAUAAAAUUCCUGGAUCCCAGCAUUUGUCUAUAUAAAAUUUUUACCCGAGUGAAUUCAAAUUUCAUUUAGUUACAUAUUGAUACUUUUAUUUUCUGGUAAUUGAUACUUUUGUUUAUUCUAUUCUAUAAGCACUUAGAUUACUUUUCUGUUUAAUUUUCAACCAGGGCUUACACUUUCUUUAUGAGCUUGUAGUUUUCUCAUGAGUCCUUGAAUUGUAAUAAAAUUCAUAUUAUAUGACUCCUCUAUCGCGACCACCAUAUAAUGCAACUUCUUUUUGCAGCGAGCAAAACAUCUUUUCUACCACACAUGUUUGCUUCAUCUUCUCCUCAUAUCUCUUUAUUUGAUUGUAUAUGGUUAAAACUCUGGCAAAGUAAUCUAAAAUACUCUCUCAUUCACGCAUAUGUAGCUUUUCAAAGUCACCUCAUUACUUUUGUAAGCGUACCUUUCUGACAUUGGCAGCUCCAUGGUUUGAUUAUUGCAAGACUUCUCAUGCUUACUUGGUAGUGGUUACAUUAGCCACUAUCACAAAAGUAACAUUAUCUAGACAUUGGUGGAUGAUUGUGAGUGCUUUCUGAUCCUUCCUCCGCGCCUUUUGCACGGCCUCCCGCUUUCAAUACACCAAAUUUCAUAAUUUGUCAAAUGAGGACAUUGAAGUGGGAAGUUUAUAUUAGCCAUGUCAAAUAAUAAAAAAACAAGCUUUGAUACCACUUGUUGGAAGAAACUUUAGGUGUGGUAGGAGAUAAUCUUAAAAAACAAAAAUAAAAAAGAAGAAAAAUUUGAGAGGGAAGAUGUUUUUGCGUGAAGUGUUUUCUAAAAAAUACACUCAGUAAGCUUUUUUACAUACUUUUCUCACGUUUUAAUUACAAAUUUAUUUAUAGACAUAAAAUCCUAAACAAUCAAAGAAUUUAACUAAAGAAAGAAAAACCUAAAUUGAUAUGGAAAAGUAUUUUUCUGACUCGAGUCACCAAUCAAUCAAUUUAUUUAAUCCAACCAGUACUACUCAACUAAUAAGUCAUUGUAUAAUGAUAUUGAUACAAGGACGAGCUCUUUGCAAGUAACUAAUACGAUAAUACGAGAUGUCUAGUUGAUGAGUUAAUGGAUAAAAUUGACAGACAAAAGCCCAAAAGAUGGCUUCAAAUGGCAAACGCGCACCGGUCCUUUAGAGGGCCACAGAUUUUGAUUCAGGUACCCGAUUACCUCAAAUCACAAAGCUUAUGUAGAGGCACAUACUGUGCUAGACCAAAGGCGUACGAGGUUGUUUAUGAGGUUAAAAUCCAUUCUGAAGACCUACUUUAACCGCCUUUCAUUACUCCUAUUUCGGAAAUUUGACUUUUCUAACUAUCUUUUCCUUUUAUCUCAACAUUAAUUUCAGACUCCAAUUAUUUAUUAAGUAUUAAGUAAUAUACUAAAAUGCGUAGGAAAUUCACUGUAGCUAAAGAUUUUUUUUUUUUUUUUUUUAGGGACUGUUUUUUCGUUUUUUUUUCAGUUUUUUUUUUCCAUUUUUUUUUUCAGUUUUUUUUUCAUUUUUUUUCUUGCUUUUUUUUCUUGCUUUUGGUUUUGUUUUUCUAUAGCAGUUUUUUUCUUUUUGUUUUUUUUACAUUUUUUUUUAACGCAUAGGUUUUUCACUGUAGUAGUUUUGUUUUUUUUUCCUCGCUUUUGUUUCUUUUGUUUUUUUACAUAUAAUGUAUCGCUAUGCACACAGUGAAACACUUGAUUUUUUUGUUGUGUUUUUUUUUCUUUUUUCUUUUUUUUCAUUUUUCCUAUGAGUUUUUUUUUUGCCUUUUUCUUUGUUUUUUUUUUCAAUGAAUUGUUUUUUGUUUAAUUUAGUUUGUUAAUGUAAAAAAAAAAUUUAAUUUAGUUAUCAUAUUUUCAUUACACGAAUCUCAGUUUUUUUUCUAUAUUAAGCUAGUUGAAAACUUAACUUUGUAGCUUUUUUCAAAAAGAAAAAAAAAUAUUAUGAAUUACUACAGUCUUUCCCUUGCAUGAUUUUUGUUUGGUUGCAAUGUUUCCCCCAUAUGUUUAUUUUUUUAUUUUAUUUUUCAUUUUUUUUUUGCAAUUUUUUUUUUGUUUUUUUUCUGUUGCAUUUUUUUUUCGUUUUUGGUUUUGUUUUUCUGUAGCAGUUUUUCCUUUUUUUUUCCUUUUUUUUGUUUUUGUUUUUUUACAUGUUUUUUUUUAACGCGUGGGUUUUUCACUAUAGCAGUUUUAUUUUUUUUCCCUCGCUUUUGUUUCUUCUAUUUUUUACAUAUAAUGUGUCGCUGUGCACACAGUGAAACACUUGAUUUUUUUAUUUUUAUUUUCUUUUAUUUUUUUUUCGUUUUGCCUAUGGGGUUUUUUUUUUUUUUGCUUUUUUCUUUGUGUUUUUUUUUCUUUUAAUGAAUUUUUUUUGUUUAAUUUAGUUUGUUAAUGUGAAUUUUUUUUUUAUUUAGUUAUCAUACUUUUAUUACACAGAUCUCGGUUUUUUUUCUAUAUUAAGUUGGUUGAGAACUUAACUUUGUAGCUUUUUUCAAAAAGAAAAAAAAAAUACUAUGGAUUACUACAGUGUUUUCCUUGCAUGAUUUUUGUUUGACUGCAGUGUUUCCCCCAAAUGUUUAUUUUUUAAAUUAUCUUUGUUAAAUUUAUUUUUUUAAUAUUGAGUUGGUUGAAAAUUUAGCUUUAGCUUUAGCUUUUCCCACGUUUUUUCAUUAUAAUUAUUAUUAUAUUGUAUUAUAUUAUAUGACUGUUUUUUUCUUUUGUUUUUUCUUUUUAAUUUUUUUUAAUGAAUUUUUUUUGUUUGAUUUAUUUUGUUAAUGUUAAAUUUUUUUUUAUUUAAUUAUCAUAUUUUCAUGAUACGAAUCUCGGGUUUGAUAGGUUAACCUGAUUUAACGAGUUAUUUUUUUUCAUUUAGUUUAGUUUGUUAAAGUUAAUUUUCUUUCUAUUUAAUUAUCAGAUUUUCAUGACAUGUAUCCUGGGCUUGACGGGUUAACUUGGUUUGAUGGGUUAACCCGGUUAAUUCUGGGUAAACCCGUCAUUUUUUUUUUCUAUUUAGUUAUCAAACUUUAAUGACACAAAUCUCAGGUUUUACGGGGUAACCUGGUUUAAAGGGUUAACCCAAUUAAUUCAAUUUUUUUUUCUUUUUCUUCAUUAGUUUUUUUCUUUCUGUUGAUUUUUUUUCUUUGUUUUUUUUAAUUACUCUAUUUAAUUAUCACACUUUUACUACACGACCUUAUAGCCAGACCCACAUCCAAUAUUCUUGGGUCUGGUGUUACUGGGUCAUGUAAGUUUAAUUUUAUUAUUAAUAUUAUAAAUAUUACUCUUAGGUCAGACGUUGCAGCCACCCAAGAUUCUUGGAUAUAACUUUGCAGAAAAAUCCAAGAUUUUUCAAUUUUUAUUUUUUUUUAAAAAAAAUAACCCGCGGCAUCGCGCGGGUAUCAAAGCUAGUAUACUAUGUAGCCCGUGGUUUUGUUGCAGAAACAUUGCUGUACCAUAUUCCAACACAGCGUUUUGAGGAAUUAACGGGGCUGAAAAAUCCCAGUUUAAAAGUAUUGCUUGUCGAGACAAUAUAGUUUCAGGAUAUUUGAUGUGUAGAGAUGAUGUAAUUAUGUCAAUGGCAGCAUUAGGAUGCAGGAAACGGCCAUUGGGAGCUUUCCUCUCCGUAAAGUGCAUAACUAGAAUACUUUAAAACCCUAAAGUUUUUUUAGGAAUUCUGUUAUCAAUGCAACAUUGAUCUUUUCUACUCUUACUUAAAUUUUAAUUAAUGAUUCCAAUAUCAUCCUUCACGGAUGUAAGAAACGUACAUAAAGGGAGGUAGCCAAGAUUUGUUCGAACUUUAAUUACUUGAGCUAAAUUAGAGUCCCUAGAGACUUCAAUAUUUCUACUCCUAGCACUCUAAAACUGGAUGACACCCUUAAAACCUUUCAAGGUAGAUGUGAAAGAAGCCCUUCAACAUAUUAGAUUGUUGAUAUCAUAGACUAGGAUAAAAUAUUAGAUUGCUUUGAAAGUAAAAGCAAUAAAAAAAAUUAAAAACAUGUAAAGAGGACAGUAGAAUAAAAAUACCACAAAACUGACAACCUGAUAGCAGUCUGAUUAAGUCACACCAAGCAAUGUAAUGUUAUAUAACAUUUAACAAUGAUCAAACAGAAAACGUGAACAUGUUCUGAACCCUAUCGGCCUUUAAGAUCAGAAAUCGUCACAUUGUUAAUGGAAUUUAUCUUUUGGCUCUGAGUAAUGGCCUCUGUACCCAAGGAAGUCUGCCUUUCAACAAAUGCUGGUUUCUUUGGAGUAGGAAGAUCCACAAUUUCACUAUUCAGCAUGGAAAUGAUAGUUGACACGGCCGGUCUGUCCUUCGCCAAUUCUUGCACACAAAACAGAGCAACAUGUAUGCAUCGGAAUAUCUCCACCUGAGAACAUGGAUCUGAUAUUGCAGGAUCGACCAAAGCUGCAAUGUCACCUUCAUUCCACAGUUUCCAUGCCUGAAAAUGUUGAUACAAUCAUACAAGUAAGAGUUUGCAAGUUUAAUAGUAAUAGAAAUUGAAAGGAGCUUUCCAAAUAUAUCUCAGGCAGUGUGCCGGACAGACAUACAAAUCCUAUAAGACUCAAAGCAUGCUCAUCGCUAUAAAAAUGAGCGUUCUUUCUUCCGCUCACAAUCUCCAGCAACAACACUCCAAAGCUAAACACAUCUGAUUUCUCUGAAAAUCUUCCUUCCAUUAAAUAUUCAGGGGACAUAAAGCCACUGCAUAAGCACAACAGCUUUCUGAGCUCAAAUUAGAGAAACAGUAAUAGGAGUGAAAAUGGGAAAAAAAAGAAGAAAAACACUACUUACAAGGUUCCAACAACCCUGGUAGUAUUCACUUCAUUGCCGCCAGAAAUCCUGGCUAUUCCGAAGUCUGAAAUUUUUGGAUUCAGCUCGUGGUCCAAUAAGAUGUUACUUGGCUUCAGAUCUCUAUGAAUAAUUCUUAGUCUAGAAUCUCUGUGAAGGUAAAGAAGACCUCGACAAAUUCCAUUAAUAAUGUUGAAGCGUCUUUUCCAAUCUAGUUGUCCUUUCCUGAGUGAAUCUAAACAAAUUGUAUCCAGAAAAAAUCAUGAGAAAACAAGGUCAAAAGAAAAUGAGUCAAGAAAAGUAGCAAUCUGCUUCUCCUGCUUGAAACUAAUGAUCUGUGAAAUUGAAAAUGAGUCAAGAAAAGUAGUAGCUAAACAAAAAAGAGCUGUAGCCCUAACCAAAGAGAAAGGCAUCCAAGCUUUUAUUCGGCAUGUACUCAUAAACCAACAUCAUCUCUUCUCCUUCAACACAGCAACCAAGAAGUCUCACAAGAUUCCUAUGUUGGAGUUUAGAAAUCACCGCAACUUCAUUCAUAAACUCUUCGAGCCCUUGACCAGAUGUUUUAGAAAGUCUUUUGACAGCUAUUUCCUGCCCAUCUGGUAAUUUUCCCUACAAUGUCACAUCAAACCAAUAAAUACCUUUUUGCUCUAAAUAACUAUAAAGAACCUUUAGUUCUAGAAGAAUUACCCUGUAUACUGCACCAAAGCCGCCCUGCCCAAGCUUCUUCGAUAUGUCAAAGUUGUUUGUAGCAGUUUCAAGAAUUUGUAAUUUGAAGAGCGGUUCCAGUUUAACUUCCCUGACGUUUUCGGGCAAGUUUCCAUCAAAAACUGUUUCUUGUGCUUCUCUCGUUUUGAACGAUAAGGUCUCCUCACUUGUCAACUUCCUUUCUGAAUUCAAGUGGAAGUAUCGUUAUUAUUUGUGAAUUGUGUUUUUCUUUACUUGUAAAAAUUGUAAAGUUUAGAAGUCCAGUAAGCUAAUAAGACGUAGCAUAUUACCUCUAUGUGCAGCCAUCCAUUUCCAAGAAAAAAACACACAGAUGAAGAUGGCAAUGGCUCCUACAAUCACUGACAUACUGAUGAUUACUUUCAUGUUUCUCUUGUUAUCUGCAACUAAAAAAUUGUACUGAUGGUUAUUUUGCAAAAAUGUAAUGGAAAUAUGAAAAAACUUAUCAAUGUUUGCUCAUACAGAUACAUAACUUGUACACUAGUUAUGCAUACCUGAAAAACGAAACAAUAGUGAAUGACAAUUAGAAAAAAUUAGAAUAAUUACCAUGUUCUGUAUACCCCAGGCGAAUGUUGAGAUCUGUUCCUCCUUCAGAGAACUGUUGUAUAUCAAUCAAGUUUCCUGUCCAUGCCAUACAGCCAAAACCAUUAUAAUAUGAAUAAGCGACACAGGAACAAUUCUUCAAGCACUCAUCUUUGCAUUCUUGUUCGGAGGACAGAUAUGGCCAGUACUCGGCAAAGGCUGGCACCUUCAUCAUCUCCAGCUUCAUAAACCGAUCUUCUUUUCUCACUUCACUACCAUUGUGUAUUCCAUCACACUGCAACGAUGUCAUCCUAACACAACCGCUAGUCCAAAUUCCUUUAUUCCAUUCAUCUAGAUUUUUUGCAUCAAACCCUUUUAAACAUGUGCAGAUAGGUGAAUUCUGUGCAUCGCAGCUUCCAAACGGCCCGCACUUGCCAUAAAUAUCACACUCAGUGGAUGGAGCUUCCCAGUCAUACUUCCAACCUCCCUUCCCAUAAUCCCAGUAUUGUUCUGUAAGUUUUCCAUGAGAAGUCAAAACAUACGUUAAUCGGAAAGCUGGGUCUUGAAUUGAACUCAGAGUGAAAGUGCCAUCUCCUUCAUCUUGUGGAGUAAAUCCACUUAGAUACACAGAAGUAGACAUUCCUGGUUUUCCAGUAAAGUUCUGGCCACCCCAUGGACCACUACGCCAAAAUGGAUGACCAUUGUACCAGAUGAAGAACUCAGGAAUUCCUAAUGGAUUGACACCAGCAGAGAAGUUUCCAACAGAAGGAUCAGAUGAGCUUCUCCAUGACAUUAGCAGUGUCUUGUUCCCAGUUCUUGCGUUAGCACUAAGUCUCAUCUUUGGUAAGUAAGUAUCCGUAGGCUGCUGGAAACUUUGCCAUACAGGGUUUCCAUUCGGUCCAGCUUUCAAGACAAGGUUUCCAUCAUCAGUAAGCUGUGCAGUUGACAGAUUGAACCCAAUUGAAACAUUUGAUGACCACAGAACCUCUCCCUGACCAUUCAAAACCACAAGAUUUCCAUCUUCAGAUAUUGUCAUCAUCCCAGAAGAAUCGUUGAUUGGGUUGUUUCUGUUGGCCACCCAUAGUACUGGAGUUGAUGCUGAUAUAUUACUAUACCAUAUUCCGACAUAUCGAUAUCUUGAAUUAACUGGGCUGAAAAAUCCCAGUUGAAACAUUUUUCCGGCAGACUCUAUAGCUUCCGGAUCUUUGAUGGGUUGAGAAGUAGUUAUGGUAUCUCCUGCAUCACCAUAAAAUGAACAGGAAAAUGAGAGAAACAGAAGAAGAGCCACUGCAACUUCGCAGUUGCCAAGUCCAAUACUUGUUAUUGAUGAGAAUGGAAGACUAAUAAAUGGCUAAAAGACUGUUCAGAGAAAGGAUGCCAUGACAAGAAUAUUUCUCCUCCUGUCCUUUUUCUUAAUUCCAAUCAAGAGAUUGUUUUUCAAAGAGAAACCAUGGUUGACAAUUAAAAGUCAGAAACUUAAAUGUUUUCUGUUAAUUUCCAUACAUAAAGAAUGUUUUACCACACUGUUACAUUACGUAAACAGGGUUAUGCAUUCCUGAAAAACGAAACACUAGUGAAUGAAAAUUAGAAAAUGUUAUAACAAUUACCAAGUUCUGUAUACGCCAGGCGAAUGUUGAGAUCUGUUCCUCCUUCAGAGAACUUUUGUAUAUCAAUCAAGUUUCCUGUCCAAGCCAUACAACCAAAACCAUUAUAAUAUGAAUAAGCGACACAGGAACAAUUCCUCAAGCACUCAUCCUCGCAUUGUUGUCCGGACGAGGACGCAUUUGACCAGUACUCGGCAAAGGUUGGCACCUUCCUCAUCUCUAGCUUCAUAAACCCAUCUUCUUUUCCCACUUCACUACCAUUCUGUAUUCUAUCACACUGCAACGAUGUCAUCCUAACACAUCCGCUAGUCCAAAUUCCUUUAUUCCAUUCAUCUUGAUUUUCUGGAACAAACCCUUUUAAACAUCUGCAGAUAGGUGAAUUCUGUGCAUCGCAGCUUCCAAAUGGCCCGCACUUGCCAUAAAUAUCACACUCAGUUGAUGGAACUUCCAAGUUAUUCUCCCAACCUUGCUUCCCAUAAUCCCAGUAUUGUUCUGUAAAUUUUCCAUGCGAAGUCAAAACAUGUGUUAAACGGUAAGCUGGGUCUUGAAUUGAACUCAGAGUGAAAGUGCCAUCUCCUUCAUCUUGUAGAGUAAAUCCCCUUAGAUACACAGAAGUAUACAUUCCUGGUAUUCCAAUAAAAGUCUGACCACACCAUGGACCACUACGCCAAAAUGGAUGACCAUUGUACCACAUGAAGAACUCAGGAAUUCCUAAUGGAUUGAUACCAGCAGAGAAGUUUCCAACUGAAGGAUCAGAUGAGCUUCUCCAUGACAUUAGCAGUGUCUUCUUCCCUGUUCUUGCGUUAGCACUAAGUCUCAUCUUUAUUAAGUAAGUAUCCGUAGGCUGCUGGAAACUUUGCCAUACAAGGUUUCCAUUCGGUCCAGCUUUCAAGACAAGGUUUCCAUCAUCAGUAAGCUGUGCAGUUGACUGAUUGAACCCAAUUGAAACAUUUGAUGACCACAGAACCUCUCCCUGACCAUUCAAAACCACAAGAUUUCCAUCUUCAGAUAUUGUCAUCAUCCCAGAAGAAUCGUUGAUUGGGUUGUUUCUGUUGGCCACCCAUAGUACUGGAGUUGCUACUGAUAUAUUACUAUACCAUAUUCCGACAUAUCGAUAUGUUGAAUUAACUGGGCUGAAAAAUCCCAGUUUGAACUUGUUGCCGGCAGACACUAUAGCUUCUGGAUCUUUGAUGGGUUGAGAAGUAGUUAUGGUAUCUCCUGCAUCACCAUAAACUGAAGAGGAACAUGAUAGAAACAGAAGAAGAGCUACUGCAACUUCGCAGUUGCCAAGUCCCAUACUUGUUAUUGAUGAGAAUGGAAGAUUUACAAAUGGCUUAUUGACUGUUCAGAGAAAGAAUGCCACGAAGAAGAAUAUUUCUCUUCCUGUCCUUUUAAUUCCAAUCAUGAAGUUAUUUUUUCAAAUAGAAACUAAGUUUAGCAAUUAUAAGUAAGAAAUUCUUAUGUUUUCUGACUUAUUUCCAUCUAUAAAGAAUGUUUAACCAAACUGUUAUAUUACAUAAGCAGGGUUAUGUUUUACUCUGAGAUUUUGACCCUCUUGUGCUAAAAUAGUGAUGUUUCAUCAGGAUGAACCUCAUCAACUAGCCUGUGAGAUCGAUAGAAUUUUUUUUUAUAUAGGAUAUUAUCCCAAAACAUACACUUGCCUCGCCAUGACUGACAAGUUCCUGUUAGGCGCUAUCAAGAAGCUCUUGACAUUCUUAUUUUAAAGUAGCUUUAUUCGUACUUGGUCUAUUUUGAAUUUGCCUGCAAUAUUUAUGUGGGCGAUGAUUAAAUUUAUACUCUAAACCAUCAACUGAUAUAUGGCAUAGUUGAAUUCUCUUUAUUAAACCUUAAGUGGCCCUUCAGACUUCAGCCAAUUAUUGUAGAGCAAUCUUUUGACUUUUUUUCCUGCGUCAAAAGCUAAAAACCUUUGACUUCUUUGAAAAUAGCACCUCCCUUAAACAUUCAGGGGAGAUAUAAACCACAGCAUAAGAUCCACAGUUUUUUAGCUCAAACCAUAUUGAUGCUUGAAUACAGUAAAAAAUAGGAAAAAAAGUCUACUUGCAACCCUAGUAGCAUUCACUUGAUCUUCUCUGUCAUCCAACAAGAUGUUACUUGCAGGCUUCAGAUCCCUAUGAAUGAUUCUUAGUCUAGAAUCUCUAUGAGUGCAUUCAAUUGAUAAAUAUUUUUUAUCAAUUAGCCAUUUCGUCGCCCACAUGAAAUAUUAUAUCACCUAUUUCACCAGCAAAAACUAAAUAUUGCUUACAGAAUAAGCGACCGAAUUGGUGAUAGAAUAAUGUUCAUUUCUAAUUCUAUCAGAAAAGUCUAAAACUUCUAAACCAUUUUAUAACUUUUGAGAAAAAAUAUCUAUAUUUCUAACAAAAUCACUGAAUGAUAAAAAAAAAUUUGGUGAUUCCAUCGAAAGUUCAGUAUUUUUUUUAGUUAUGUAAUUGUUAAUUUAAAACAAAUAAUUAAAAAAUCAUAAUAAAAUCAAACACUAUCUAUUUUAUUAAAUUUAAUAUUCAUCAAAAAUAAUUUUACAACAAUAAAUAUAUUGUUACACAAAUGAUGGUGGAGGUGAAGUGAAGAAUCUUGGGCCAAGAAGACCAGAAAAAGGAGCAUGAUAAUAUAAAGCCAUAAAUUCUAUCAUUUUCUCCCAAUUCUUCCUAUUUUCUUCUUCUAAUAUGCUUUUCAUAUCUUAUUAUAAUUUGGCCACUUGCUCCUAGACCUAUUCUAGACCCUCGCUUCAAAUUCUAGCGUCGACCGGCUUGGAACUGUUAUAUAAACCCAAUUCCUAUCAGGUAAUUAAUUGUUUCAGCCUCCAACCAUAACUGAAGAUCUUAAAGAGGAUGAAUGAAAGCGUUUUUUUUUUUGUUUGUUUUUUAAACAUUAUAGCUUUAUAUGUUUCUUACAAAAACAAAAAUUCAAUUAUACUUCAAAAAAUUUAAACAAUCAUAACAAACAUGUCACGACCCGAAUCCCGGAUCCAUGACCGGCACAUAGGCAAGGUUCCCCUCCAAGGUUCCAUACCUAUGCGAACCCAAACUUACACACAAACUUAUCCUAACUCAAUCAGAGUUCAACGCAGCAUUAACAACAAAAUCAACUUCAUAAUAUAAUUGAAUUGUCUUAAUACAAGAGUUUAUAUAAGUUCAGAGUUUUGGAGCACUAACUAGACAUAAAGGGAAAAGGUACAAUUUACAACCAAAAGAGCAGGUUCUGAAGGUCCAACAAAAUGACCUGCUAUCAAGCUAUAAGCCUGAAAAGGAUAAAUAAUGAGAUGGUGAGUUCAACAACUCAGUGAGUAGAUAACGUUCAAUAUACACACACGAGGUAAUACAACAAUGAGAAAUAUAUAUACAAGUAUGGCUCUAGGUUCUUAUAGAAAGGUUUCUCAAAUAAGCCAUAACAAGAAUAUCAUAUGGUGAAACUCGUCAGAAAAUCAAAAUGCAAUGAGCAUGAGGCUCCGUACUGUGGGAUGAUCAGUCCACACAGGUUGGUGACUCCCAAGACCAACUAGGGUUCAGAUACGAUGUGCACAAAGACUAACACUACCCUGUUAGCAUGGGUAUUCUGACUGACAAACCAUAGGUUCAUAAUCAUAAUCAAACAGACAUAUUCAUAUCUCAAGGCUCAACUCAUGACAUCAAUCAAAUGAGGAGCUAUCAAUUCAGAAUUCAAUUCAAAAUAUAUACUGGUUCAUAUCAAGAAUUCAGAUUCAACAAUUGAUCAUGCUUUAUCAAAACAAGGAUAAUAAUCAACAUAUAUAUUAUCAAGAAGCAUGAUCCAAUUCAUAUUAACAAAUCAAAUAUUUAUAAUAUUUCUCAUGCAUAUGGAAAAUUAUCCACUCACCUGACUCGAAAGCAACAAAACUCAAAGUUGAUAUCAAAGGAAAUCCUACUGACAUCCCGCCGGUAGAAUAUCAGGAUUAUCUGAAUACAAAGGAGACAUAUUUAAGAAUGACUCAAAAGAAUAUAUAUAACCUAUUUAAUACACUUAUCUAAGGGUGUAUUCCGUAAACCUAUAUGUUUUUUUGAACUAACUAGUUAUCUUUCCUAAAAACCCAACAUUUAACGGUUUUCCCGAAAUCUAAUCCAUAAUAAAACAACUAAUAAAAUUGAUAAUAAUUCACUAAAUAACCCUCAAUUAUUCAUCAAAACAAUCUGAAAAAGGUAAUAUUACAGCUAGGGACUAAUCUGUAAUUUAUCAUAUUUUUAGGGCCAAAUUGUAAUUUUUGUCUAAUUGGAGGACCAAACUGAAAUUUAUCAUAAAUCCAUGAAUAUACUGAAAUUCUGACCAUAAUUAAUCCUCAAUUCUGUCCAGGAUAUAUCAUUAUGCUCCAGGGACCAUUCUGGAAUUUUACCAAAUUUUUAGGGUCAAAUUGUAAUUUUUGCCAAAUUGGAGGACCAAAUUGAAAGUGUUAAAUUCUCUUAUCUAUACAAUAAUUCUGUCCAUAAUUCAUAUGUUAUUCUGUUCAGAUUCUCGGAAUAGGCUCCAGGGACCAAUCUGCAAAUUUUCCAAAGUUUGGGGACUAAACUGUAAUUUUCCAAAAUUGAGGGACCAAACCGAAAUUUUGUCAUCUUCAACCUCCAACCCAGAAUUCCAACAGAAAACCCACUGUUCUUUCCUUAUUUCUAACACAAAUUCACCAUUCAAACAAAAUCAUAACUCAAAAUCAUCAUCUUUCAAUUCAAUCUCUCAAAAUCAACCAAAUAAUCAAAUACCCACAACAAUUAACCCUACAACAUCCAAAUUAACUCAUAAAUCAAACUCAAAACACAAAUUUCAUAACCCUAACAUUUAUCAAAAUCAAAAUUAAAGCUUAAUUAACACAUAUUUAUACAUAAUCUUACCUUUUUACUUAUUUCCUUCAAUUCCUUUCUAUUUCCCUUCUAAUUUCCCUCUUUUCUCUUCUUCUUCUUCUUUCUCCCUUUCUCUCCUGCCGGUUCUCUCUCAAAAUUCAGAUCCCUCUUUCCUUUUCUUUUUUUCUUUUUUUUUACUUCCUAUUUAUAUAUAUCAUCUCUUUAUACAAUUACUAUUAUACCCCUCAUUUAAUUUAUUCCUACAUCUAAGCAUUCAAGGGCCUUGUUGCCAUUUCCUAUCUUUUAAUACAAAACAUUACAAUCUCCCCACCUUAUAAAAGUUUCGUCCUCAAAAAUUAAUAGAAAAGAUUGAAUACUUACCGAGAUUAUCGAAAAGAUAAGGAUACUCCUCACGCAUCUUAUUCACGAGCUCCCAUGUCGCUUCCUCACGUGAAUGACCUUUCCAUUUCACUUUCACUGAAGUUAUAUCCUUCGACCUAAGCUUCCUCACUUGUCGGUCGACUAUAGCUUCUGGUUGCACCUCAUAAACCAUAUCAUCUCUCAAUUCAAUGGGAUAAACCUCUAAUACAUGCGAUGGAUCUGACAUAUACUUCCUUAGCAUGGAAAUAUGAAAUACCGGAUGAAUAGCGGACAAGUUUGGUGGUAAUGCUAACCUAUAAGCAACUGCCCCAACUCUCUCCAGAAUCUCAUACGGUCCAAUGAAUCGAGGACUCAACUUGCCUUUCUUCCCAAACCUAAAUACUCCUUUUGUCGGUGAUACUUUUAAGAACACACAAUCACCCACUGAAAACUCUAAGUCACGCCUUUUUUUAUUUGCGUAACUCUUUUGUCUACUCUAAGCUGUUUGAAGCUUCUGUCUAAUUACCUCUAUCUUCUCUAAGGUAAUCUGAAUCAACUUCGGUCCCAUUAGCCUCUUCUCACCAACCUCAAACCAACAAACCGGUGAUCUACACUUCCGACCAUACAAAGCCUCAUAAGGUGCCAUCUCUAUGCUAGCCUGAUAACUGUUGUUGUAAGCAAAUUCCACUAAUGGUAGGAACUUACUCCAACCAACUCCAAAAUCCAUAACACAAGCUCUUAGCAUAUCCUCCAAGAUCUGAAUAGUCCUCUCAGAUUGACCAUCUGUCUGAGGGUGAAAAGUUGUACUCAACUGCACUUUAGUACCCAUAGCUUCUUGGAAUUUCACCCAAAACCGCGAUGUAAACUGUGGACCUCUAUCAGACACUAUUGAGAUUGGCACUCCAUGCAACCGUACAAUCUCACUAAUAAACAAUUCCGCCAACUUUGCAUAUCCAUAAGUAAUCUUAACUGGCAGAAAAUGGGCUGAUUUUGUCAACCUGUCAACAAUCACCCAUAUUGAAUCAUAACCCUCCUGACUCCUAGGCAAUCCUGUCACAAAGUCCAUUGUGAUCCUUUCCCACUUCCAUUCUGGAAUCAACAAUGGUUGCAACAAUCCAGGAGGUUUCUGGUGUUCACCCUUUACCCUCUGACAGGUCAAACACCUAGAAACAAAAUCUGCUACAUCAGCCUUCAUCCUAUUCCACCAAUAACACACCUUAAGGUCUUUAUACAUCUUGGUGGAACCUGGAUGCAUUGUGUAAACUGUCUGAUGUGCCUCUACCAUCAAUUCUCUCCUCAGAUCAUCUAUAUCAGGUACACAAAGCCUAUCCCUAUAUCUCAGCACAUCAUCAUCACCUAUCACAAAACCUGCAGCCUUACCCUGCUCAACCUCAUUUCUAAUCCUGAGUAAUGAAUCAUCUUUCUUCUGAGCUGCUUUUAUCUUAUCAAACAAAUCUGACUUAACCUGAAAAUGAGCAAUCAUUGCUCCAGCUUCACUAAGAUCAAAUCUGACUCCUUCAUCCACUAACUCAUGCAGCUCCUUAAUUAGAGGUCUUCGUACCUCCUGAAUAUGAGUUAAGCUCCCUGAUGAUUUUCUACUCAAAGCAUCGGCAACUACAUUUGCCUUACCCGGGUGGUAAUGUAUGGUACAAUCAUAAUCCUUCAGCAAUUCCAUCCAUCUCCUCUGCCUCAGGUUUAGAUCCCUCUGCUGAAAGAUGUAUUUCAAACUCUUGUGAUCUGUGAAGAUCUCACAAGUUUCACCAUACAAGUAGUGCCUCCAAAUCUUCAAGGCAAAAAUUAUAGCCGCCAUCUCUAAAUCAUGUGUAGGAUAGUUCUGUUCAUGCUUCUUCAGCUGCCGUGAAGCAUAGGCAAUAACCUUGCCAUGCUGCAUUAGAACACAUCCUAACCCCACUCUCGAAGCAUCACAAUACACUGUGUAACCACCAGAACCUGAUGGUACUGCUAGAACAGAUGUUGUAGUCAAUCUCUCUUUCAACUCCAAGAAACUUUUCUCACAAGCUUCAGACUACUGAAACUUAACAUUUUUCUGCGUUAACUUAGUCAAUGGUGCAGAAAUCCGAGAAAAGUUCUCCACAAACCUCCGAUAGUAGCCGGCCAAACCUAAGAAACUUCUAAUCUCUGUCGCCGAAGUAGGCCUAAGCCACUGCUUAACUGCUUCAAUCUUUUGAGGAUCAACCUCAAUCCCAUUCCUUGACACUACAUGCCCAAGAAAUGCUACACUCUCCAACCAAAACUCACUCUUUGAGAACUUGCCAUACAACUGAUGAUCUCGCAGAGUUUGAAGCACCAUUCUCAAGUGCUGCUCAUGCUCCUCCCUAGACCUCGAAUACACCAAAAUAUCAUCAAUAAAAACUAUUACAAAUCGAUCAAUAAACUGGCCAAACACUCUAUUCAUCAAAUCCAUAAAAACUGCUGGUGCAUUCGUCAACCCAAAAGACAUCACUAAGAACUCAUAAUGACCAUACCGAGUUCUAAAAGCUGUCUUAAAAAUGUCCUCCUCUCCUAUCCUCAACUGAUGAUACCCAGAUCGAAGAUCGAUCUUAGAAAAGAAUUGAGCUCCCUGCAACUGGUCAAACAAAUCAUCUAUGCGAGGGAAUGGGUAUCUAUUUCAAACUGUCACCCGAUUCAGUUGCCUAUAAUCUAUACACAACCUCAAUGACCCAUCUUUCUUCUUCACAAACAACACUGGGGCUCCCCAAGGGGACACAGUUGGUCGGAUGAACUUUUUAUCCAACAAAUCCUGCAGUUGCUCCUUUAGCUCCCUCAAUUCUGUUGGCGCCAUUCUAUAUGGUGCCAUUGAUAUUGGUUCGGUACCCGGAACCAAAUCAAUACAAAACUCAAUAUCCCUAUAUGGAGGCAAUCCAGGUAAGUCAUCGGGAAAGACAUCAAUAAACUCCCUAACUAUAGGGACUUGGUCUAAUUGAGGAACUUCUUUCUCUAUAUCCACUAUAUAUGCAAGGUAGCACUGUACCCCUUUUCUGGCCAUUUUCCUCGAGAUAGCCGACAACAUAAUUGAUGGAGACCCAAUCUUAUCUCCUUGAAAUACCAAACCAACUUCUUCAUCUAGAUCAAAUAUUAUUUUCUUACCCCAACAAUUUACCGAAGCCCUAUGCUUUGCCAACCAAUCCAUUCCCAAAAUCACAUCAAAAUCAACCAUAUCUAAGACAUUUAAGUCUCCCAUAAAAAUCUUAUCUCCAAUCUCUAUUUCACAAUCCAGAUACACAUACUUCACUAAUAUUAAUUCAUCUAAGGGAGUGGAGACUGAAAUGGGGGAUUUUAACAAGGUUGGUUGUUUAUCUAACCUCAUGGAAAAAUAUGGGGACAUAAAUGAAUGGGUUGCACCAGUAUCAAACAACACUUUUGCUUCAAAAGAGCAAACAGGAAGAAUACCUGAAACAACUGUGUUGGAUGCCUGAGCAUCCUGCUGAGUCAAGGCAAAAACUCUAGCAUGCCCCUGACCCUGUUGUAUCUGACCUCUAUCACCUGCACCCCGGCCUCUCUGACCACGGCCACCAAAACCUCUACCCCCAUGAGCCACAGACUGACUCGUCGAUGGUGCCUGAAUAGGAUGCUGGACUGAAGCAGAUAACCCCGAAGCUGACAACUGUCUCCUCGGGCACUCUCUGAUCUUAUGACCUAUCUGGCCACAACUAAAACAAGCCCCAGUCCUUCUGUAGUACUCUGCACUAGUAUGACUUCCUUCACAGUGCUGACAUAAAGAACUAUCCCCAGGUGAAACAAAUGAACUACGAGGUGCAGUCUGAACUAAACUCUGAGUACCACUACUGCCACUCUGACCGCCUGAGCCACUAACUGACGGUCUCUGUCUAAACCUCCUCUGAACCCAUGAGCCCUGACGGCCACUUCGUCCCCUAGACGGACCUGCACUGAAUCCAUGUUGCCUAAAAGACUGACCCUCUUCUCUAGGCCUCUUAGACUGGCCUGCAGUCAUGUCCUCUAAUUCUCGCGCCUCUAUCAACCUGGCGCUAUCAACAGCUGAGGAGUAUGAUGGAAACACCUGUGACACCAUCACCAUAUACAUAGAGGAUUUGAGUCCUCUAAUAAACCUCUUCACCCUCCACUCCUCAGUGGGUAGAAGAUGCUCUGCAUACCUAGACAGCUGAUUAAACUUCAGAUCAUACUCAUCCACUGUCAUGCUCCCCUGAGAUAGCCUCUCAAACUCAUAAAGUCGAGCAUCCCUGAUGCUCUGAGGGAGAAACAUGUCUAAGAACAUGGAGCUAAACUCCUUCCAUGUCCACUGAGCCUCUACUGGUCUUGCUCUUUUCCUAGACUCAAACCAAGAGAUUGCCACAUCUCCUUCCAACCUGAACGAUGCCAAACUCACAGCUCGGUGGUCUGUACAUCCCAAAGCUUCACACCGUCGCCAAAUAUCAUCUAGGAACCUCUGAGGAUCCUCUGAACUAUCCAUCCCAGUAAAAAUAGGAGGUGCCAACUUCAUGAAGUCAUUCAACGGCACAUUAACUCCCUGAACAGUGUGGGAUGUCGAGGGUACAUCUAUAUCCCUCCUUCUAUCUCUCUCCAUAGAAAACUCUAUCCAGGUCCGCACAACCUGGCUAAGUUGCUGAAACUCUGUAACAGGUUCAGGGUCAGCUACCCCCACACCUGUUUCAUCAACAAUAUCUUCCUCUUCUAUCUCCUGAGGCUCUUCCUCCACUGGUGGAGGUACCUCCUCAACAUGUUGAGGCACGGGUGCACCGCGCCUCCUUCUUUGCCUUGCAGUUCUCAACCGCACAAUAGGGACAUCAUCCUGAUCAUCCUCUACUCUAACAGUAUCAGCUAUUCGUCUAUUCCUCGGCAUUUCCUAAAAUAAAAGUGAGAGCACUCAAGUCAUGCUAGAACAAUAGCAUGAUAAUUAUCACAAAAUUAUAGGAAAGCAUAUCUAUCACAAGGAAGAAGACAUGUUUGAUAAGAGUUCAAAAUUUCAAAGACAACAAACAAGACAAUACGGAUCCUAAUGCUCCACUUAUUACGAAUUUAAUUAUAUUAUUGUUUCUUUAACCUAAGGCUCUAAUACCAAGUUUGUCACGACCCGGAUCCAUGACCGGCACAUAGGCAAGGUUCUCCUCCAAGGUUCCAUACCUAUGCGAACCCAAACUUACACACAAACUUAUCCUAACUCAAUCAAAGUUCAACGCAGCAUUAACAACAAAAUCAACUUCAUAAUAUAAUUGAAUUGUCUUAAUACAAGAGUUUAUAUAAGUUCAGAGUUUUGGAGCACUAACUAGACAUAAAGGGAAAAGGUACAAUUUACAACCAAAAGAGCAGGUUCUGAAGGUCCAACAAAAUGACCUGCUAUCAAGCUAUAAGCCUGAAAAGGAUAAAUAAUGAGAUGGUGAGUUCAACAACUCAGUGAGUAGAUAACGUUCAAUAUACACAUACGAGGUAAUACAACAAUGAGAAAUAUAUAUACAAGUAUGCCUCUAGGUUCUUAUAGAAAGGUUUCUCAAAUAGGCCAUAACAAGAAUAUCAUAUGGUAAAACUCGUCAGAAAAUCAAAAUGCAAUGAGCAUGAGGCUCCGUACUGUGGGAUGAUCAGUCCACACAGGUUGGUGACUCCCCCGACCAACUAGGGUUCAGAUACGAUGUGCACAAAGACUAACACUACCCUGUUAGCAUGGGUAUUCUGACUGACAUACCAUAGGUUCAUAAUCAUAAUCAAACAGACAUAUUCAUAUCUCAAGGCUCAACUCAUGACAUCAAUCAAAUGAGGAGCUAUCAAUUCAGAAUUCAAUUCAAAAUAUAUACUGGUUCAUAUCAAGAAUUCAGAUUCAACAAUUGAUCAUGUUUUAUCAAAACAAGGAUAAUAAUCAACAUAUAUAUUAUCAAGAAGCAUGAUCCAAUUCAUAUUAACAAAUCAAAUAUUUAUAAUAUUUCUCAUGCAUAUGGAAAAUUAUCCACUCACCUGACUCGAAAGCAACAAAACUCAAAGCUGAUAUCAAAGGAAAUCCUACUGACGUCCCGCCGGUAGAAUAUCAGGAUUAUCUUAAUACAAAGAAGACAUAUUUAAGAAUGACUCAAAAGAAUAUAUAUAACCUAUUUAAUACACUUAUCUAAGGGUGUAUUCCGUAACCCUAUAUGUUUUUUUGAACUAACUAGUUAUCUUUCCUAAAAACCCAACAUUUAACGGUUUUCCCGAAAUCUAAUCCAUAAUAAAACAACUAAUAAAAUUGAUAAUAAUUCACUAAAUAACCCUCAAUUAUUCAUCAAAACAAUCUGAAAAAGGUAAUAUUACAGCUAGGGACUAAUCUGUAAUUUAUCAUAUUUUUAGGGCCAAAUUGUAAUUUUUGUCUAAUUGGAGGACCAAACUGAAAUUUAUCAUAAAUCCAUGAAUAUACUGAAAUUCUGACCAUAAUUAAUCCUCAAUUCUGUCCAGGAUAUAUCAUUAUGCUCCAGGGACCAUUCUGGAAUUUUACCAAAUUUUUAGGGUCAAAUUGUAAUUUUUGCCAAAUUGGAGGACCAAAUUGAAAGUGUUAAAUUCUCUUAUCUAUACAAUAAUUCUGUCCAUAAUUCAUAUGUUAUUCUGUUCAGAUUCUCGGAAUAGGCUCCAGGGACCAAUCUGCAAAUUUUCCAAAGUUUGGGGACUAAACUGUAAUUUUCCAAAAUUGAGGGACCAAACCGAAAUUUUGUCAUCUUCAACCUCCAACCCAGAAUUCCAACAGAAAACCCACUGUUCUUUCCUUAUUUCUAACACAAAUUCACCAUUCAAACAAAAUCAUAACUCAAAAUCAUCAUCUUUCAAUUCAAUCUCUCAAAAUCAACCAAAUAAUCAAAUACCCACAACAAUUAACCCUACAACAUCCAAAUUAACUCAUAAAUCAAACUCAAAACACAAAUUUCAUAACCCUAACAUUUAUCAAAAUCAAAAUUAAAGCUUAAUUAACACAUAUUUAUACAUAAUCUUACCUUUUUACUUAUUUCCUUCAAUUCCUUUCUAUUUCCCUUCUAAUUUCCCUCUUUUCUCUUCUUCUUCUUCUUUCUCCCUUUCUCUCCUGCCGGUUCUCUCUCAAAAUUCAGAUCCCUCUUUCCUUUUCUUUUUCUUUUUUUUUUUACUUCCUAUUUAUAUAUAUCAUCUCUUUAUACAAUUACUAUUAUACCCCUCAUUUAAUUUAUUCCUACAUCUAAGCAUUCAAGGGCCUUGUUGCCAUUUCCUAUCUUUUAAUACAAAACAUUACA
rnacentral:lncRNA from 1 species